rnacentral:lncRNA from 1 species
GCCAAAUAAAGAAAGUUUUCCGAGAAUUAACAGCAGGACAAUGGUCCGCUUGUUGUAUAUAAUAAAUAUCACACUGGUGUUGUAUAUGUGUAGCCGUGCAUGCUCCACAACCUAUGUUCGUACAAACACAGAUCAUAUGGAACGAGAAAUAUGCUCUGGUCGGAAAGCAGAGUCGUGGACAAAAGUGAAGUUCACAAAUGACCAUCAUACAUAGGCCAUUGUUUCAACUUGUAGUUUAGGCCUUGCCGGACUCCUCGCAACCUGGUGGCCUGAAGGCGAUGAAGCUGACGCACUGCACCUGGCGCAGGUUGUCGAAGCCGAUGACACGGACAUAGGCAUCAGGGUACUCCUUCUUGACCUCCUCCACCUCGUUGAGCACUUGCGUGGCGUCGGUGCACCCGAACAUAGGCAGCUUCCACAUUGUCCAGUAUCGACCGUCGUAGUACCCGGGAGAGCUGUUGUGCUCACGGAAGACGAAGCCAACCUUGCUAAACUCGAGGCAGGGCACCCACUUGGAGCGGAUCAGGUAGUCUACCUGCUUUAGGAGGGCCUCUGUGGAGAGGGGUGGCAAGUAAGACAGGGUCUCGAACUUCUUGAUACCCUCAAUCGGCCACACCUGAAUGGAUGGAAAUUAUGGAAUGCACACAACUGCUUAACACUUGGUGCUAGUAAAUUGUACGUACUGAGGAAGAAACUCAUAUCAGUUUUGUGCCUCUGACAUACCUGCAUGCACCUGAUCCUUCCGCCAUUGCUGACGCGGCCGAGGCUGCCGCUGGAGCGGCGGCUGACGGGCAGACCGGCUGUGGACUUGAGCCCCUGGAAGGGUGCGACGGUGGUAGCCGACGAAGCCAUCACGGCGGGGGCCAUGGUAUUGUAUUAUCGGAGGAGAGGAGGAUGCCGGCUACAGGUGAGGCCCCCAUUGCCGGGUCACUACGGUAUAUAUAGCCAGACACUUAGCGCCGUUUCUUUGGUACAGAUGUGGUUGGGGUGGCUGACGUUCUCUGGUUGCCUCGUUUCCUUAUCUUCUCCGGAUCAGUGGAAGAAGCAUGGCCGUCGGAUGCAUUGUGUGUGCUGGAAAUUUCAGUCCUUCAUGUCAUUGGGUGGCUGCCACACAACCUUUUUCCAGCUUUUCUUGUUUUUGGUUUCAUUUGAAGCCAAAAGUUUCUUGAGUACAAAUUUUCUGAGAUGCGACUUGAGUGGUGGUGUGGGCAAAAUAUUUUACAUUUUAUCAUAAGAUCUGAUGGCUCACUCCCUUGAAAGUAUGCCUAUAGGCAUAGAGUGUGCGUGUGUGCAUUUAUAGGGGGUGUUAUACAUGCGGGUAUGCGAAUGUCUACUUUUGUACACCGUUUCUCAAAAUAAAAUAUAUGUUUUGUUGGUACAAUUAAUUGACCUAGCAUAGUAACCUCCACACGUAGAACAAGUUCUUUCCCCUCCCGCAAGGUAACUAUUGAAAGCUUUCCACCCCUCUAUAUCCGCCAGUGAGCCUAUGGAUCCGCCUCCCCUCUGCGGGAAGGGGGAUUCCUGGUGCCUCAGCUCUGGCUAAUAGACAAGUAGGAUUUUAGUCCUCAUGGGUGAGGUGCUUGGACGGACGGCGGUCUUUCUUCUUCGAGCCAAUCUUUCGGGAUCCGAUCCUCUUUAAGUUCCUCUGUCUGGGGAGCUCCGACGUAGACUCCUGCCAGUUCCACAGGCGAUGAGGUUAGGAUUUCUCAUCAUGCGUACGCACAAUGAGAUUUGGUGUCAGGUUCUUUAGAUCGAUUCACGGAUUCAACAGCGAUGACUGCGGCUCCAGAGCACUGGUCCUUAGGGGCAUGUGCAUGAAGACUUCCUGACUGUCAUCGACAAAGUCAAUGUAGCUCUAGAGUGGGAGCAUCGACAAUGGUGCGUUAGUGGCUCAUCUCUGUGCGUAGGAACGAAAAGAAAGGCCUAUAUCUCAAAUUUUUGACAACUCUCCGGCCGUGACAAUGGGCAUAACUUGUUUUAAACAUCAAUGGGUAGGAACGAAAAGCUCUAUAUGUCAACUAUUAACACGUAUGGCUAAAUAUGUACCUUGCAUUAUAGGAUAUAUGGCAAUCGAUCAAAAAGUUAGGCAGUCUCUCACAUAACAUUGUCUCUCAAGUACGGCUGCAAAUGAGUCGAGUUCGAGCGAGUUGGACUUGCCUCAGCUCAACUCAUAUUAAAAUUCAAGCGAGCUCAAACUGAGUGAAGCUCAAAAUCAAGUUGUAGAACAUGACUCAUUUUUAGUUUGUAACAAUCUUGAGCUAGUUUCAAGCUAAAUAAGACGAUAAAAAUUACAAAAUUUAUGACUAUUAUUCCAACUAGAUAAGGCAUAACACGACAUAAAAAGCACAAAAAAAUUUAUUCCAAACAGAAUGAUAAUAAUACUUUUUUUCGAAAUGAUACAAAUUUUGUUAGAAGUAGCUUGACUUAUUCUCUUACAACCGAAAGUCUAGUAUCAANNNNNNNNNNNNNNNNNNNNNNNNNNNNNNNNNNNNNNNNNNNNNNNNNNNNNNNNNNNNNNNNNNNNNNNNNNNNNNNNNNNNNNNNNNNNNNNNNNNNNNNNNNNNNNNNNNNNNNNNNNNNNNNNNNNNNNNNNNNNNNNNNNNNNNNNNNNNNNNNNNNNNNNNNNNNNNNNNNNNNNNNNNNNNNNNNNNNNNNNNNNNNNNNNNNNNNNNNNNNNNNNNNNNNNNNNNNNNNNNNNNNNNNNNNNNNNNNNNNNNNNNNNNNNNNNNNNNNNNNNNNNNNNNNNNNNNNNNNNNNNNNNNNNNNNNNNNNNNNNNNNNNNNNNNNNNNNNNNNNNNNNNNNNNNNNNNNNNNNNNNNNNNNNNNNNNNNNNNNNNNNNNNNNNNNNNNNNNNNNNNNNNNNNNNNNNNNNNNNNNNNNNNNNNNNNNNNNNNNNNNNNNNNNNNNNNNNNNNNNNNNNNNNNNNNNNNNNNNCCAGAAACAACAUAAUAUUUAAGACACGUCCGACCACGUACCAUAAUAAGGCCUAAAUUUUAUCAACAACUAAUUAAGUUUCCAUGUUUGUUUGUAAAUAAAAUGGAGAAAAAUCCUGGAUGACAUAUGUGGCACUAAAUUAUCUUAUUAUUAUUUAAUAUAUGGCAUUAUCAUUUAACAUAAUUAUAUUAUGCCGAGCUAUCGAGCUAAAAUCAAGCGAGUUAAUAUCGGCUCAAGAUCGGCUCGUUUCUUGACCGAGCUACAGGAAGUGUUUGUACUCAACUCGGUUCUUUUCGAGUUGAGUCAAAAAACGAGUCGAUCUCGAGCGGCUCACAAGCCUCAAACUUUUCUUCCAGCCCUACUCUCAAGCAGCAUCAUAUUGAGACAACUUAAUCGGCCUACUUCCAAUCACAUAUCAGCGGCGGAUAACGGAAAGACAUUAAUAUCACAAGGCCUGGACCGAAGGCAAUAAGUUCUAUGGACAACCGUGAUCCCUAGAAUAACAAUGUUCCCCUCAAGAUAUCGACAACCGUGAUCCCUAGAAUAACGGUGUUCCCCUCAAGGAAAUUUAAAGAAAAGAUAUAAGCAAUAGCAGCAGCGCAUUUUCACGGAAGCACUAUAGCUACUUUAGCUAUAGCGCGUGUUCGCGAACAAGCGCUAUAGCUAACUUAUCUAUAGCAGUAGCGCGUUCCGUCAGAAAGCGCUAUAGUUAAGUAGCUAUAGCGCUUGUGUGGAAAAAGCGCUACUACUAAGUUUGACUUGCCACUGCGCAGGCGUUCCUCCUUCCUGCAAUUCCCCAUUCUUCUCGCGUCUCCCCUACCUCUCCCUUGCCACCCCUACUCCCUCGCCGUCCCUGCCUUCGGAGCCGCCAUCGGAGCUGCGCGCCAUCGCCGCCACCGGAGCCACACGCCAUCGACGCCACCAAAGUCAUCCUCGUCUGCUCCUCGCUGCCCCUGCCUCCCUUGACGCCCCUGCCUCCCUCGACACCCCUGCCUCCCUUGCCAUCACCGAAGCCGCCGUAGACACAACCGGAGCCACCCUCGGCGCCCUUUGCACCAUCGUCUCCCCCGAGCACCUCCCGGCAACUGUUCCCGCGAGCACCCACCCCUCCUCUCUAGGUUAAUUUAUUUAGGUGAAUUUAGUUAUGAACCCUAGGAAUUAGCUAGGUUAAGUAGGUUAACUAGGUAGGUUAAGUAACUAAGUGAACUAACUAGGUUAAUUUGGUUCAUUAGGUUAACUUGUUAGGUAAACUAGGUUGGCUAGGUUAGAACAAAAAAUUAGUUUAGAGCAAAAAUAUAGUUGGGGCAGUAGGGUUUAACUAGGGCAGUAGGGUUUAGAACAAAAUUUUAGUUAGGGAAGUAGGGUUUAAUUAUAGUUUUUGUUUUCAUAGAUGUUUUUCUAAAAGAACAAAAUGAAGGAAAUGUUACAGCAGUGCUGCUAGUAGUAUAUAUAGUGGUACUAGUAGAUGUUAAUUAGGUUAGGGCAGUAGUGGUACCUGUAGAUGUUAAUUAGUUGUCUUUUAGUUAGGGCAGUAGGGUUUUACUAGGUUAAUUAGGUUAGUAGUGCUGCUGGUAGUAGUGGUACAGUAGGUUAAUUAGGUGAAGUUAAAUGAAUGGCCUAAAUAAAUGAAAUUAGUAGUUAAUUGAAUUUUUAGGACAAAUUUGUAUAUGCUUAAGUACUUAACUAAAUAGUAUUUUUAGGACAAACUUGUAUAUGCUUAACUAGUUAACUAAAUAUAUUAUAGGGUUGUAAAUAUAGUUGCUUAAGUACUUGUAUAGUUGUUCUCCCAAUGUAUGCUUAAGUAGUUGUAUAAUCCCUAGGGUUCAUCAAUGGGUGCUUAAGUAGUUGUAGAUGCUUAAGUAGCUAGCUAGGGUUCAUCUAAUUAGUUAGUACUUGUAGAUGCUUAAGUACUAGGGUAUUAGGGUUAGGGCAGUAGGGUUUAAUUAAAUGUUAAUUAGGGCAGUAGGUAUUCAGUAUAAAAAUAUAUAUUUCUAUCAGUGCUGCAAGCGUACUAGGUUAUUACUUUUUACAGAAUUUUUAUUAUGUCAGAAAUUUAGGACAUAAUUUAAAUUGAGUUCUAGGGUUCAUAAUUUGAAAUUUGUGUAGAUUUUCUUGAAGUGUCAAACACUAGGAGAUGCAAAUUUGAAGUGGUCAUGUUAUAUGCAAAUUCCCCAAUAGUGUUUGCUCAUGUUUAUCUACUGUUGUAGUUGCUCAUGUACAUGUUCUUAAGUGUUUGAGCUGUGCGUUGAGGCAAAAAAGGCUAUCAAGUCCCAAGCAAUCGCAGACUUUCUUGCCGGAUUGAGCAGCAGUUGCCGACUCAAGUUCACACGGAACAUUGGACUAUGUUCUUUGAUGGCUCCAAGAUGCUGAAUGGUUCAGGUGCUGGGGUAGUAUUGGUAUCCCCCCAUGGAGACAAGCUUAGUUAUGUUCUCCAGAUUCAUUUUGAUUCCUCUAAUAAUGAAGCCGAAUAUGAAGCACUUUUAUACGGGUUGCGUAUGGCCAUUUCACUCGGCCUCCGUCGCCUUAUGGUCUACGGCGACUAAGAUUUGGUGGUUAAUCAAGUGAUGAAGGAAUGGGAUGUCAGGAGCCCAGCCAUGAAUGGUUAUUGCAAUGUAGUAAGAAAGCUGGAAAAGAGGUUUGAAGGUUUGGAGCUUCACCAUAUACCCUGACUGAAAAAUCAAGCUGCAGAUGAGUUGGCAAAGAUAGGCUCAAAGAGAGAGGCCAUUCCCCGAAAUGUGUUUUUGGAACAUAUUAAUUCACCUUCAGUUCAGGAAGAUUGUCGGUGUCAAAACCGGCGGAUCUCGGGUAGGGGGUCCCGAACUGUGCGUCUAGGCGGAUGGUAACAGGAGACACGGGACACGAUGUUUUUACCCAGGUUCGGGCCCUCUCGAUGGAGGUAAAACCCUACUCCUGCUUGAUUAAUAUUGAUGAUAUGGAUAGUACAAGAGUAGAUCUACCACAAUAUCAGAGAGGCUAAACCCUAGAAGCUAGCCUAUGGUAUGAUUGUUGUUCGUCCUACAGACUAAAACCCUCUGGUUUAUAUAGACACCGGAGAGGGCUAGGGUUACACAGAGUCGGUUACAAUGGGAGGAGAUCUACACAUCCGUAUCGCCAAGCUUGCCUUCCACGCCAAGGAAAGUCCCAUCCGGACACGGGACGAAGUCUUCAAUCUUGUAUCUUCAUAUUCCAGGAGUCCGGCCAAAGGUCAUAGUCCGGUCAUCCAGACACCCCCUAGUCCGGGACUCCCUCAGUAGCCCCUGAACCAGGCUUCAAUGAUGAUGAGUCCGGCGCGCAAAUUGUCUUCGGCAUUGCAUGGCGGGUUCCUCCUCCGAAUACUUCAUAGAAGAUGUUUGAACACAAGGAUAGUGUCCGGCUCUGCAAAAUAAGUUCCACAUACCACCGUAGAGAGAAUAAUAUUUGUACAAAUCUAAUCUGCUGACGUAUCCCGCAGCGUGACAUCAUGCCACGGCCAAGCCUUUAUUUGAAUCAUUUUACUAUCCCACCUCAGCGCGUUUAGUGAGGCGGUUUCCUUGGCACGUCUUGUCAAAGCAGAGAUCGUGUCCCCUUAUUCCGGGAUUCUCGUCAAUACGGGCGUGGGUAUGUUGGGGAACGUAGCAAUAAUUCAAAAUUUUCCUACGUGUCACCAAGAUCUAUCUAUGGAGAAACCAACAACGAGGGAAAGGAGAGUGCAUCUACAUACCCUUGUAGAUCGCUAAGCGGAAGCGUUCAAGAGAACGGGGUUGAAGGAGUCGUACUCGUCGUGAUCCAAAUCACCGGAGAUCCUAGUGCCGAACGGACGGCACCUCCGCGUUCAACACACGUGCAGCCCGGUGACGUCUCCCAUGCCUUGAUCCAGCAAGGAGAGAGGGAGAGGUUGGGGAAGACUCCGUCCAGUAGCAGCACGAUGGCGUGGUGGUGGUGGAGGAGCGUGGCAACCCUGCAGGGCUUCGCCAAGCACCGCGGGAGAGAGGAGUACUUGGGAGAGGGGGAGGGCUGCGCCAGAACUUGGGGUGCGGCUGCCCUCCCACCCCUCCACUAUUUAUAGGUGGGGAGAGAAGGGGGCCGGCCCCCUAGAUCCCAUCUAGGGUUGGGGCGGCGGCCAAGGGGGGGAGGAGUGCCUCCCAAGUCAAGUGGAGGCCCUCCACCUUAGGGUUUCCCCUCUCCCAUGCGCAUGGGCCUUGGGGGGGCUGGUGCCCCAGGCCCAUUAAGGCUAGGGCGCCCCCUUACAGCCCAUGCUGCUGUAUUGGACGUGGUGGAACAAUUUCUGGACCUCCGGACCCCUCCGGAAUCCUCCGGAACCUUCUGGAAGCUUCCUGGUACAAUACCAGAAAAAUCCAAACUUUUCCCGGAACCCAAACAACAACUUUCCAUAUAUAAAUCUUUACCUCCGGACCAUUCCGGAACUCCUCGUGAUGUCCGGGAUCUCAUCCGGGACUCCGAACAACAUUCGUUAACCACAUACAAACUUCCUUUAUAACCCUAGCGUCAUCGAACCUUAAGUGUGUAGACCCUACGGGUUCGGGAACCGUGCAGACAUGACUGAGAUGUUCUCCGGUCAAUAACCAACAGCGGGAUCUGGAUACCCAUGUUGGCUCCCACAUGUUCCAUGAUGAUCUCAUCGGAUGAACAACAAUGUCGAGGAUUCGACCAAUCCCGUAUACAAUUCCCUUUGUCUAGCGGUAUUGUACUUGCCCAAGAUUCGAUCGUCGGUAUGCUGAUACCUUGUUCAAUCUCGUUACCGGCAAGUCUCUUUACUCGUUUCGUAACACAUCAUCCCGUGAUCAACCCCUUGGUCACAUUGUGCACAUUAUGAUGAUGUCCUACCGAGUGGGCUCAGAGAUACCUCUCCGUUUACACGGAGUGACAAAUCUCAAUCUCGAUUCGUGCCAACCCAACAGACACUUUCGGGAAUACCCGUAGUGCACCUUUAUAGCCACCCAAUUACGUUGUGACCUUUGGUACACCCAAAGCAUUCCUACGGUAUCCGGGAGUUGCACAAUCUCAUGGUCUAAGGAAAUGAUACUUGACAUUAGAAAAGCUUUAGCAUACAAACUAGAUGAUCUUUGUGCUAGGCUUAGGAUUGGGUCUUGUCCAUCACAUCAUUCUCCUAAUGAUGUGAUCCCGUUAUCAAUGACAUCCAAUGUCCAUGGUCAAGAAACCGUAACCAUCUAUUGAUCAACGAGCUAGUCAACUAGAGGCUUACUAGGGACAUGGUGUUGUCUAUGUACCCACACAUGUAUCUGAGUUUCCUAUCAAUACAAUUAUAGCAUGGAUAAUAAACGAUUAUCAUGAACAAGGAAAUAUAAUAAUAAUAACCAUUUUAUUAUUGCCUCUAGGGCAUAUUUCCAACAGUCUCCCACUUGCACUAGAGUCAAUAAUCUAGUUCACAUCGCCAUGUGAUUAACACUGAUAGGUCACAUCGCCAUGUGACCAAUAUCCAAAGAGUUUACUAGUGUCACUAAACUAGUUCACAUCACCAUGUGAUUAAGACUCAAUGAGUUCUGGGGUUUGAUCAUGUUUUGCUUGUGAGAGAGGUUUUAGUCAACGGGUCUGCAACAUUCAGAUAUGUAUGUAUUUCACAAAUCUCUAGGUCAUAUUGUAAAUGUUGUUUCCACGCUCCAUUUGGAGCUAUUCCAAAUGGUCGCUCCACUAUACGUAUCCGGUUUGCUACUCAGAGUCAUUCGAAUAGGUUUUAAAGCUUGCAUCGACGUAACCCUUUAUGCCGAACUCUUUAUCACCUCCAUAAUUGAGAAAUAUGUCGUUAUUUACUCCAAGGACAAUUUUGACCGCUGUCCAAUGAUCCCCACUCCUGGAUCAUUCUUGUACCCCUUGACUGACUCAUGGCGAGGCACACUUCCGGUGCGGUACACAUCAUAGCAUACUAUAGAGCCUACGUCUGAAGCAUAGGGGACGACCUUCAUCCUUUCUCUCUCUUCUGCCGGGGUCGAGCUUUAACUCUUAACUUCAUACCUUACAACUCAGGCAAGAACUCCUUCUUUGACUGAUCCAUCUUGAACACCUUCAAGAUCAUGUCAAGGUAUGUGCUCAUUUGAAAGUACAAUUGAGCGGUUUUUGAUCUAUCCUCAUAGAUCUUGAUGCUCAAUGUUCAAGCAGCUUAAUCCAGGUUCUCUAUUGAAAAACACCUUUCAAACAACCCUAUAUGCUUUCCAGAAAUUCUACAUCAUUUCCGAUCAACAAUAUGUCAACAACAUAUACUCAUCAGAAAUGCUAUAGUGCUCCCACUCACUUCUUUGGAAAUACAAGUUUCUCAUAAACUUUGUAUAAACCCAAAAUCUUUGAUCAUCUCAUCAAAGCGUACAUUCCAACUCCGAGAUGCUUACUCUAGUCCUUAGAAGGAUUGCUGGAGCUUUGCAUACUUUAUUAGCAUCUUUCAAGAUUGACAAAACCUUCUGGUUGUAUCACAUACAACCUUUCCUCAAGGAUAAACUGGUAAGGGAACUUGUUUUGACAUCCAUCUUCCAGAUUUCAUAAAUGCAGCUUAUGCUAACAUGAUUCCAACGGACUUAAGCAUCGCUACGGAUGAGAACAUCUCAUUGUAGUCAACUCCUUGAACUUGUGAAAAAACUCUUUGGCACAAGUCGAGCUUCAUAGACGGUGACAUUACCGUCCACGUCCGUUUUCUUCUUAAAGACCCAUUUAUCUCAAUGGCUUGCCGAUCAUCGGGCAAGACCACCAAAGUCCAUGCUUUGUAUACAUGGAUCCUCUCUCAGAUUUUAUGGCCUCGAGCCAUUUGUCAGAAUCCUGGCCCACCAUCGCUUCUCCAUAGCUCGUAGGUUCAUUGUUGUCUAGCAACAUGACCUCCAAGACAGGAUUACCGUACCACUCCGAAGCAGUAUGCGUCCUUGUCGUCCUACGAGGUUCGGUAGUGACUUGAUUCAAAGCAUCAUGAUCACUAUCAUCAGCUUCCACUUCAAUUGGUGUAGGUGCCACAUGAACAACUUCCUGUGCCCUGCUACACACUGGUUGAAGUGAUGAUUCAAUAACCUCAUCAAGUCUCCACCUCCCACUCAAUUCUUUCGAGAGAAACUUUUCCUCGAGAAAGGACCCGUUUUAGAAACAAUUACUUUUGCUUCCGGAUCUGAGAUAGGAGGCAUACCCAACCAUUUUGGGUAUCCUAUGAAGAUGUAUUUAUCCGUUUUGGGUUCAAGCUUAUCACAAUGAAACUUUUUCACAUAAGCGUCGCAACCCCAAACUUUUUAAAAAACGACAGCUUAGGUUUCUCUAAACCAUAGUUCAUACGGUGUCAUCUCAACGGAAUUAUGUGGUGCCCUAUUAAAGUGAAUGUGGUUGUCUCUAAUGCCUAACCCAUGAACGAUAGUGGUAAUUCGAUAAGAGACAUCAUGGUACGCACCAUAUCCAAUAGAGUGCAACUAUGAUGUUCAGACACACCAUCACACUAUGGUGUUCCAGGCGGUAUUAAUUGUGAAACAAUUUCCACAAUGUCUUAAUUGCGUGCCAAAGCUCGUAACUCAGAUACUCAUCUCUAUGAUCAUAUCAUAGACAUUUUAUCCUCUUGUCACAAUGAUCUUCAACUUCACUCUGAAAUUACUUGAACCAUUCAACAAUUCAGACUUGUGUUUCAUCAAGCAAAUAUACUCAACAUCUACUCGAAUCAUUUGUGAAGUAGGAACAUAACGAUAUUCAGUGCAUGCCUCAGCACUCAUUGGGCUGCACACAUCAAAAUGUGUUACUUCCAACAAAUUGCUAUCUUGUUCCAUCUUACUGAAACGAGGCUUUUCAGUCAUCUUUCCCAUGUGGUAUGAUUUGCAUAUCUCAAGUGAUUCAAAAUCAAGUGAGUCCAAACGAUCCAUCUGCAUGGAGUUUCUUCAUGCGUAUACACCAAUAGACAUGGUUCGCAUGUCUCAAACUUUUCAUAAAAUGAGUGAGUCCAAAGAUCCAUCAACUUGGAGCUUCUUCAUGCGUUUUAUACCAAUAUGACUUACAUGGGAGUGCCACAAGUAAGUGGUACUAUCAUUACUAUCUUAUAUCUUUUGGCAUGAAAAUGUGUAUCAUUACGAUCGAGAUUCAAUAAACCAUUCUUUUAGGUGUAAGACCAUUGAAGGUAUUAUUCAAAUAAAUAGAGUAACCAUUAUUCUCCUUAAAUGAAUAACCGCAUUGCGAUAGACAUAAUCCAAUCAUGUCUAUGCUCAACGCAAACACCAAAUAAAAAUAUUCAGGUUUAGCACCAAUCUCGAUGGUAGAGGGAGCGUGCGAUGCUUGAUCACAUCAACCUUGGAAACACUUCCAACACAUAUCAUCAGCUCACCUUUAGCUAGUCUCCGUUUAUUCCGUAGCCUUUUAUUUCGAGUUACUAACACUUAGCAACCGAACCGGUAUCUAAUACCCUGGUGCUACUAGGAGUACUAUUAAAGUACACAUUAACAUAAUGUAUAUCCAAUAUACUUCUAUCGACCUUGCCAGCCUUCUCAUCUACCAAGUAUCUAGGGUAAUUCUGCUUCAGUGUCCGUUCCUCUCAUUACAGAAGCACUUAGUCUCGGGUUUGGGUUCAACCUUGGGUUUCUUCACUGGAGCAGCAACUGAUUUGCCGUUUCAUGAAGUACCCCUUAUUGCCCUCGCCCUUCUUGAAACUAGUGGUUUCACUAACCAUUAACAAUUGAUGCUCCUUCUUGAUUUCUACAUUCGUGGUGUCAAACUUUGUGAAUAGCUCAAGGAUCAUCAUAUCUAUCCCUGUUAUGUUAUAGUUCAUCACGAAGCUCUAGUAGCUUGGUGGCAAUGUCUUUGGAGAAACAUCACUCUCACCUGGAAGAUUAACUCCCACUCGAUUCAAAUGAUUGUUGUACCCAGACAAUCUGAGUACAAGCUCAACGAUUGAGAUCUUCUCCCUUAGUUUGUAGGCUAGAAAAUUCGUCGGAGGUCUCAUACCUCUUGACGUGGGCACGAGCCUGAAAUCCCAAUUUCAGCUCUUGGAAUAUCUCAUAUGUUCUGUGACAUUUCAAAAAUGUCUUCGGUGCCUCAAUUCUAAACCAUUUAACAUUACCGAACUAUCAUGUAGUCAUCAAAACGUGUAUGUCAGAUGUUCGCAACAUCCACAGACCACGUUCGAGGUCCAGCACACCGAGCGGUGCAUUAAGGACAUAAGCCUUCUACUGUCCGCAUAAUUGCUAUAGUCAACUUUGAACUAUAUUUUCUCUAGGAACAUAUCUAAAAUAGUAGAACUAAGCGCGAGCUAUGACAUAAUUUGCAAAGGGCUUUUGACUAUGUUCAGGAUAUUUAAGUUCAUCUAAUGAACUCCCACUCAGAUAGACAUCCCUCCAGUCAUCUAAGUGAUUACAUGAUCCGAGUCAACUAGGCCGUGUCCGAUCGUCACGUGAGACAGACUAGUCAUCAUCGGUGAACAUCUUCAUGUUGAUCGUAUCCACCAUACGACUCAUGAUCAACCUUUCGGUCUCUUGUGUUCCAAGGCCAUGUCUGUACAUGCUAGGCUCGUCAAGUUAACCUAAGUGUUUCGCGUGUGUAAAUCUGGCUUACACCCAUUGUAUGUGAACGUUAGAAUCUAUCACACCCGAUCAUAACGUGGUGCUUCGAAACGACGAACUUUCGCAACGGUGCACAGUUAGGGGGAACACUUUCUUGAAAUUUUAACGAGGGAUCAUCUUAUUUACUACCGUCGUUCUAAGCAAAUAUGAUGUAUAAACAUGAUAAACAUCACAUGCAAUCAAAUAGUGACAUGAUAUGGCCAAUAUCAUUUUGCUCCUUUUGAUCUCCAUCUUCGGGGCUCCAUGAUCAUCAUCGUCACCGGCAUGACACCAUGAUCUCCAUCAUCAUGAUCUCCAUCACCGUGUCUCCAUGAAGUUGUCUCGCCAACUUAUUACUUCUAUUACUAUGGCUACCGAUUAGCAAUAAAGUAAAGUAAUUACAUGGCGUUUGUUCAAUGACACACAGGUCAUACAAUAAAUUAAGACAACUCCUAUGGCUCAUACCGGUUGUCAUACUCAUCGACAUGCAAGUCGUGAUUCCUAUUACAAGAACAUGAUCAAUCUCAUACAUCACAUAUCACUCAUCGCAUUCUUUUGACCAUAUCACAUCACAUAGCAUACCCUGCAAAAAUAAGUUAGACAUCCUCUAAUUGUUGUUUGCAUGUUUUACAUGGCUGCUAUGGGUUCUAGCAAGAACGUUUCUUACCUACACAAAACCACAACGUGAUAUGCCAAUUGCUAUUUACCCUUCAUAAGGAUCCUUUUCAUCGAAUCCGUUCUGAGUAAAGUGGGAGAGACUGGCACCCGCUAGCCACCUUAUGCACCAAGUGCAUGUCAGUCGGUGGAACCUGUCUCACGUAAGUGUACGUGUAAGGUCGGUCCGGGCCGCUUCAUCCCACAAUACCGUCGAAACAAGAUUGGACUAGUAAUGGUAAGCAUAUUGAACAAAAUCAGAGCCCACAACUACUUUGUGUUCUACUCGUGCAAAGAAUCUACACAAUAGACCUAGCUCAUGAUGCCACUGUUGGGGAACGUAGCAAUAAUUCAAAAUUUUCCUACGUGUCACCAAGAUCUAUCUAUGGAGAAACCAGCAACGAGGGGAAGGAGAGUGCAUCUACAUACCCUUGUAGACCGCUAAGCGGAAGCGUUCAAGAGAACGGGGUUGAAGGAGUCAUACUCGUCGUGAUCCAAAUCACCUGAGAUCCUAGUGCCGAACGGACGGCACCUCCGCGUUCAACACACGUGCAGCCCGGUGACGUCUCCCAUGCCUUGAUCCAGCAAGGAGAGAGGGAGAGGUUGGGGAAGACUCCGUCCAGUAGCAGCACGAUGGCGUGGUGGUGGUGGAGGAGCGUGGCAACCCUGCAGGGCUUCGCCAAGCACCGCGGGAGAGAGGAGUACUUGGGAGAGGGGGAGGGCUGCGCCAGAACUUGGGGUGCGGCUGCCCUCCCACCCCUCCACUAUUUAUAGGUGGGGAGAGAAGGGGGCCAGCCCCCUAGAUCCCAUCUAGGGUUGGGGCGGCGGCCAAGGGGGGGAGGAGUGCCUCCCAAGUCAAGUGGAGGCCCUCCACCUUAGGGUUUCCCCUCUCCCAUGCGCAUGGGCCUUGGGGGGGCUGGUGCCCCAGGCCCAUUAAGGCUAGGGCACCCCCUUACAGCCCAUGCUGCUGUAUUGGACGUGGUGGAACAAUUUCUGGACCUCCGGACCCCUCCGGAAUCCUCCGGAACCUUCUGGAAGCUUCCUGGUACAAUACCAGAAAAACCCGAACUUUUCCCGGAACCCGAACAAGAACUUUCCAUAUAUAAAUCUUUACCUCCGGACCAUUCUGGAACUCCUCGUGACGUCCGGGAUCUCAUCCGGGACUCCGAACAACAUUCGGUAACCACAUACAAACUUCCUUUAUAACCCUAGCAUCAUCGAACCUUAAGUGUGUAGACCCUACGGGUUCGGGAACCAUGUAGACAUGACCGAGACAUUCUCCGGUCAAUAACCAACAACGGGAUCUGGAUACCCAUGUUGGCUCCCACAUGUUCCAUGGUGAUCUCAUCGGAUGAACCACGACAUCGAGCAUUCGAGCAAUCCCAUAUACAAUUCCCUUUGUCUAGCGGUAUUGUACUUUCCCGAGAUUCGAUCGUCGGUAUGCCGAUACCUUGUUCAAUCUCGUUACCGGCAAGUCUCUUUACUCGUUCCGUAACACAUCAUCCCGUGAUCAAACCCUUGCUCACAUUGUGCACAUUAUGAUGAUGUCCAACCGAGUGGUCCCAGAGAUACCUCUCCGUCUACACGGAGUGACAAAUCCGAGUCUCGAUUCGUGCCAACCCAGCAGACACUUUCAGAGAUACCCGUAGUGCACCUUUAUAGCCACCCAGUUACGUUGUGACGUUUGAUACACCCAAAGCAUUCCUACGGUAUCCGGGAGUUGCACAAUCUCAUGGUCUAAGGAAAUGAUACUUGACAUUAGAAAAGCUUUAGCAUACGAACUAUAUGAUCUUUGUGCUAGGAUUAGGAUUGGGUCUUGUCCAUCACAUCAUUCUCCUAAUGAUGUGAUCCCGUUAUCAACGACAUCCAAUGUCCAUGGUCAGGAAGCCGUAACCAUCUAUUGAUCAACGAGCUAGUCAACUAGAGGCUUACUAGGGACAUGGUGUUGUCUAUGUACCCACACAUGUAUCUGAGUUUCCUAUCAAUACAAUUAUAGCAUGGAUAAUAAACGAUUAUCAUGAACAAGGAAAUAUAAUAAUAAUAACCAUUUUAUUAUUGCCUCAAUAGUGUUUUCUCACGUCCUUUAAUUGUUGUUGCAUCUUUUACGUGGCUGCAAUAGGGUUCUAGCAAGAACGUUUUCUUACCUACGAAAAAGCCACAACAUGAUUUGUCAACUUAUAUUUACCCUUCAUAAGGACACUUUUCAUCGAAUCCGCUCCAACUAAAGUGGGAGAGACAGACACCCGCUAGCCACCUUAUGCAACUAGUGCAUGUCAGUCGGUGCAACCUGUCUCACGUAAGCGUACGUGUAAGGUCGGUCUGGGCCGCUUCAUCCCACAAUACUGCUGAAGCCAAAUAAGACUAGUAGUGGCAAGAAAGUUGACAACAUCUACGCCCACAACAGAUUUGUGUUCUACUCAUGCAAAGAGAACUACGCAUAGACCUAGCUCAUGAUGCCACUGUUGGGGAAUGUUGCAGAAACAAAAAAAAUCUGUGGUUUUCACCAAGAUCAAUCUAUGAGUUCAUCUAGAAACGAGAGAGAGGAGUGCAUCUACAUACCCUUGUAGAUCGAGCGGAAGCGUUCAAGAGAAUGGGGUUGAGGGAGUCGUACUCGUCGUGAUCCAAAUCACCGGAGAUCCUAGCGCUGAACGGACGGCACCUCCGCGUUCAACACACGUAUGGUCAGCAUGACAUCUCCUCCUUCUUGAUCUAGCAACAGGGAAGGAGAGGUUGAUGAUGAUCCAGCAGCACGACGGCGUGGUGGUGGAUGCAGCAGGGAUCCCAGCAGGGCUUCGCCAAGCGUCUGCGGGAGGGAGAGGUGUAGCAAGGGGGAAGGGAGGUGCCAAGUGCAAGGGUGCGACUGCCCUCCCUCCCCCCCUCUUUAUAUAGGGACCCCAGGGGGGCGCCGGCCCUAGGAGAUGGGAUCUCCUAGGGGGGGCGGCGGCCAAGGGGGGGUGCCUUGCCCCCCAAGGCAAGUGGAGGCGCCCCCUCCCCUAGGGUUCCCAACCCUAGGCGCAGGGGGGCCCAAGGGGGGGCGCACCAGCCCACCAGGGGCUGGUUCCCCUCCCACUUCAGCCCAUGGGGCCCUCCGGGAUGGGUGGCCCCACCCGGUGGACCCCCGGGACCCUUCCGGUGGUCCUGGUACAAUACCGGUGACCCCCAAAACUUUCCCGAUGGCCAAAACUCGACUUCCCAUAUAUAAUUCUUUACCUCCGGACCAUUCCGGAACUCCUCGUGAUGUCCGAGAUCUCAUCCGGGACUCCGAACAACUUUCGGUUUGCUGCAUACAAAUAUCUCUACAACCCUAGUGUCACCGAACCUUAAGUGUGUAGACCCUACGGGUUCGGGAGAUACGUAGACAUGACCGAGACGGCUCUGCGGUCAAUAACCAACAACGGGAUCUGGAUACGCAUGUUGGCUCCCACAUGCUCCUCGAUGAUCUCAUCGGAUGAACCACGAUGUCGAGGAUUCAAGCAACCCCGUAUACAAUUCCCUUUGUCAAUCGGUAUGUUACUUGCCCGAUAUUCGAUCGUCGGUAUCCCAAUACCUCGUUCAAUCUCGUUACCGGCAAGUCACUUUACUCGUACCGUAAUGCAUGAUCCCCUGACCAGACACUUGGUCACUUUUAGCUCAUUAUGAUGAUGCAUUACCGAGUGGGCCCAGAGAUACCUCUCCGUCAUACAGAGUGACAAAUCCCAGUCUCGAUCCGUGUCAACCCAACAGACACUUUCGGAGAUACCCGUAGUAUACCUUUAUAGUCACCAGUUACGUUGUGACGUUUGGUACACCCAAAGCACUCCUACAGUGUCCAUGAGUUACACGAUCUCAUGGUUUAAGGAAAAGAUACUUGACAUUGGAAAAGCUCUAGCAAACAAACUACACGAUCUUGUACUAUGCUUAGGAUUGGGUCUUGUCCAUCACAUCAUUCUCCUAAUGAUGUGAUCUUGUUAUCAAUGACAUCCAAUGUCCAUAGUCAGGAAACCAUGACUAUCUGUUGAUCAAGGAGCUAGUCAACUAGAGUCUCACUAGGAACAUAUUGUGGUCUAUGUAUUCACACGUGCAUUACGAUUUCCGGAUAAUACAAUUAUAGCAUGAAUAAAAGAUAAUUAUCAUGAACAAGGAAAUAUAAUAAUAAUCCUUUUAUUAUUGCCUCUAGGCCAUAUUUCCAACAGUCUCCCACUUGGACUAGAGUAAAUAAUCUAGUUACAUUGUGAUGAAUCAAACACCCAUAGAGUUCUGGUGUUGGUCAUGUUUUGUUUGCGGAAGAGGUUUAGUCAACGGAUCUGUGACAUUCAGAUCCGUAUGUACUUUGCAAAUAUCUAUGUCUCCAUCUUGAACAUUUUCAUGGAUGGAGUUGAAACGAUGCUUGAUUUGCCUGGUCUUCUUGUGAAACCUGGGCUCCUUGGCAAGGGUAAUAGCUCCAGUGUUGUCACAGAAGAGAGUGAUCGGCCCCGACGAAUUGGGUAUGACUCCUAGGUCGGUGAUGAACUCCUUCAUCCAUAUUGCUUCAUGUGCUGCCUCCGAGGCUGCCAUGUACUCCGCUUCACAUGUAGAUCCCGCCACGACGCUCUGCUUGCAACUGCACCAGCUUACUGCUCCACGAUUCAACAUAUACACGUAUCCGGUUUGUGACUUAGAGUCAUUCAGAUCUGUGUCGAAGCUAGCAUCGACGUAACCCUUUACGAUGAGAUCUUCGUCACCUCCAUAAAUGAGAAACAUGUCCUUUGUCCUUUUCAGGUACUUCAGGAUAUUCUUGACCGCUGUCCAGUGUUCCUUGCCGGGAUUACUUUGGUACCUUCCUACCAAACUUACGGCAAGGUUUCCAUCAGGUCUGGUACACAACAUGGCAUACAUAAUAGAUCCUAUGGCUGAGGCAUAGGGGAUGACACUCAUCUCUUCUUUAUCUUCUGCCAUGGUCGGGCAUUGAGCCGAGCUCAAUCUUACACCUUGCAAUACAGGCAAGAACCCUUUCUUGGACUGAUCCAUAUUGAACUUCUUCAAUAUCUUAUCAAGGUAUGUGCUUUGUGAAAGACCUAUGAGGCGUCUCGAUCUGUCCCUAUAGAUCUUGAUGCCUAAUAUGUAAGCGGCUUCUCCAAGGUCCUUCAUUGAAAAACACUUAUUCAAGUAGGCCUUAAUGCUGUCCAAAAGUUCUAUAUCAUUUCCUAUCAGAAGUAUGUCAUCUACAUAUAAUAUGAGAAAUGCUACAGAGCUCCCACUCACUUUCUUGUAAACGCAGGCUUCUCCAUAAGUCUUCAUAAACCCAAACACUUUGAUCAUCUCAUCAAAGCAAAUGUUCCAACUCCGAGAUGCUUGCACCAGGCCAUAAAUGAAUCGUUGGAGCUUGCAUACCUUGUUAGCAUUCUUAGGAUCGACAAAACCUUCGGGAUGCAUCAUAUACAGUUCUUCCUUAAGAUAGCCAUUAAGGAAUGCCGUUUUGACGUCCAUCUGCCAUAUCUCAUAAUCAUAGUAUGAGGCAAUUGCUAACAUGAUUCGGACGGACUUCAGCUUCGCUACGGGAGAGAAAGUCUAAUCGUAGUCAACCCCUUGAACUUGCCGAUAACCCUUAGCGACAAGUCGAGCUUUAUAGAUGGUAACAUUACCAUCCGCAUCCGUCUUCUUCUUAAAGAUCCAUUUGUUUUCUAUCGCUCGCCGAUCAUCCGGCAAGUCUGUCAAAGUCCAUACUUUGUUUUCAUACAUGGAUUCUAUCUCGGAUUGCAUGGCUUCAAGCCAUUCGUUGGAAUGUGGGCCCGUCAUCGCUUCUUCAUAGUUCGAAGGUUCACCGUUGUCUAACAACAUGAUUUCCAGGACAGGGUUGCCAUACCACUCUGGUGUGGAACGUGUCCUUGUGGACCUACGAAGUUCAGUAGCAACUUGAUCCGAAGUAACUUGAUCAUCAUCAUUAAUUUCCUCUCCAGUCGGUGCAGGCAACAUAGGAACAUUUUCCUGAGCUGCACUACUUUCCGGUUCAAGAGGUAGUACUUCAUCGAGUUCUACUUUCCUCCCACUUACUCCUUUCGAGAGAAACUCUUUUUCCAGAAAGGAUCCGUUCUUGGCAACAAAGAUCUUGCCUUCGGAUCUAAAGAAGAAGGUAUACCCAAUGGUUUCCUUAGGGUAUCCUAUGAAGACGCAUUUUUCCGACUUGGGUUCGAGCUUUUCAGGUUGAAGUUUCUUGACAUAAGCAUCGCAUCCCCAAACUUUUAGAAACGACAACUUAGGUUUCUUCCCAAACCAUAAUUCAUAUGGUGUCGUCUCAAAGGAUUUAGACGGAGCCCUAUUUAAAGUGAAUGUAGCUGUCUCUAGAGCGUAUCCCCAAAAUGAUAGAGGUAAAUCGGUAAGAGACAUCAUAGAUCGCACCAUAUCCAAUAGAGUGCAAUUACGACGUUCGUACACACCGUUACGUUGAGGUGUUCCAGGCAGCCUGAGUUGUGAAACGAUUCCACAUUUCCUUAAGUGCAUACCAAAUUCAUGACUUAAAUAUUCUCCUCCACGAUCUGAUCGCAAGAACUUUAUCUUUCGGUCAGGUUGAUUCUCUACCUCAUUCUGAAAUUCCUUGAACUUUUCAAAGGUCUCAGACUUGUGUUUCAUCAAGUAGACAUACCCAUAUCUACUUAAGUCAUCAGUGAGAGUGAGAACAUAACAAUAUCCUCCACGAGCCUCACGCUCAUUGGACCGCACACAUCAGUAUGUAUGAUUUCCAAUAAGUUGGUUGCUCGCUCCAUUGUUCCGAAGAAAGGAGUCUUGGUCAUUUUGCCCAUAAGGCAUGGUUCGCAUGUGUCAAAUGAUUCAUAAAAGAGAGACUCUAAAAGUCCAUCAGCAUGGAGCUUCUUCAAGCGCUUGACACCAAUGUGACCAAGGCGGCAGUGCCACAAGUAUGUGGGACUAUCGUUAUCAACUUUACAUCUUUUGGUAUUCACACUACGAAUAUGUGUAACAUCACGUUCGAGAUUCAUUAAGAAUAAACCAUUGACCAUCGGGGCAUGACCAUAAAACAUAUCUCUCAUAUAAAUAGGACAACCAUUAUUCUAGGAUUUAAAUGAGUAGCCAUCUCAUAUUAAACGAGAUCCAGAUACAAUAUUCAUGCUCAAACUUGGCACUAAAUAACAAUUAUUAAGGUUUAAAACUAAUCCCGUAGGUAAAUGUAGAGGUAGCGUGCCGACGGCGAUCACAUCGACCUUGGAACCAUUCCCGACACGCGUCGUCACCUCGUCCUUCGCCAGUCUCCGCUUAUUCCGCAGCUCCAGCUUUGAGUUACAAAUAUGAGCAACGGCACCGGUAUCAAAUACCCAGGAGCUACUACGAGCACUGGUAAGGUAUACAUCAAUUACAUGUAUAUCACAUAUACCUUUAGUGUUGCCGGCCUUCUUGUCCGCUAAGUAUUUGGGGCAGUUCCGCUUCCAGUGACCCUUCCCUUUGCAAUAAAAGCAUUCUAUUUUAGGCUUGGGUCCAUUCUUUGACUUCUUCCCGGCAACUGGCUUACCGAGCGCGGCAACAUCCUUGCCGACCUUCUUGAAGUUCUUUUACCCUUGCCUUUCUUGAACUUAGUGGUUUUAUUGACCAUCAACACUUGAUGUUCAUUUUUGAUUUAUACCUUUGCUGACUUCAGCAUUGAAAAUACUUCAGGAAUAGUUUUCACCAUCCCCAACAUAUUCUAGUUCAUCACAAAGCUCUUGUAGCUCGGUGGGAGCGACUGAAGGAUUCUUUCAAUGACCGCCUCGUCCGGGAGGUUAAUGUCCAGCUGGGACAGGCGGUUGUGCAACCCAGACAUUUUGAGUAUGUGCUCACUGACAGAACUAUUUUCCUCCAUCUUACAACUAUAGAACUUGUCGGAGACUUCAUAUCUCUUGACCCGGGCAUGAGCUUGGAAAACCAUUUUCAGCUCCUCGAACAUCUCAUAUGCUCCGUCUUGCUCAAAACGUUUUUGGAGCCCCGGUUCUAAGAUGUAAAGCAUGCUGCACUAAACGAGGGAGUAAUCAUCAGCACGUGACUGCCAAGCGUUCAUAACGUCUUGGUUCUCUGGGAUGGGUGCUUCACCUGGCGGUCCUUGUAGGACAUAUGCUUUCUUGGCAGCUAUGAGGAUGAUCCUCAGGUUCCGGACCCAGUCCGUAUAGUUGCUGCCAUCAUCUUUUAGCUUGGUUUUCUCUAGGAACGCGUUGAAGUUCAUGUUGACAUGAGUGUUGGCCAUUUGAUCUACAAGACAUUUUUGCAAAGGUUUUAGACUAAGUUCAUGAUAAUUAAGUUCAUCUAAUCAAAUUAUUUAAUGAACUCCCACUUAGAUUAGACAUCCCUCUAGUCAUCUAAGUGUUACAUGAUCCGAGUCGACUAGGCCGUGUCCGAUCAUCACGUGAGAUAGACUAGCAUCAUCGGUUAACAUCUCCAUGUUGAUCAUAUCUUCCAUACGACUCAUGUUCGACCUUUCGGUCUCUGUGUUCCGAGGCCAUGUCUGUACAUGUUAGGCUCAUCAAGUUAAUUAAAGUGUUUUGCAUGUGUAAAUCUGUCUUACACCCAUUGUAUGUGAAUGUUAGGAUCUAUCACACCCGAUCAUCACGUGGUGCUUCGAAACAAUGAACUGUCACAACGGCGCACAGUUAGGGGGGACACUUUCUUGAAAUUAUUAUGAGGGAUCAUCUUAUUUACUACCGUCGUUCUAAGUAAACAAGAUGCAAAAAUAUGAUAAACAUCACAUGCAAUCAAAUAAUAGUGACAUGAUAUGGCCAAUAUCAUAUAGCUCCUUUGAUCUCCAUCUUCGGGGCUUCAUGAUCAUCUUCGUCACCGGCAUGACAACAUGAUCUCUAUCAUCAUGAUCUCCAUCAUCGUGUCUCCAUGAAGUUGCUCGCCAACUAUUACUUCUACUACUAUGGCUAACGGUUUAGCAAUAAAGUAAAGUAAUUACAUGGCGUUAAAUCAUUGACACGCAGGUCAUACAAUAAUUAAGACAACUCCUAUGGCUUCUACCGGUUUUCAUACUCAUCGACAUGCAAGUCGUGAUUCCUAUUACAAGAACAUGAUCUCAUACAUCACAAUAUAUCAUUCAUCAUUCAUCACAACUUUUGGCCAUAUCACAUCACCAAGCAAUUGCUGCAAAAACAAGUUAGACGUCCUCUAAUUGUUGUUGCAUCUUUUACGUGGCUGCAAUAGGGUUCUAGCAAGAACGUUUUCUUACCUACGAAAAAGCCACAACGUGAUUUGUCAACUUCUAUUUACCCUUCAUAAGGACCCUUUUCAUCGAAUCCGCUCCAACUAAAGUGGGAGAGAUAGACACCCGCUAGCCACCUUAUGCAACUAGUGCAUGUCAGUCGGUGGAACCUGUCUCAGGUAAGCGUACGUGUAAGGUCAGUUCGGGCCGCUUCAUCCCACAAUACCGCUGACGCAAAAUAAGACUAGUAGUGGCAAGAAAGUUGACAACAUCUACACCCACAACAGAUUUGUGUUCUACUCGUGCAAAGAGAACUACUGAUAGACCUAGCUCAUGAUGCCACUGUUGGGGAACGUUGAUGAAAAUAAAAAAUUUCCACGGUUUUCACCAAGAUCAAUCUAUGAGUUCAUCUAGCAACGAGAGAGAGGAGUGCAUCUACAUACCCUUGUAGAUCGAGCGGAAGCGUUCAAGAGAACGGGGUUGAGGGAGUCGUACUCGUCGUGAUCCAAAUCACCGGAGAUCCUAGCGCCGAACGGACGGCACCUCCGCGUUCAACACACGUACGGUCAGCGUGACGUCUCCUCCUUCUUGAUCCANNNNNNNNNNNNNNNNNNNNNNNNNNNNNNNNNNNNNNNNNNNNNNNNNNNNNNNNNNNNNNNNNNNNNNNNNNNNNNNNNNNNNNNNNNNNNNNNNNNNNNNNNNNNNNNNNNNNNNNNNNNNNNNNNNNNNNNNNNNNNNNNNNNNNNNNNNNNNNNNNNNNNNNNNNNNNNNNNNNNNNNNNNNNNNNNNNNNNNNNNNNNNNNNNNNNNNNNNNNNNNNNNNNNNNNNNNNNNNNNNNNNNNNNNNNNNNNNNNNNNNNNNNNNNNNNNNNNNNNNNNNNNNNNNNNNNNNNNNNNNNNNNNNNNNNNNNNNNNNUCUCCUCUUUCUUGAUCCAGCAAGGGGGGAGGAGAGGUUGAUGAGGAUCCAGCAGCACGACGGCGUGGUGGUGGAUGCAGCAGGGAUCCCGGCAGGGCUUCGCCAAGCGUCUGCGAGGGGGGGGGGGAAGGUGUAGCAAGGGGGAAGGGAGGCGCCAAGUGCAAGGGUGCGGCUGCCCUCCCUCCCCCCUCUUUAUAUAGGGACCCCAGGAGGGGCGGCGGCCCUAGGAGAUGGGAUCUCCUAGGGAGGUGGGGCGGCCAAGGGGGGGUGCCUUGCCCCCCAAGGCAAGUGGAGGCGCCCCCUCCCCUAGGGUUCCCAACCCUAGGCGCAGGGGGGCCCAAGGGGGGUGUUGGAAAUAUGCCGUAGAGGCAAUAAUAAAAGGAUUAUUAUUAUAUUUCCUUGUUCAUGAUAAUUGUCUUUUAUUCAUGCUAUAAUUGUAUUAUCCGGAAAUCGUAAUACACGUGUGAAUACUUAGACCACACCAUGUCCCUAGUGAGCCUCUAGUUGACUAGCUCGUUGAUCAACAGAUAGUCAUGGUUUCCUGACUAUGGACAUUGGAUGUCAUUGAUAACGGGAUCACAUCAUUAGGAGAAUGAUGUGAUGGACAAGACCCAAUUCUAAGCAUAGCACAAAGAUCGUGUAGUUCGUUUGCUAGAGCUUUUCCAAUGUCAAGUAUCUUUUCCUUAGACCAUGAGAUCGUGUAACCCCCGGAUACUGUAGGAGUGCUUUGGGUGUACCAAACGUCACAACGUAACUGGGUGACUAUAAAGGUGCACUACAGGUAUCUCCGAAAGUGUCUGUUGGGUUGACACGGAUCGAGACUGGGAUUUGUCACUCCAUAUGACGGAGAGGUAUCUCUGGGCCCACUCGGUAAUGCAUCAUCAUAAUGAGCUCAAAGUGACCAAGUGUCUGGUCACGGGAUCAUGCAUUAUGGUACGAGUAAAGUGACUUGCCGGUAACGAUAUUGAACGAGGUAUUGGGAUACCGACUAUCGAAUCUCGGGCAAGUAACGUACCGAUUGACAAAGGGAAUUGUAUACGGGGUUGCUUAAAUCCUCGACAUCGUGGUUCAUCCCAUGAGAUCAUCGAGGUGCAUGUCGGAGCCAACAUGGGUAUCCAGAUCCCGUUGUUGGUUAUUGACCGGAGAGCCGUCUCAGUCAUGUGUGCAUGUCUCCCGAACCCAUAAGGUCUACACACUUAAGGUUCAGUGAUGCUAGGGUUGUUUGAAUAUGAGUAUGCAGCAAACUAAAAGUUGUUCGGAGUCCCGGAUGAGAUCCCGGACAUCACGAGGAGUUCCAGAAUGGUCCGGAGGUAAAGAAUUAUAUAUGGGAAGUCGAGUUUCGUCCAUCGGGAAAGUUUCGGGGGUCACCGGUAUUGUACAGGGACCACCAGAAGGGUCCCGGGGGUCCACCAGGUGGGGCCACCCAUCCCGGAGGGCCCCAUGGGCUGAAGUGGGAGGGGAACCAGCCCCUGGUGGGCUGGUGCGCCCCCCCCCCUGGGCCCCCCUCUGCGCCUAGGGUUGGGAACCCUAGGGGAGGGGGCGCCUCCACUUGCCUUGGGGGGCACUCCAACCCCCUGGCCGCCGCCCUCCUUGGGAGAUCCCAUCUCCAGGGACGCCCCCCCUGGGGUCCCUAUAUAAAGAGGGGGGGUGGGAGGGCAGCCACAGCCCUAACCUCUGGCGCCUCCUUACCCCCUUGCUACACCUCCUCCUCCCGUAGUCACUUGACGAAGCCCUGCCGAAACUCUGCUGCAUCCACCACCAUGCCGUCAUGCUGCUGGAUCUUCAUCAACCUCUCCUUCCCCCUUGCUGGAUCAAGAAAGAGGAGACGUCACGCUGACCGUACGUGUGUUGAACGCGGAGGUGCCGUCCGUUCGGCGCUAGGAUCUCCGGUGAUUUGGAUCACGACGAGUAUGACUCCCUCAACCCCGUUCUCUUGAACGCUUCCGCUCGCGAUCUACAAGGGUAUGUAGAUGCACUCCUCUCUCUCGUUGCUAGGUGAACUCAUAGAUUGAUCUUGGUGAACAUAGGAAAAUUUUUAUUUUAUGCAACGUUCCCCAACAAUGGCAUCAUGAGCUAGGUCUAUGCGUAGUUCUCUAUUGCACGAGUAGAACACAAAUCUGUUGUGGGCGUAGAUGUUGUCAACUUUCUUGCCACUACUCGUCUUAUUUUGCUUCAGCGGUAUUGUGGGAUGAAGCGGCCCGGACCGACCUUACACGCACGCUUACGUGAGACAGGUUCCAUCGACUGACAUGCACUAGUUGCAUAAGGUGGUUAGCGGGUGUCUGUCUCUCCCACUUUAGUUGGAGCGGAUUCGGUGAAAAGGGUCCUUAUGAAGGGUAAAUAGAAGUUGACAAAUCACGUUGUGGUUUUUCGUAGGUAAGAAAACGUUCUUGCUAGAACCCUAUUGCAGCCACGUAAAAGAUGCAACAACAAUUAGAGGACGUCUAACUUGUUUUUGGAGCAAUUGCUUUGUGAUGUGAUAUGGCCAAAAGUUGUGAUGAAUGAUGAAUGAUAUAUUGUGAUGUAUGAGAUCAUGUUCUUGUAAUAGGAAUCACGACCUGCAUGUCGAUGAGUAUGACAACCGGCAGGAGCCAUAUCAGUUGUCUUAAUUAUUGUAUGACCUGCGUGUCAAUGAUUCAACGCCAUGUAAUUACUUUACUUUAUUGCUAAACCGUUAGCCAUAGUAGUAGAAGUAAUAAUUGGCGCGCAACUUCAUGGAGACACAAUGAUGGAGAUCAUGAUGAUGGAGAUCACGGUGUCAUGCCGGUGACGAAGCUGAUCAUGGAGCCCCGAAGAUGGAGAUCAAAGGAGCUAUAUGAUAUUGGCCAUAUCAUGUCACUACUAUAUAAUUGCAUGUGAUGUUUAUUAUGUUUAUGCAUCUUGUUUACUUAGAACGACGGUAGUAAAUAAGAUGAUCCCUUAUAAUAAUUUCAAGAAAGUGUUCCCCCUAACUAUGCGCCAUUGCUAAAGUUCAUCCUUUUUGAAGAACCACGUGAUGAUCGUGUGUGAUAGAUUCUUACGUUCUCAUACAACAGGUGUAAGACAGUUUUACACAUGCUAAACACUUAGGUUAACUUGACGAGCCUAGCAUGUACAUACAUGGCCACGGAACACAGAGACCGAAAGGUCGCACAUGAGUCGUAUGGAAGAUACGAUCAACAUGGAGAUGUUAACCGAUGAUGACUAGUCCGUCUCACGUGAUGAUCGGACACGGCCUAGUCGACUCGGAUCAUGUAACACUUAGAUGACUAGAGGGAUGUCAAAUCUGAGUUGGAGUUCAUUAAAUAAUUUGAUUAGAUGAACUUAAUUAUUGUGAACUUAGUCUAAAAUCUUUGCAAAAUAUGUCUUGUAGAUCAAAUGGCCAACGCUCAUGUCAACAUGAACUUCAACGCGUUCCUAGAGAAAACCAAGCUGAAAGAUGAUGGCAACAACUAUACGGACUGGGUCCGGAACCUGAGGAUCAUCCUCAUAGCUGCCAAGAAAGCAUAUGUCCUAGAAGGACCGCUAGGUGAAGCACCCAUCCCAGAGAACCAAGACGCUAUGAACGCUUGGCAGUCACGUGCUGAUGAUUACUCCCUCGUUCAGUGCGGCAUGCUUUACAACUUAGAACCGGGGCUCCAAAAGCGUUUUGAGCAACACGGAGCAUAUGAGAUGUUCGAGGAGCCGAAAAUGGGUUUCCAAGCUCAUGCCCGGGUCGAGAGAUAUGAAGUCUCCGACAAGUUCUAUAGUUGUAAGAUGGAGGAAAAUAGUUCUGUCAGUGAGCACAUACUCAAAAUGUCUGGGUUGCACAAUAGCCUGUCCCAGCUGGACAUUAACCUCCCGGACAAGGCGAUCAUUGACAGAAUCCUUCAGUCGCUCCCACCGAGCUACAAGAGCUUUGUGAUGAACUACAAUAUGCAGGGGAUGGAGAAAACCAUUCCUGAAGUAUUUUCAAUGCUGAAGUCGGCGGAGGUAGAGAUCAAGAAAGAACAUCAAGUGUUGAUGGUCAAUAAAACAACCAAGUUCAAGAAGGGCAAGGGUACGAAGAACUUCAAGAAGGACGGCAAGGAUGUUGCCGCGCAAAGCCAUUUACCGGGAAGAAGUCAAAGAAUGGACCCAAGCCUGAGACUGAGUGCUUUUAUUGCAAAGGGAAGGGUCACUGGAAGCGGAACUGCCCCAAAUACUUAGCGGACAAGAAGGCCGGCAACACUAAAGGUAUAUUUGAUAUACAUGUAAUUGAUGUGUACCUUACCAGUACUCAUAGUAACUCCUGGGUAUUUGAUACCGGUGCCGUUGCUCAUAUUUGUAACUCACAGCAGGAGCUGCGGAAUAAGCGGAGACUAGCGAAGGACGAGGUGACGAUGCGCGUCGGGAAUGGUUCCAAGGUCGAUGUGAUCGCCGUCGGCACGCUACCUCUACAUUUACCUACGGGAUUAGUUUUAAACCUCAAUAAUUGUUAUUUAGUGCCAAGUUUGAGCAUGAACAUUGUAUCUGGAUCUCGUUUAACGCGAGAUGGCUACUCAUUUAAAUCCGAGAAUAAUGGUUGUUCUAUUUAUAUGAGAGAUAUGUUUUAUGGUCAAGCCCCGAUGGCAAUGGUUAAUUCUUAAUGAAUCUCGAACGUAAUGUUACACAUAUUCAUAGUGUGAAUACCAAAAGAUGUAAAGUUGAUAACGAUAGUCCCACAUACUUGUGGCACUGCCGCCUUGGUCACAUUGGUGUCAAGCGCAUGAAGAAGCUCCAUGCUGAUGGACUUUUAGAGUCUCUCAAUUAUGAAUCAUUUGACACAUGCGAACCAUGCCUCAUGGGCAAAAUGACCAAGACUCCGUUCUCCGGAACAAUGGAGCGAGCAACCAACUUAUUGGAAAUCAUACAUACUGAUGUGUGUGGUCCAAUGAGCGUUGAGGCUCGCGGAGGAUGCCAUUAUGUUGUCACUCUCACUGAUGACUUAAGUAGAUAUGGGUAUGUAUACUUGAUGAAACACAAGUCUGAGACCUUUGAAAAGUUCAAGGAAUUUCAGAAUGAAGUAGAGAAUCAACAUGAUCAAAAAAUAAAGUUCUUACGAUCAGAUCGUGGAGGAGAAUAUUUAAGUCACGAAUUUGGUACGCACUUAAAAAAUGUGGAAUCGUUUCACAACUCACGCCGCCUGGAACACCUCAGCGUAAUGGUGUGUCCGAACGUCGUAAUCGCACUCUAUUGGAUAUGGUGUGAUCUAUGAUGUCUCUUACCGAUUUACCGCUAUCAUUUUGGGGAUACGCUCUAGAGACAGCUACAUUCACUUUAAAUAGGGCUCCGUCUAAAUCCGUUGAGACGACACCAUAUGAAUUAUGGUUUGGGAAGAAACCUAAGCUGUCGUUCUAAAAGUUUGGGGAUGCGAUGCUUAUGUCAAGAAACUUCAACCUGAAAAGCUCGAACCCAAGUCGGAAAAAUGCGUCUUCAUAGGAUACCCUAAGCAAACCAUUGGGUAUACUUUCUACCUUAGAUCCGAAGGCAAGAUCUUUGUUGCCAAGAAUGGAUCCUUUCUGGAAAAAGAGUUUCUCUCGAAAGGAGUAAGUGGGAGGAAAGUAGAACUCGAUGAAGUACUACCUCUUGAACCGGAAAGUAGUGCAGCUCAGGAAAAUGUUCCUGUGGUGCCUACACCAACUGGAGAGGAAAUUAAUGAUGAUGAUCAAGGUACUUUGGAUCAAGUUGCUAUUGAACUUCGUAGGUCCACAAGGACACGUUCCACACCAGAGUGGUAUGGCAACCCUGUCCUGGAAAUCAUGUUGUUAGACAACGGUGAACCUUCGAACUAUGAAGAAGCGAUGGCGGGCCCAGAUUCCAACAAAUGGCUUGAAGCCAUGCAAUCCGAGAUAGAAUCCAGGUAUGAAAACAAAGUAUGGACUUUGACAGACUUGCCCGAUGAUCGGCGAGCGAUAGAAAACAAAUGGAUCUUUAAGAAGAAGACGGACGCGGAUGGCAAUGUUACCAUCUAUAAAGCUCGACUUGUCACUAAGGGUUAUCGGCAAGUUCAAGGGGUUGACUACGUUGAGACUUUCUGUCCCGUAGCGAAGCUGAAGUCCGUCCGAAUCAUGUUAGCAAUUGCCGCAUACUAUGAUUAUGAGAUAUGGCAGAUGGACGUCAAACGGCAUUCCUUAACGGCUAUCUUAAGGAAGAACUGUAUAUGAUGCAGCCGGAAGGUUUUGUCGAUCCUAAGAAUGCUAACAAGGUAUGCAAGCUCCAGCGAUCCAUUUAUGGGCUGGUGCAAGCAUCUCGGAGUUGGAACAUUCGCUUUGAUAAGAUGAUCAAAGCGUUUGGGUUUAUGCAGACUUAUGGAGAAGCCUGUGUUUUCAAGAAAGUGAGUGGGAGCUCUGUAGCAUUUCUCAUAUUAUAUGUAGAUGACAUACUUUUGAUGGGAAAUGAUAUAGAACUUUUGGACAACAUUAAGGCCUACUUGAAUAAGUGUGUUUCAACGAAGGACCUUGGAGAAGCUGCUUACAUAUUAGGCAUCAAGAUCUGUAGGGAUAGAUCGAGACGCCUCAUAGGUCUUUCACAAAGCACAUACCUUGAUAAGAUUUUGAAGAAGUUCAAAAUGGAUCAGUCCAAGAAAGGGUUCUUGCCUGUAUUGCAAGAUGUGAGAUUGAGCUCGGCUCAAUGCAUGACCACGGCAAAAGAUAAAGAAGAGAUGAGUGUCAUCCCCUAUGCCUCAGCCAUAGGAUCUAUUAUGUAUGCCAUGCUGUGUACCAAACCUGAUGUAAACCUUGCCGUAAGUUUGGUAGGAAGGUACCAAAGUAAUCCCGGCAAGGAGCACUAGACAGCGGUCAAGAAUAUCCUGAAGUACCUAAAAAGGACAAAGGACAUGUUUCUCGUUUAUGGAGGUGACGAAGAGCUCGUCGUAAAGGGCUACGUCGAUGCUAGCUUCGACACAGAUCUGGAUGACUCUAAGUCACAAACCGGAUACAUGUAUAUGUUGAAUCGUGGAGCAGUGAGCUGGUGCAGUUGCAAGCAGAGCGUCGUGGCGGGAUCUACAUGUGAAGCGGAGUACAUGGCAGCCUCGGAGGCAGCGCAUGAAGCAAUAUGGAUGAAGGAGUUCAUCACCGACCUAGGAGUCAUACCCAAUGCGUCGGGGCCAAUCACUCUAUUCUGUGACAACACUAGAGCUAUUGCCCUUGUCAAGGAGCCCAAGUUUCACAAGAAGACCAGGCACAAUAAGCGUCACUUCAACUCCAUUCGUGAAAAUUUUCAAGAUGGAGACAUAGAUAUUUACAAAGUACAUACAGAUCUGAAUGUCGCAGAUCCGUUGACGAAACCUCUUCCGCGAGCAAAACAUGAUCAACACCAGAACUCUAUGGGUGUUCGAUUCAUCACAAUGUAACUAGAUUAUUGACUCUAGUGCAAGUGGGAGACUGUUGGAAAUAUGCCCUAGAGGCAAUAAUAAAAGGAUUAUUAUUAUAUUUCCUUGUUCAUGAUAAUUGUCUUUUAUUCAUGCUAUAAUUGUAUUAUCCGAAAAUCGUAAGACACGUGUGAAUACAUAGACCAACACAUGUCCCUAGUGAGCCUCUAGUUGACUAGCUCGUUGAUCAACAGAUAGUCAUGGUUUCCUGACUAUGGACAUUGGAUGUCAUUGAUAACGGGAUCACAUCAUUAGGAGAAUGAUGUGAUGGACAAGACCCAAUCCUAAGCAUAGCACAAAGAUCGUGUAGUUCGUUUGCUAGAGCUUUUCCAAUGUCUAGUAUCUUUUCCUUAGACCAUGAGAUCGUGUAACUCCCAGAUACCGUAGGAGUGCUUUGGGUGUACCAAACGUCACAACAUAACUGGGUGACUAUAAAGGUGCACUAUAGGUAUCUCUGAAAGUGUCUGUUUGGUUGACACGGAUCGAGACUGGGAUUUGUCACUCCGUAUGACGGAGAGGUAUCUCUAGGCCCACUCGGUAAUGCAUCAUCAUAAUGAGCUCAAAGUGACCAAGUGUCUGGUCACGGGAUCAUGCAUUACGGUACGAGUAAAGUGACUUGCCGGUAACGAGAUUGAACGAGGUAUUGGGAUACCGAUGAUCGAAUCUCGGGCAAGUAACGUACCGAUUGACAAAGGGAAUUGUAUACGGGGUUGCUUAAAUCCUCGACAUCGUGGUUCAUCCGAUGAGAUCAUCGAGGAGCAUGUGGGAGCCAACAUGGGUAUCCAGAUCCCGCUGUUGGUUAUUGACCGGAGAGCCGUCUCGGUCAUGUCUGCAUGUCUCCCGAACCCGUAGGGUCUACACACUUAAGGUUGGAUAACGCUAGGGUUCUUUGAAUAUGAGUAUGCAGCAAACCGAAAGUUGUUCGGAGUCCCGGAUGAGAUCUCGGAUGUCAUGAGGAGUUCCGGAAUGGUCCGGCGGUAAAUAAUUAUAUAUGGGAAGUCGAGUUUCGGCCAUCGGGAAAGUUUCGGGGGUCACCGGUAUUGUACCGGGACCACCGGAAGGGUCCCGGGGGUCCACCGGGUGGGGCCACCCAUCCUAGAGGGCCCCAUGGGCUGAAGUGGGAGGGGAACCAGCCCCUNNNNNNNNNNNNNNNNNNNNNNNNNNNNNNNNNNNNNNNNNNNNNNNNNNNNNNNNNNNNNNNNNNNNNNNNNNNNNNNNNNNNNNNNNNNNNNNNNNNNNNNNNNNNNNNNNNNNNNNNNNNNNNNNNNNNNNNNNNNNNNNNNNNNNNNNNNNNNNNNNNNNNNNNNNNNNNNNNNNNNNNNNNNNNNNNNNNNNNNNNNNNNNNNNNNNNNNNNNNNNNNNNNNNNNNNNNNNNNNNNNNNNNNNNNNNNNNNNNNNNNCUGCGCCUAGGGUUGGGAACCCUAGGGGAGGGGGCACCUCCACUUGCCUUGGGGGGCACUCCAACCCCCUGGCCGCCGCCCCCCUUGGGAGAUCCCAUCUCUAGGGCCGGCGCCCCCUGGGGUCCCUAUGUAAAGAGGGGGGGUGGGAGGGCAGCUGCACCCCUGACCUCUGGCGCCUUCUUACCCCCUUGCUAUACCUCCUCCUCCCGUAGUCGCUUGGCGACGCCCUGCCGGAACCCUGCUGCAUCCACCACCAUGCCGUUGUGCUGCUGGAUCUUCAUCAACCUCUCCUUCCCCCUUGCUGGAUAAAGAAGGAGGAGACGUCACGCUGACCGUACGUGUGUUGAACGUGGAGGUGCCGUCCGUUCGGCGCUAGGAUCUCUGAUGAUUUGGAUCACGACGAGUACGACUCCCUCAACCCCGUUCUCUUGAACGCUUCCGCUCGCGAUCUACAAGGGUAUGUAGAUGCACUCCUCUCUCUCGUUGCUAGAUGAACUCAUAGAUUGAUCUUGGUGAAUGUAGGAAUUUUUUUAUUUUAUGCAACGUUUCCCAACAGGGGGGGGGCGCACCAGCCCACCAGGGGCUGGUUCCCCUCCCACUUUAGCCCAUGGGGCCCUCCGGGAUGGGUGGCCCCACCCGGUGGACCCUCGGGACCCUUCCGGUGGUCCCGGUACAAUAUCAGUGACCCCCGAAACUUUCCCGAUGGCCAAAACUCGACUUCCCGUAUAUAAUUCUUUACCUCCGGACCAUUUUGGAACUCCUCGUGACGUCCGGGAUCUCAUCCGGGACUCCAAACAACUUUCGGUUUGCUGCAUACAAAUAUCUCUACAACCCUAGCGUCACCGAACCUUAAGUUUGUAGACCCUACGGGUUCGGGAGAUACAUAGACAUGACCGAGACGGCUCUUCGGUCAAUAACCAACAGCGGGAUCUGGAUACCCAUGUUGGCUCCCACAUGCUCCUCGAUGAUCUCAUCGGAUGAACCAUGAUGUCGAGAAUUCAAGCAACCCCGUAUACAAUUCCCUUUGUCAAUCGGUAUGUUACUUGCCCGAGAUUCGAUCGUCGGUAUCCCAAUACCUCGUUCGAUCUCGUUACCGGCAAGUCACUUUACUCGUACCGUAAUGCAUGAUCUAGUGACCAGACACUUGGUCACUUUGAGCUCAUUAUGAUGAUGCAUUACCGAGUGGGCCCAGAGAUACCUCUCUGUCAUACGGAAUGACAAAUCCCAGUCUCGAUCCGUGUCAACCCAACAGACACUUUCGGAGAUACCUGUAGUAUACCUUUAUAGUCACCCAGUUACGUUGUGACGUUUGGUACACCCACAGCACUCCUACGGUGUCCGGGAGUUACACGAUCUCAUGGUCUAAGGAAAAGAUACUUGACAUUGGAAAAGCUCUAGCAAAUGAACUACACGAUCUUGUGCUAUGCUUAGGAUUGGGUCUUGUCCAUCACAUCAUUCUCCUAAUGAUGUGAUCUCAUUAUCAAUGGCAUCCAAUGUCCAUAGUCAGGAAACCAUGACUAUCUGUUGAUCAACGAGCUAGUCAACUAGAGGCUCACUAGGGACAUAUUGUGGUCUAUGUAUUCACACGUGCAUUACGAUUUCCGGAUAAUACAAUUAUAGCAUGAAUAAAAGACAAUUAUCAUGAACAAGGAAAUAUAAUAAUAAUCCUUUUAUUAUUGCCUCUAGGGCAUAUUUCCAACAAUAUGCAAAUUCCUCAAUAGUGUUUGCUCAUGUUUAUCUACUGUUGUAGUUGCUCAUGUACAUGUUCUUGAGUGGUCCUGUUAUAUGCAACAUUGAAGUGGUUCAAUUGUGCCCAAGUGGCCUUUUGUUGUUUCCAGGGAAUGAAGCCGAGUGGCCUAUGUGUUGCCGGAAUGUUGAUUCAUUUCCAUUCCAGCAAAUUUUAGGUGCUCGAUUUGUCCACUUUUAUAGCAAAGCUCGUGCCAAAAUUUUCCUUGAAUUUCGGCAUGACUUGUGCUACAAACUAGGACAUAUCGAGUGCCCGGGAUUUACCGCACCAGAAAUGAAUCAACAUCCCUUCAAAAUACAGGCCUUUUUUAUGUCAUUAUUCAUUUUAUUAGGUCUAGAAUUAAUUGACUAGAUUUAAUUGUAGGAAACAUGGCUAGCAACGGUGUUUGCAACGUCUACGAGGUGGCAGACGUUUAUUUGAACCUUCUCGACGAGCAACGGUUGUUGCAUGGCCCACUUGUCACAUCCGAGACUGAGACCGACAUCGGGACUGGUAUCGAGACUGGCGCUGAGACCCAGACCCGCACGAAGACUGGUGAAGCCGGUACAGAACCAAAACCAAAGAGGCAACGGCGCCCAAACCAGCUCAUCACUAAUAGACUGGUGGUCACGGUGGUGGACGAUGACAAUUUUGAGCCAAAAGAGCCUACGGAAGCGCACGCGUGCUAUGGCAAUCAAAUAGGCUGCAUCCUAUGAGCAAGCGCCACCAACAACGAUGAGAAACUAAAGAAUAUACCAGAUAUGAAGCAGUCCCUCCGAACUAAGCUGCACUAGGUAUUCUUGUUACCGGGCCGGGAUGAAAUCAAAUAUACUAAUCCAGAUAAAGACCCGACAAUGAAGAAGAUAACAAACGCGCCAUGAGCAAUUUUAGUAGUGCAUUGUCCGCCUGAAAGUAAGGGUGAAACAUAAGAUCAUCGACAAAAAAGAACCCUACUCCUAGAUUGUAAAUGAUAAUCCGACAAUUACGGAAGAGCAGUUUGAAAUAUUCAAGGCGACUUGUGUUGAAGAAGCUGCCAAAGAAAAGUCGGAGUACAUGAAGGGGCUCCAAGAGAGGAACAUGGGGUGCCACCACCUCGAAAGUCGUGGUUACGCGGGAAGAGGUCCAUAUUGGCCAAGGAGGACGCAAAACGCGAAAGUCUGGGCAUCCCAGACCCCUUGGCGGUGUUCACUGUCCAGCAGGAGCAUAAUGUCAUCAGGGCCCAGUACCCUUGGGACCUAGUCAAGAAGGUUUUUGAGAUGUACGCGAUCACAAGGAGUUCAUGAGACUGCUGGUAAUUUUUAAUUUACCCCCUAAUUUUAGCUUCUGAUCAAUUCGACUGCACAUUUAGUCAUAUAUUUAUACGAUUCUUGUUCCUUUUGCAAAAAGAGCAGCACAUAAUUGCGGCCGAAAGCGGCUCGUCGUCUGAGGCAUUGCGAGGCCUGUCGGUGUCAAAACCGGCGGAUCUCGGGUAGGGGGUCCCGAACUGUGCGUCUAGGCGGAUGGUAACAGGAGACAAGGGGCACGAUGUUUUACCCAGGUUCGGGCCCUCUUGAUGGAGGUAAAACCCUACGUCCUGCUUGAUUAAUAUUGAUGAUGUGUGUUACAAGAGUGGAUCUACCAUGAGAUCAAGGAGGCUAAACCCUAGAGGCUAGCCUAUGGUAUGAUUGUUGUUCGUCCUACGGACUAAAGCCAUCCGGUUUAUAUAGACACCGGAGAGGGCUAGGGUUACACAGAGUCGGUUACAAUGGUAGGAGAUCUACAUAUCCGUAUCGCCAAGCUUUCCUUCCAUGCCAAGGAAAGUCCCAUACGGACACGGGACGAAGUCUUCAAUCUUCUAUCUUCAUAGUCUUGGAGUCCGGCCGAUGAUGAUAGUUCGGCUAUCCGGACGCCCCCUAGUCCAGGACUCCCUCAUUAGCCCCCAAACCAGGCUUCAGCGACGACAAGUCCGGCACGUAUAUUGUCUUCGGCGUUACAAGGCGGGUUCUCCUUCAAACUUCAUGUUCCUGCCGAAUAGUGUCCGACUUCCUUAUAAAUGUUGCGCUCCUUGGCUUCUACGCCCAAUAAUGGCCUUCUUCCACGUGUUGUAUGAAUGCGAAAAGCUAGGGUAUUUUUACAUCUUACCCCCUAGCCGUGCGAACGAGCCGCCUAUAAGAGAUGUGAGGAUCUAGAUCCAACUCACACCAUCCUCCUUCCGCAAGUACUCAUCGAAGCGCCUCUGACAAAAAUCCAUUCUAUCAUGGAUAGUCGACGCGGCUCCUCCUCUCGCGCUCCCAGCCCUAAGCCAGGAGAUUGGGGGAGAUGCUCAGUUCCACACAGCGAGCUAGUGGCGCUCCAAACCGAGGGAUAUCUUCCCCCAGCCUUCAUGGUUCCGGUUCGAGCCGGACUGGCCACCUUCAGGGGUGGAAAGCAGGCGGAGAGCGUCCCCAACCCUUCCAAAGGAGAGCGGGUAUGCUUCGUCCCUUAUCUAAUAAGGGGACUCGGAUUUCCCAUACACCCGUUUCUCCGGGGGCUCCUGGAGUUCUACGGACUCCAGCUUCACCACCUCACACCUGCCUCCAUUUUGCACAUCGCGGGCUUUGUAGCCCGUUGCGAGCUGUUCUUGGGCAUCGAGCCCCACUUUGCACUGUGGAAGAGAUUGUUUUGCCUCGCACCCCGUUCUCAGGAGGGGUCGAUAUAUCAAGUGGGCGGAGCCGAAAUAUGGCGCAUCGCCGGGACCGGAUAUCUAUCUGGCACCCCGAAGAAGGCGUCCGAAGACUGGCCUUCGGAAUGGUUCUACAUGGAGGACGCCCCUCUGCCGGAUCCAGUUCGGAUCGGCCUCCCGGAGUUCAGCAAUGCUCCCUUGAAGAAACGCCUGAGUUGGCGCCCGCAGAGCCCUCAACGGGAGGAUGAUGGGAGCGUCCAUUAUCUGAUGGGCCGGAUUAGGUUACUGGCCCACUCUUGAUUGACCAUGAUCGGAAUCAUGGCCACGUGCAUUAUGCGAGGGGUGCAGCCGCUCCAAUAUAGGGGCCACCCUAUGUGGGAUUUCAAUGGGGAAGAUGACGCCACCCGUCAUGGCCGCAGAGGGCCGGGCUCGGCAGCCGAUCUGGUAAAGAUCCUAUCCGGCUUGUACAAGGGGGAGGAGGAGGACUUCCUCCGCACGAGUCCAUUGAAUGGAUUUUCCAUGAAUAACCCUCGGAGCUGGGUAAGUGGACGUUUAUCUACCCGAUCCAUACUUCCAAAGUCAAGUAUUUUACUUUAUGAUUUCGACGCAGGAGCUGCGCCAGGACAUGGAGGGCAUACAAAGCCUAACUCCACAGCCCAAGGAUCCGGAAUGAUCCCUUGAUCUGGCCUCCGAAGAGGAUCCGAACAUAAAGGUGGAGCUGAUUGAUGGGGUGUUCCAACAACUUAGCAUGGACAAUGCUCUAGUCGCCAUUACGGCUGACUACCCCGAUUAGUUUCCGGCCUCCCAGGUGACUACGACCGAGGUCUUGACACCAUCAUUUGAUCCAUGCUCAAUUCUGACCAUCCUAUACUGAUGGUGCAUCGUAGGAGGUGCCUUUCGAGCGGGAAGCCGAAGCCACGGCGGCUGACCAGCAAGGGUCAGUUCGGCCCAGCAGGCGGAAGAGGAGUGCGACGCGAACCGAAACAUCGCCGCAAUGGUACGACGCACCGCUGUUUUUAAGGGAAGGAUCCCUAGGAGGUAUAUUAAUGCUCAUAACUUUUCCAGGAGAAAGAGCGCUCGCCGGACAGUGUCCGGAGAGGUUGCCAAUCAAGCCUCCGCAAGCCAUGCUCCAACGCGUGGUCCAGAAGGGGAGGCGAAUACAAGGCAUGAGACGGAUGCUCCUCCGACGGAGGAUGCCGACAGGCUGUCCGCCACCCCGUCUGAGGUGGAGAGCGCCAUGAAUCACAGGCGUCGCCGGACAAUUCUUUGUGACGCGUGUUUCUCCCCGGAGGCAUUGAAUGCCUUUGAUGCGGGAGACGCGCACCUCCAUGCCGCUCAAGAUGGUUUAACCAGAGCCAUGGAGCAGUAUGUGAAGGACAUACGAGUAAGUAAUUUUAAUAGUUAUAUAUAUGCCAGUAGCCCCCGAGACUUAAAAUAGUUAAAAUAACUGAUUUAAGGAUCAUUUAUUAUGUAGGAUCUUACGGAGAAGAAUACCCACCUGUCCCAGGAGCUUCAAGAGUGCAAGGCCCAACUUGAGGCUGCACUGGCCGCCACAGGGGGAGCCACAAAGACCCUCGCUGGUAAUACGUACUUCGAAAAGAUAAGUAGUUAACAAAGUGCGGCGUGUGCGUAAAUCUAACAAUAAUAUUGCAGAGGGCGCCGGACUAGAUCCGGAAAAGCAACAGCUACUGCGUCAGCUGAAGGCCGGUGAGAGGGUGCUUAUGAAGGUGCAGCAGGAGAGGAACAAGCUCCAAGAUGCCCACACCCAGCUAGGAGAAGAGCUGAAAGAUGUUCGGGCCCAGCUGUCUGGCUCCGUGAAGGAGAAUCAGCGGCUUCGUCGCGGCAUUUAUAGUAAGUGCUUGAGCAAAUUCCAUUGAAAAGAAGAAUUUGGCGAGGAAGUCGAUUGACAGAAAUGUGUCUUUAGGUGUGCUCACAGGUCGCCCUGCGGAGGAAAUGCCCGGUUCAACGGGUGACCAACUUCCCAAGCUGGUGAAACUGUUCGAACGUGUUCGGCAGGCGAUGAGUGGUGUCGUUCAGGCCUUAUCGCCUUCCGUCUCCCUACCUGAGGGCCUUGGAGGGCUUGCUGAGAAGCUUCAGGGAGUACGGCGACGUCUCCGUCUGUGCAAGAUAUCAGCCUGCCGUCAAGGCGCCAGGGAGGCCUGGGCCAUGGUGAAGACGCGGUACCCGAAGGCUGACCCAAACCACAUGGCCGAGGUCGGACCUAUGGGGCCUGAUGGGAAGGAGAUCCCUAUGAGCUUGAUGUACGGCCAAAUAGAGCUGGCCGCGAAAUAUUCCCAACAGGACUGUAAAUUAGACAGCCUGUUAGAUGGGAUUGAAGAGGAGUACAAUUAGUCAGUUUGGCGAUGUAAUUUUAAAAUGACAUAUAGAAUGCCUUCUAGCCGGAUUGUAGAUCCUUUGUCUUUGCGGACCUUUUCGCUUCAACCUCGGGACCCAACAGUCCGGAGUGUGUCCGAAUACCCUUACGGUUAUAAAAGAACCGGGGCGUGCAUGGAGACAAGGCGUCGGGGUCAUAAUUGCUUUAUCAGACAAGUGCCCAACUAGCUAUGUUAUAUUGCAUGGUUAGUAAGAAACAUCUUCCAGGGAGAAUAGUUCCGUUAAGGGUUCCUUUCCCUGGGAGGCAUUCCCUAAAGUGCAUGUUCGGACUGCGAAAUUAGCAGAAAAAGCAUCUGGGGGCAGAUAAAUAAGUAAGCAAUAAAUCAUCUUUCAAGUCACCGACCGAAUAUUCUCUUAAGAACGCUAGCUUUCGGCUUCACCCAGUCUGAGGUACACAUCCGGCUGACCCGGCAGUAACAAUCGUAGAGGUGCUCCCUUUACCUCCUAGCUGAACAAUCAGGAACGUAGGGGUAAGCACAGGAGCCAGGCAGCCCAGCUUGGGCAAAACUUAAGUCAUAUCGAUGCAUAUAAUGGUGAAUAAAAGGUACAUGCGGAAGUAUAACACAUGUGUUGGGCAUGAAGCCCAUAUAAAUAAGCUUCUGUUAAAGAAGCCCCCUGGUAUAAUGAGUGCUAGGAGCACAUCAAGUGUGUGCGAACAAUGCGCAAAUCAGCCUAUAAAAGGUAUCGAAAAAAUAAGUGGGAAGAAGGAGGGGGACAAGAGACAGUGAAAAUGUAAAAAGGUGGACGGAGGAGUGAGACGAACUCUGAGUCCGGCGUUAGGCGUAGAAUCUUCGGAGACGGGCUGCGUUCCAUGGGUUCGGCUCGAGUCGAUUGUCAGAUGCGUUACGUAGACGGUAUGCUCCGCCGGUCAGGACUUGGUCGAUGAUGAAGGGACCUUCCCACUUGGGCUUAAGUUUGUCCUUUUUCUUGUCCGGCGGGCGUAGAACAAGUUCGCCAACAUUGUAAGUUUUGGCCCGUACUUCUCUGCUUUGAUAUCUUCGAGCCUGCUGCUGAUAGAAUGCGAAACGAGCUUUUGCCACGUCCCACUCCUCUUCUAAGGCGUCCACACUGUCCUGCCGAUCCAACUCGGCUUCUCUUUCUUCGUACAUGCGCACGCGAGGUGAGUCAUGAAUUAUAUCGCAGGGCAGAACUGCCUCUGCGCCGUACACCAUAAAAAAUGGUGUGAAUCCGGUAGUGCGGUUUGGCGUGGUCCGCAGCCCCCAGAGUACGGAGUCGACCUCCUCUACCCAGUGCGUGUUAGAUUCCUUGAGGGACCGCACUAGUCUGGGUUUGAUGCCGCUCAUGAUUAGACCAUUUGCUCGCUCGACUUGACCGUUAGUUUGGGGGUGAUAGACUGAAGCGUAGUCGAGCUUGAUGCCCAUGUUUUUGCACCAGAGUUUAACCUCGUCGGCCAUGAAAUUCGUGCCGUUAUCAGUGAUGAUGCUGUGGGGGACGCCAAAACGGUGUACUACCCCGGAUAUGAAGUCUACCACAGGUCCGGAUUCUGCCGUUUUAACCGGCUUGGCCUCUAUCCAUUUGGUGAAUUUGUCCACCAUGACCAAUAAGUAUUUGUGCUUGUGGGUUCCCCCUUUAAGGGGUCCAACCAUGUCAAGCCCCCAGACCGCGAACGGCCAGGUGAUGGGUAUAGUUUUGAGGGUGGUGGGUGGCAUGUGGCUCUGAUUAGCAAAGAGCUGGCAACCGACGCAUCGUUGGACUAAGUCCUGAGCAUCUCCUGGGCUGUCAGCCAAUAAAAUCCUGUAUGGAAGGCCUUGCCUACAAGGACCCGGGCUGCAGCGUGGUGCCCGCCGAGUCCGGCGUGAAUUUCAGCCAGGAGAUUUCGCCCUUCCUCUUCGGAGAUACACAUUUGAAGGACUCUGGUUGUGCUUUUCUUAUAAAGUUCUCCGUCAUGGAUCUUGUAGGCUUUAGAUCGCCGAACUAUGCAGCGGGCCUCAUUUUGGUCUUCGGGAAGUUCCUGCCUGAUUAAGUAGGCUAGGAAUGGUUCCGUCCACGGGGCAAUUACUGCCAUUAUUUCGUGGGCUGAAGGUGUUAUUUCAUUGGCUGAGCCACGAUUGUGUCAGAAUGGUCUGAGUUAGGUGAUGCAACUGGUUCCGGAUUGUUGUUUCCGGACUCCUCUUGCCAUAAUACGGAUGGCUUAAAGAGCCGUUCCAGGAAGAUGUUCGGAGGGACGGCGUCGCGUUUUGCGCCGAUGCGUGCCAACACGUCUGCUGCCUGGUUGUUAUCCCGGGCUACAUGGUGGAAUUCGAGUCCUUCGAACCGAGCUGACAUUUUUAGGACGGCGUUGCGGUAGGCUGCCAUUUUCGGAUCUUUGGCGUCAAAGUCUCCAUUUACUUGGGAUAUUGCGAGGUUUGAAUCCCCGCGCACCUCUAGGCGUUGAAUGCCCAUGGAGAUUGCCAUCCGAAGGCCAUGUAGAAGGGCCUCGUAUUCGGCUGCGUUGUUGGAGUCCGUGUACAUUAUUUGAAGUACGUAUUGGACUGUGUCUCCGGUUGGGGACGUCAAGACGACGCCAGCCCCCAAGCCAGCCAACAUUUUGGAUCCGUCGAAAUGCAUGAUCCAAUUGGAGUACGCGCCGUACUCUUUAGGGAGUUCGGCUUCGGUCCAUUCGGCGAUGAAGUCAGCCAGAACUUGCGACUUUAUAGCUCGCCGUGGUUUGUAGGUUAUGUCAAAUGGUAAGAGCUCAAUGGCCCAUUUUGCAAUCCUGCCCGUUGCGUCGCGAUUGUUUAUAAUAUCGUUGAGAGGUACUUCGGAGGCCACCGUUAUGGAACACUCCUGAAAGUACUGUCGCAGCUUCCGGGAUGCCAUGAACACCGCAUACGCUAUCUUUUGAUAAUGUGGGUACCGGGACUUGCAUGGAGUUAAGACAGUGGAUACGUAGCACACUGGUUUUUGAAGAGGGAAUCUGUGCCCUUCUGUUUCUCGCUCGACGACGAGUACCGCGCUGACAACUUGAUGUGUUGCUGCGAUAUAUAAUAACAUAGGUUCGCCCAGGUUGGGCCUGGCCAGGACCGGAUUAGUUGCCAGUAUGGCCUUGAUUUCUUCAAGUCCGGCCGUGGUAGCAUCCGUCCAUUCGAAGUGUUCGGUGCGCCGGAGGAGGCGAUAGAGGGGCAGAGCCUUUUCUCCCAAACGGGAGAUGAAGCGGCUUAGAGCCGCUACGCAUCCAGUUAGUUUUUGUAUUUGCUUGAGGUAUUUUGGGAUAUCUAAUUGUGACAGAGCUCGGAUCUUGGCUGGGUUUGCUUCAAUUCCUCUACCGGAUACAAUGAAGCCCAAAAGCUUUCCGGCUGGUACUCCGAAGACACAUUUUUUAGGGUUGAGCUUAAUGUCAUAUGCUCGGAGGUUGUCGAAUGUCACCCCCAAGUCGUCUACUAGAGUUUCGACGUGUUUGGUCUUGACGACCACAUCGUCUACGUAUGCCUCUACUGUUUUGCCUAUUUGGGUAGCCAGACAUGUCUGAAUCAUGCGCUGAUAUGUUGCGCCAACGUUUUUGAGUCCGAAGGGCAUUGUGUUGAAGCAAAAUGGCCCAUAUGGAGUAAUGAAUGUCAUUGCGGCCUGGUCUUUUUCCGCCAUCUUGAUUUGAUGGUAUCCGGAGUAUGUGUCGAGGAAGCACAAUGAAUCGUACCCUGUGGUAGCAUCGAUGAUUUGGUCGAUGCGAGGGAGAGGGAAAGGGUCCUUUGGACAGGCCUUGUUAAGGUCUUUGAAAUCGACGCAAAGGCGCCAGGAUUUGUCCUUUUUUGGUACCAUUACUAGGUUGGCUAGCCAGUCCGAAUGUUUUAUAUCUCUGAUGAAUCCGGCUUCUAAGAGUUUGGCUAGCUCCUCUCCCAUUGCCUCUCUUUUGGGUUCGGAAAAUCGCCGAAGAGCUUGUUUGACUGGCUUGAAUCCUUUUAGGAUAUUUAGGCUGUGCUCUGCCAGCCUGCGUGGGAUUCCUGGCAUGUCUGAAGGGUGCCAGGCAAAAAUGUCCCAAUUUUCCCGAAGGAAUUCUCGUAGUGCGGCUUCUACAUCAGGAUUUAAUUGUGCCCCGAUGGAGGCCGUCUUUGUGGGGUCCGUUGGAUGGACCUGAAAUCUGACUAUUUCGUCUGCUGGUUUAAAAGAGGUGGACUUGGACCUCUUAUCGAGUAUCACAUCAUCCCUAUCCACCGUGGAGCGCAGCGCAGUUAGUUCCUCUGCCGCUAGGGCUUCGGAUAAUGCCUCUAGGGCCAGUGCGGCUGUUUUAUUUUCAGCGCGAAGUGUUGUAUCUGGAUCACUAGCGAGAGUGAUUAUUCCAUUGGGUCCGGGCAUUUUGAGCUUCAUGUACCCGUAAUGGGGUAUAGCUUGGAAGAUUGUGAAUGCCUCUCGCCCUAACAAGGCGUGAUAUCCGCUGCCGAAUGGGGCCACUUGGAACGUGACCUCUUCAGACCUCUAAUUGUCCGGCGAGCCGAACACUACAUCUAGUGUGAUUUUUCCUGUGCAGCAUACUUCUCGACUAGGGAUUAUUCCCCUGAAGGUUGUGCUGCUUUGCUCAAUGCGGCUCCAGUCAAUUUCCAUUUUUUGAAGGGUUUCUUAGUAGAUGAGGUUUACUCCGUUGCCGCCAUCCAUGAGUACCUUGGUAAGACGAAAGUCGUCCACUAUCGGACUGAGGACUAAUGCGGCUGGUGCUCUAGCUGUUCGAAAUUUAGGUUCGUCGCUGGCAUUGAAGGUGAUAGCCGUGUCACUCCAUGGAUUUGUUGUUGCUACUUGGUAGACUUCGGCGAGGCUGCGGAUUGUUCGUUUCCGCAUGUUAUUUGAUGCGAAAUUCUCGAAGACUGUUAAUACCGUACUGGUACUGCUGGGCUGGUUGCCCGGGGCUAAAAAGCCUUCGCCACUUUUGGCCAACUGCCAUAAUAUCCAACAUGCUCGAAGGCUAUGUGUUGCAGUGGCGCCCUCCGUACUGUGGAUUUUGCAGGGUCCGUUGAGCCAUCCCUCCAGUAUAGUUCCGUACCCUUUAGGGGGGUUUUGCUUUUUAGAUUUUAACCCAGGUGCUUGAGUAUGACGCACCCUUUUAUUUCAGACUGGGAUUGUAUUCAGGGCCGGAUUGUCCCAAAACCUAGUUUCGGUUUUCCAGGCACUCUCCAUCGCGCAGUAUUUUUGUACGAUGGUCGCUAGGUCGUAGAAGCGUGUAACUUCGCGACGACUAAUGGCGUUUAUGAUUCCCUCGUCCGUGCAAUUGUUGCAGAAAAUUGAAAUCGCGCUUUCUUCACGGUAGUCCUUUAUCCUGUUCAUAACCAGGAGGAAUCUGGCCCAGUAAUGAUGUACUGUUUCAUCGGGCUCUUGCCGUAUUUGAGAUAGAUCGCUUAUGUUUGGGUGGGCGGGUGGAAUUAAGUUCGGAACCCCGCCCGAUCUGAGGCUCAAAGGCCAAGAAGCUUCCGGAUUUGGAAGCUUGGUUUGUUGGAUGCUUUCCAACAAAUCUGGUCUGAUGCCUGACUUUAGGUUCAGUAUUUGAUUGGCGUCCGUCCCUUCGCGGGAAUCCGGCCUGGAGGGAUCGGGAAUCCGGACAUAGUUUGGUUUUUAACAUAGAAGAAGAGUCGCCGCAUUGUUCCUCUACCACAACAACGUGGUGGGUAACCUGGGGAGAGUUAAUUUCUCUCAGAUCGGUUUUAAGCCCAAUCUGAUCGUAGUCGGUCACCACGCUACUCGGCGAAUUCCGAGCUGACGUGAAGAUUGCUUUUAAUGACCUGAGAGGUCAUUGUCAGAGCGAUGGCCGAACAGGCGGUCAUAAGGAAACUGCCUAGCCGGAUAGUCUGGCCGGCGGCCAAAGCUCCCUUGACGACGGUGCCAUCUUUAAAGACGGGAAAAGGCAUCCUUCCUGAUGGUGACGACACAGAGGAACUCUCAAUGAAAGCACCAAUGUCGAUGUCAAAACCGGCGGAUCUCGGGUAGGGGGUCCCGAACUGCGCUUCUAGGCGGAUGGUAACAGGAGACAAGGGGCACGAUGUUUUACCCAGGUUCGGGCCCUCUUGAUGGAGGUAAAACCCUACGUCCUGCUUGAUUAAUAUUGAUGAUGUGUGUUACAAGAGUGGAUCUACCACGAGAUCAAGGAGGCUAAACCCUAGAGGCUAGCCUAUGGUAUGAUUGUUGUUCGUCCUACGGACUAAAGCCAUCCGGUUUAUAUAGACACCGGAGAGGGCUAGGGUUACACAGAGUCGGUUACAAUGGUAGGAGAUCUACAUAUCCGUAUCGCCAAUCUUGCCUUCCACGCCAAGGAAAGUCCCAUCCGGACACGGGACGAAGUCUUCAAUCUUCUAUCUUCAUAGUCUUGGAGUCCAGCCGAUGAUGAUAGUUCGGCUAUCCGGACAACCCCUAGUCCAGGACUCCCUCAAGGCCCAAGUGGGAAACCCCAUUCAACCGGGCCUUGAACAUAUUGAUACGUCUCCAAUGUAUCUAUUAUUUAUGAAGUAUUCAUGACAUUAUAUUAUCAUUCUUGGAUCUUUUACAAUCAUUUUAUAGCAACUUUAUAUCAUUUUUUGGGACUAACCUAUUGACCCAGUGCCCAGUGCCAGUUGCUGUUUUUUGCUUAUUUUUUACAUCGCAGGAAAUCAAUAUCAAACGGAGUCCAAACAUAGUGAAACUUCUUGUGGAUUUUUUAUGGACCAGAAGACAUCCAGUGGGCCAAGGAAGCACCUGGGGGGGUGCCUCGAGGGGGCAGCACACACCAGGGCGCGCCUGGGGGGCCAGGCGCGCCCAGGUGGGUUGUGCCCACCUCAGGUUCCCCCUGAACUGCCUCUUCACCCUAUAAAUUCCCAAAUAUUCCAAAACCCUUCGGGGUAGCCCAAGAUCAGAAGUUCCGUCGCUGUAAGGCCUCUGUAUCCACGAGAUCCAAUCUAGAACCUGUUCUGGCACCCUGCCAGAGGGGGGAAUCAUCACCGGUGGCCAUCUUCAUCAUCCCGGCGGCCACCACGAUGAGGAGGGAGUCGUCCACCAUCGGGCCUGAGGGUUUGUACCAGUAGCUAUGUGUUAAAUCUCUCUCUCUCUCUCUCCCGUGUUCUUGAGAUGUCAUGAUCUUGAUGUAUUACUGGCUUUGUUAAUAUAGUCGGAUCAUAUGGUGUUUUCCCGUCUCUAGUUGUGAUGAAUUGAGUUUUUCCCUUUCAGAUUUCGUUGUUAUCGGAUUGAAUACUUUCAUGGAUUUGAGAACACUUGAUAUAUGUCUUGCAAUUGAAUACUCGUGGUGACAAUGGGGUAUCGUAUAGAUUCACUUGAUAUAUGUUUUGGCACUCAACUCAUGGAUUCUCGUGGUGACAUUGGGGUAAUCUAUGCAUAGGGGUUGAUGCCCGUUCUUGUCUUUGUUUCUCCGGUACAAAUCUUGGGGCACUCUUUGAAGUUCUUUGUGUUGGAUUGAGUAUUAUGAAUACGAAUUUGCUUUGGUGUUAUUUUAGUACGAACUCUAGGAUAGAUUGAACGGAAAGAAUAGCUUUGUGCUAUUUUAGUACGAACUCUUGAAUAGAUCAAACGGAAAGAAUAACUUUGAGGUGGUUUUGUACCCUACAAACAAUUUAUUCUUAUGUUCUCUGCUAGAUAGUAACUUUGGAGUGAUUCUUCAUCGCACUUUGAGGGAUGGUUAUAUAAUCCAAUUAUAUUAGCAUUGUUGAGAGAUUGGACUAGCAAAAGUAAGGACCCUAGGCAUCACUUUAUAUCAUUGCAAUACCGUUUGUGCUCCGUUUUAUCAUUUACUACCUUGCUGUUUUUUAUUGUUCGCACUACAAAAACUCAUAUCUACUAUCCAUACUACACUUUUAUCAUCAUCUCUUCGCCAAACUAGUGCACCUAUACAAUUUGCCAUUGUAUUGGGUGUGUUGGGGAGACAAGAGAUUUCUUGUAUUUGAUUGCAGGGUUGCUUGAGAGAGACUAUCUUCAUCCUACGCCUCCCACGGAUUGAUAAACCUUAGGUCAUCCACUUGAGGGAAAAUUGCUACUGUCCUACAAAACUCUGCGCUUGGAGGCCCAACACGAUUCUACAAGAAUAAAGUUGCGUAGUAGACAUCAGGCUCUUUUCUGAUGUCGUUGCUGGGGAGUUAUGUGCUUGAAGGUAUAUCUUUAGAUCUUGCAAUCGAAUAUUGUAGUUUCUUUUUUUAUCACUAGUUUGGUUUAUAAAAGAAAACUACAUAAAAAAUGGAAUUGAGGUUGCAUCAUAUUAUUGAUCAUCUUUAUAAUAUCUUGCUUGAAAAUGAUGGUUCGGGAAAUUGUGCUCAAUUGAUAGAAGAAGAAUUUAAUAAAAUGAUUGUCAUGAAUGAUGAGCAUGAUUGCAAUGUUGUUAGUAUGAAUUAUUUGAAUAUCCAUGAUGUUAAUGAUAUGCAAAGCUACAAGCUUGAGGAUGCUAUGUUUGAUGAAGAUGAUAUUUUUACUCCCCCAAGUUUUGAUGAGAUAAUUUAUUAUGAUGAUAGCAUGCCUCCUAUUUAUGAUGAUUAUAAUGAUAAAAGUGGAUUCGGAGAGGUCAUGACAUUAUUUAAUGAUUAAUCCACCAUUUUGGAUGAGGCUUCAAUAGACUAUGAGAACAAGGUCGCUAUCUAUGAUUAUUAUGGUGAUGACAUGUAUACUAUAUUGAAUAAUUAUACCCAUGAAACUUGUCAUCAUGAUUUUAAUUUUCAAUCUCACGAUAGUUAUUUUGUUGAGUUUGCUCCCACCACUAUUCAUGAGAAUAAAUUUGCUUAUGUGAUGGUUAUUGAUAUGUCUCCAAGGUAUCUAUAAUUUUUUAUUGUUCCAUGCUAUUAUAUUAUCUGUUUUGGAUGUUUAAUGGGCUUUAUUAUACACUUUUAUACUAUUUUUGGGACUAACCUAUUAACCGGAGGCCCAGUCCAAAUUGAAGUUUUUUUUGCCUAUUUCAGUGUUUCGCAGAAAAGGAAUAUCAAACGGAGUCCAAAUGGAAUGAAACCUUCAGGAGAGUCAUUUUUGGAACAAACGCAAUCCAGGAGACUUGGAGUGGACGUCAAGGAAGCAACGAGGCGGCCACGAGGCAGGGAGGCGCGCCCCCCACCCUCGUGGCUCCCCUUACCGACUUCUUUCGCCUAUAUAUAUAUACACUCAUAUACCCUAAAAACAUCAGAGAGCACCAUGCAACCCUAUUUCCACCGCCGCAACCUUCUGUACCCGUGAGAUCCCAUCUCGGGGCCUUUUCCGGCACUCUGCCGGACGGGGAAUCAAUCACGGAGGGCUUCUACAUCAACACUAUAGCCUCUCCGAUGAUGUGUGAGUAGUUUACCUCAGACCUUCAGGUCCAUAGUUAUUAACUAGAUGGCUUUUUCUCUCUCUUUGGAUCUCAAUACAAAGUUCUCCUCGAUCUUCAUGGAGAUCUAUUCGAUGUAAUUCUUUUUGCGGUGUGUUUGUCGAGAUCCAAUGAACUGUGGGUUUAUGAUCAACAUUAUCUAUGAACAAUAUUUGAAUCUCCUCUGAAUUCUUUUAUGUAUGAUUUGUUAUCUUUGCAAGUCUCUUCGAAUUAUCAGUAUUGUUUGGCCAACUAGAUUGAUCUUUCUUGCAAUGGGAGAAGUGCUUAGCUUUGGGUUCAAUCUUGCGGUGUCCUUUCCCAGUGACAGCAGGGGCAGCAAGGCACAUAUUGUAUUGUUGCCAUCGAGGAUAAAAAGAUGGGGUUUAUAUCAUAUUGCUUGAGUUUAUCCCUCUACAUCCUGUCAUCUUGCCUAAUGCGUUACUCUGUUCUUAUGAACUUAAUACUCUAGAUGCAUGUUGGAUAGCGGUCGAUGUGUGGAGUAAUAGUGGUAGAUGCAGAAUCAUUUCGACCUACUUGUCGCGGACGUGAUGCCUAUAUACAUGAUCAUGCCUAGAUAUUCUCAUAACUAUGCACUUUUCUAUCAAUUGCACGACAGUAAUUUGUUCACCCACUGUAAUACUUGUGCUAUCUUCAAAGAAGCCACUAGUGAAACCUAUGCCCCCGGGAUCUAUUUUCCAUCAUAUAAGUUUCCGAGCUAUUUUAUUUUCUAAUCUUUACUUUCCAAUCUAUAUCAUAAAAUUACCAAAAAUAUUUAUCUUAUUAUCUCUAUCAGAUCUCACUUUUGCAAGUGGUCGUGAAGGGAUUGACAACCCCUUUAUCGCGUUGGUUGCAAGGUUCUUAUUUGGUUGUGCAGGUACGAGGGAUUUGAGUGUAGCCUCGUACUGGAUUGAUACCUUGGUUCUAAAAAAUAUAGGGAAAUACAUACACUACUUUGCUGCAUCACCCUUUCCUCUUUAAGGAAAACUAACACAUGCUCAAGAGGUAGCAGUUAUAGUGUUGAAUUUCUUCAUGAUGCUACUGAAAAUUAUUAUGAGAGAGGAACAUCUGCUUUUACAUAUCUCAAUAAUAUCAAGUUUCCUCUCUAUGUGUUGAAAGUUUUGAAGUUAUGCAUGUUUGCCUUCCUAUGCUGGUUGAUUCUUGUUCCCAUGAAUUAUUUGCUCACAAAAUCCCUAUGCAUAGGAAGUAGGUUAGGCUUAAAUGUGCUUGCCAUGUGAUUCAUGAUGCUCUUUUUCAUGUUUCAAUUCUUAUCUUUUAUGCGAGCAUCAUUGAACUCAUCAUGCCUAGCUGAAAGGCAUUAAAGAAAAGCGCUUGUUGGGAGACAACCCAACACUUUUACCUACUGUUUUUGUGUGUUCACAUGAUUAGGAUACUAUAGUGAUCAUGUUUUAUUGCUUUCGUUUCAAUAAAGUGCCAAUUAAAGCCUUUGGGAUCAUGUUGGGUGAUAGUUGAUUUGAUUUUACUGAAAAACAGAAACUUUUGCGCUCGCGGAAAUAACUCUCAUUUUUAACAGAAGAGUGCUUUGAGUUGUUUAUUUUUGCAUAAGAUUAAUAGACACACGUGGUCAUAUUUUUUUCAUAAUUUUUGGAGUAGCAGAAGUAUGGUUUGAGUACAGAUUACUACAGACUGUUCUAUUUUUGACAGAUCCUGUUUUCAAUACAUAGUUUGCUUGUCUGAUUGUUUCUACGAAUUAUAUUGCUCAAUAUAAAUUGUGUAAAUGAUGUGCUACCAUAGGAAUAGUGUGGAAACAAUUAUGAAUCUUGUCUUUGACAGUACCAAAGUGAAAUGGUUUGCUCUUUAUCAUACUAACCUAUCUCACGAAGUUUCGUUAAGUUUUGUGUGAUUGAAGUUUUCAAGUUUUGGGUGAAAUGUCGAUAUGAGGAGAAUAAGGAGUGACAAUAACCUAAGCUUGGGGAUGCCCAAGUCACCCCCAAGGUAAUAUUCAAGGAAGAUCUAAGCAACUAAGCUUGGGGAUGCCCCGGAAGGCAUCCCCUCUUUCGUCUCUAACAUUAUCGGUAACCUCACUUGGAGCUAUGUUUUCAUUCGUCACAUGAUAUGUGUUUAGCUUGGAGCGUCAAUUUAUUUUGUUAGGAUUUGCUUUCUAUUAUUUAGAAGAAUGUUUUUCAUCCUUUAUUUCAAUUAAAAUGGCAAUGAUAGCAUUUUCCAUGCUUAUUUUGCAAGUAUACAUGUUGCUGUUUCAAAACAGAAAGUUUAUCGAUGUUGAAAAAAUUCCCUAGAAAAAUCAUAAUAUGAUAAAAUGUUGAAACUUUUUGAAAAAUAAGCUAUGAUAAAGUUUCUACAGUGUGGUAUUUUUUUUCAUAAUUUUUGGAGUCUAAGAAGUAUUGAUACUCUUGCAUUCUUUAAAGAUUGUACUGUUUUGGCAGAUUGCUGUUAUGUUUGCAUUGUUUGCAUAUGUUUGCUUGUUUAAUGAUUCUAUUUGACGAUAGGAGUAUUAAAUAUGUAGAGGCAUUUAGUAUUCAAUAUUGAAUAAUAAUUUUAGUGACUUGUUACAGUAUAUAAUGAUAAGGUUUUUGCAUUGGUUUAUACUAACUUAUCUCACGAGUUGUUGUUGAGUUUUGUGUGGAUGAAGCUUUUGAGAUUUAGGAAAACCAUGAUAUGAAAAUAAUUAAGGAGGAACAAAAGCUCAAGCUUGGGGAUGCCCAAGGAAUCCCAAGUUAAUAUUCCAAGAAGUCUCAAGCAUCUAAGCUUGGGGAUGCCCCGGUAGGUAUCCCACCUUUCUUCUUCAACAAUUAUCAGUUAGUAUUGGUUGAGCCAAUGUUCUUACUUCUUCACAUGAGUUGUACUAUUCUUGGGGUGUCAUUUUGUUUUGUUUUGGUUUCUGUUUUAAUAAAAUACUUAGAUCUGAAAGUUUUUAAAUAAAAUAGAGUCCUCAAUUAGUUGCCAGGGAGGCUAGGUAAGCGGCGUUCACAUUCCGUCAACGAAUCUCUUUUCUAUGGAAUUUCUCUAGUGCUUCACUUAUAUCUUUUUGAGCAUGGUGUGCUUUAGUAUUUUUGAAGAAAUUCUCUCUUACUUCACUUAAAUUAAUUUGAGAGAAAGAAAUAUUAUGCUCAUGAUCAUCAUUUAUAUCUUUUUGGAGUAGCUUGUCAUCUAAUCUUGUGCUUCACUUAUAUCUUAUGAGUAAAUUAUUGAAUGAGUUGAAUAUCAUGAUGUUGAAAUUACAUGUUCAUAUCAUGCCUAAUAGUGGAUUCACAUUGGGUUUAGAAAGUGAAAGCUUUUGAAGCUUGACAAUCACAAUAUUUUUCAUACAAGAAAUUCAAGAAUAAUUAGUAUAAGGAAGAGAACUUUCACAUGCAAAUACACUAUCUUGGAAAUGUUUUGUGAUUGUGAGCCCACAUAAAAAUAUUAUAUGCCAAAAUUGUUGAUGUUGGACAAGGAAGACAACGUAAUGAUUUAUGUUUGUUCAUAUUCACAUAGAAGUUAUAUUGUCAUAGAUCCUUCAACAUGUGGUGCUUUCCCCCCAUCUUUUCUAGCCAAAAAUUCCGCACCAAGUAGAGAUACUAGUUGUGCAUCAAAAAACUCUUAAACCCAAAUCUUGGUUUGAGAGUCCACCAUACCUACCUAUGGAUUGAGCAAGAUCCUUCAAGUAAGUUGUCAUCGGUGCAAUAAGGCAAUAAAAAUUGCUUCUAAAAGUGUUAGAUAAUUUAGUUUAAGAGAAAAUUGAGCGUUGUACGAACUUGUGAUGGCAAAGAAUAAAAACAACAGACUGCAUAAUAAAGGUUGCUAUCAUAAGGGGCAAUAUAACGUGACGUUAUUUUGCACUAAGGGGUUGAUCAUACAAGCAAAUAAGCGCAUGGCAACCUCUGCUUCCCUCUACGAAGGGCCUAUCUUUUACUUUUAUGUAUUUACUUUCAUGCAAGAGUCAAGGUUUUUCUCUCUAUUCCGUUUUAUUUUUCUCCUUUGGCAAGCAUCAUGUGGUGAGGAAAGAUCUAGGCACAUAUAUCCAGUUGGAUAUGGUUAGCAUGAGUUAUUAUUGUUGACAUCACCCUUGAGGUGAAUACGUUGGGAGGAGAAAUGAUAAGCCCCUAUCUUUCUAUGUGUCUGGUUGAAACGUUUUGCUCAUGUGUAUGCAGUGAGUGUUAGCAAUCAUAUAAGACUAUAUGAUGGUUGAGUAUGUGGAGCUCUUACUUAGACUCUGUUGAAUAAGUAGAAUUGCAAUUGCUUGGUGACUGAGAACAUAGGUUGUUGAGUUUCAAGAGAAUUCAUUGUUUGAACCGUAACAUGUGAAUUGGUUGCUACUAUAACAUGAGAAGUUUCAUAAGAAAGAAUUGCUAAUAUGAUGCUAGGAAAAGUGAUUGAAAUUAUCAUCGAUCAAACCUAUGCACUUUGCUAGCAUUCACUCUAUAAAUAUUUCUUUUAUCAUUUACCUACUCGAGGACGAGUAGGAGUUAGCUUGGGGAUGGUGAUACGUCUCCAACGUAUCUAUAUUGUAUGAAGUAUUCAUGCCAUUAUAUUAUCAUUCUAGGAUUUUUACAAUCAUUAUAUAGCAACUUUAUAUCAUUUUUUUGGGACUAACCUAUUGACCCAAUGCCCAGUGCCAGUUGCUAUUUCUGCUUGUUUUUUAGAUCGCAGGAAAUCAAUAUCAAACGGAGUCCAAAUACCACGACACUUCUUGUGGAUUUUUUAUGGACCAGAAGACAUCCAGUGGGCCAAGGAAGCACCUAGGGGGGUGCCUCGAUGGGAGCAACACCCACCAGGGCGCGCCUGGGGGCCCAGGCAUGCCCAGGUAGGUUGUGCCCACCUCGGGUGCCUCCUGAACCGCCUCUUUUCGCCCUAUAAAUUCCCAAAUAUUCCAAAACCCUUUGGGGUAGACCUAGAUCAGAGUUCCACCACCACAAGGCCUCUGUAUCCACGAGAUCCAAUCUAGACCCCAUUCCAACACCCUGCCGGAGGGGGGAAUCAUCACCGGUGGCCAUUGAGGGAGUCCUGGAUUAGGUGGUCCUCGGACAUCCGAACUAUAUACUUUGGUCGGACUGUUGGACUAUGAAGAUACAAGAUUGAAGACUUUGUCCCGUGUCCGGGUGGGACACUCCUUUGCGUGGAAGGAAAGCUUGGCAAUCCGGAUGUGUAGAUCUCCUUCUCUGUAACCGACUCUGUGUAACCCUAGCCCCCUCCAGUGUCUAUAUAAACUGGAGGGUUUAGUCCAUAGGACAAGAACAAUCAUAAUCAUAGGCUAGCUUAUAGGGUUUAGCCUCUACAAUCUCGUGGUAUAUCAACUCUUGUAAUACUCAUUUCAUCAAGAUCAAUCAAGCAGGAAGUAGGGUAUUACCUCCAUCGAGAGGGCCCGAAUCUGGGUAAACAUUGUGUCCCCCGCCUCCUGUUACCAUUAGCCUUAGACGCACAGUUCGGGACCCCCUACCCGAGAUCCGCCGGUUUUGACACCGACGUUGGUGCUUUCAUUGAGAGUUCCACUAUGUCGUCACGGUAAGGCUUGAUGGCUCCUUCAAUCAUCUGUAACGAAGCAAUCCAGGGUGAGGUUUUCCUCCCCGGACAGAUCUUCGUAUUCAGCGGCUUCAUACUGCGGGCCAACUCGCUUGGCCAUUUGGAGCAGAUCAAUAGCUAUGCCCCUGGCCAUCAGGUCAGGUUUGGAAGCUUGAACUACACUGCCGACAUCCGCGGAGACUUGAUCUUCGACAGAUUCGAGCCCAUAACAGGUGCGCCGUAUAGUGACGAUGAGCAUGACUUAGAUCUGCCAUCAGAUGGUGUUCAGGAGAACACACCUGCAGCUGCCCUGGCCUUAGAUCCGGAGCAGAUCAUGCCAUCCGAGGACGGAUGGAUAGACCCCGCCACAGAGGCCGCACACUCAUCGGCGCUAGAGCUGAUCACAGACAUCACCUCCAAAGAGAUCUGUGUCAUCGGACCCUCGUACUCGUCUCCGGUCAUAGGUUUCGAACCACGUGCAUCCAUGCCUAUCGAAUCUGAUUGGGCACCGAUCAUGGAGUUUACCUCCGCUGAUAUCGUUCAGCACUCACCCUUGGGCGAUGUGCUAAAUUCAUUGAAAUCUCUCUCCAUGUCAGGAGACUCUUGGCCGAACUAUGUCCGGCUUGAGUGGGAAGCGGACGACGAAGAAAUUCGUUCCCCACCCACCACCCACUUAAUAGCCAUUGUCGACGACUUAACCGGCAUGCUUGAUUUCGACUCCGAAGACAUCGACAGUAUGAAUGACGAUACCGGAGAGGAACAAGAACCACCGCCCACAGGGCGCUGGACAACCACCUCAUCAUAUGAUAUAUAUAUAUGGUGGACACCCCCAAAGAAAGCGAUGGCGAUGAUACAACAGAGGAUAAUCCCCUCGAGAAGCAAUCUAAGCACCGGCGUCAUCGGCGCCACUCUAAGCCUCGCCAUAGCAAAAAUAACAAUACCGGCACAAGAGACAAUAACGCUCCGGAUAAUGCCGAGGACGAAAACAACCCCACCCAGCCAGGCUUCGAGCAGGCCGGACGGGAGAAUGGGCAAGCUAGCCCCAAGUAACAGGCAAUGGAUGGAGAAUCAGAGGAUGAUAAUUACAUGCCCCUCUCCGAAGACGAGGUGAGCCUCGGCGAUGAAGAAUUCAUCGUGCCUAAGGAUCCCGUAGAGCAGGAGCGCUUCAAGCGCUGACUUAUAGCCACAGCAAAAAGCCUGAAGAUAAAGCAGCAGCAGCUUCAAGCUGAUCAAGAUCUGCUAACUGAUAGAUGGACUGAGGUCCUGGAAGCCAAGGAAUACGGACUCGAGCGCCCAACCAAAAGUUACCCAAAGCGCAGGUUGCUACCUCAACUCGAGGAGGGGCAUUAAAGCCCACACUACUAGUGCAUGAUGUGGCUGACCGGCCACUUCGUGGCCGAGACAAAGCGGAGUAUCAGCUCGAAGUCCAGCCCGCACCCCGUCACCAAACAAGCAAAAACAUGAAGGCCUGGGGCUCCACACAUGACCUGCGAGACAAAUUGGAAAACAAAGCAGGACAGUCAAGAUCGAUCUAUGGAUCACGGGGGCGCGCCCCAACACAUGACGAUGACCGUCACACCGGAUAUGCUAAAUACAAAUCCGGCCGGGCCGAAUACAACAGAUCAGACUCGUUUGAGCUGCGUCGUGAUGUAGCCCGGCAUAGAGGCACCGCACACCCCCUAUGCUUCACUGAUGAAGUAAUGGAUCAUGAAUUCUCAGAAGGGUUUAAGCCCGUGAACAUUGAAUCAUAUGAUGGGACUACAGACCCCGCGGUAUGGAUAGAAGAUUUCUUUCUCCACAUUCACAUGGCCCGCGGGGACGACCUACACGCCAUCAAAUACCUCCCAUUAAAACUCAAGGGACCGACUCGGCAUUGGCUGAAUAGCUUGCCGGCAAACUCCAUCAGAAGUUGGGAGAACCUGGAAGACGCAUUCCUGGAUAACUUCCAGGGCACGUAUGUGCGACCACCGGAUGCUGACGAUUUAAGUCACAUAACCCAACAACCCGGAGAGUCAGCCAGGAAAUUCUAGACUCGGUUCCUAACUAAAAAGAACCAAAUCGUCGACUGUCCGGAUGCUGAAGCCCUAGCGGCCUUUAAGCAUAAUAUCCAUGACGAGUGGCUUGCCCGACAUCUCGGCCAAGAAAAGCCGAAGUCCAUGGCAGCCCUCACGACACUCAUGACCCGCUUUUGUGAGGGCGAGUAUAGCUGGUUGGCUCCUAGCAACAACACAGCAAGCAAUCCUGGCACAUCAGAGGCCAGAGAUAGCAACGGCAAGCCCCGACGCAACAAACACAAGCGUCGCAAAAAUGGUGACAACACCGAAGACACGGCAGUCAAUGCCGGAUUCAGUGGCUCUAAGUCCGGUUAGCGAAAAAAGCCAUUCCAAAAGAACAAUUCGGGCCCGUCCAGUCUGGACCGCAUACUUGAUCGUCCAUGCCAAAUUUGUGGCACGCAGGAAUACCAACCAAUCAUACCAACAGAGAAUGUUGGGUCUUCAAACAAACCGGCAGGUCAGGUGCCGAAAACAAGGAGAAAGGGUCCCAAAGCGAUGACGACGAUGAGGAGCCCCGAUCACCAAACAAAGGAGGGCAAAAGAAAUUUCCCCCGCAAAUCAAAACGGUGAAUAUGAUAAACGCCAUCCACAUUCCCAAACUGGAAUGGACGUGCACUCUUAGGGAUGUCGACUUAACGGAGCCAGUCGCCCCACAAUAUAAACUAUGGCCAAUCACUUUUGAUCGUACGGAUCGUCCAGCCAAUAGCAAUCAGGGAAAUUCAGCCGCAUUCAUCGUUGACCCAAUAAUCCACCUCACACGAGUCCUUAUGGACGGAGGCAGCAGUCUAAACCUGCUGUAUUAGGACAAAGUGCGCAAGAUGGGUAUUGAUCAUUCGAUGAUUAAGCCCACUAAAAUCACCUUUAAAGGUGUUAUACCAGGUGUGGAGGCCCGUUGCACAGGCUCCAUCACUCUGGAGGUAGUCUUCGGAUCAUCGAACAAUUACCGUACCGAAGAGUUAGUCUUCGACAUCGUCCCUUUCCGCAGUAAUUAUCAUGCACUGCUUGGACGAACCGCAUUUGCUCGAUUCAACACGGUGCCACACUACGCCUAUCGUAAGCUCAAGAUGCCCGGUCCGCAUGGCGUCAUAACAGUUAAUGGCAAGGCCGAACUCCACCUCUGCACAGAAGAGUGUACAACCGUCUUAGAAGCAACGAAAGGCAUCUUUCAAUCGAACCUCGAGUCGAUGGCCAAUCUCCCGAACACCGUCAAGGGAGUCUGAUCUACUCUGCGGCAGGAUAGCCUGGCUCGUCCGGAGCUCAACUAAAACACUCUGUAGCACAUAAAUUUCCUUUUUGCACUAUCUUUGCAGGUCCACUUUUGCGUAGGCCAGGACUGGCGGCAUGGAAACAACUCGAAUGCAUAAGGGAAUCCUUAGAGAUGCCCCUUGAUGACCAUACGGUUACACUCUGGAUCCGCACACAGCCUCCUCCCGCUUGAUCUCAGCAGGUUCCGAAGUCAUAUCGCUUUUUAUCACAUUACCUGUACUCAUACGCAUCAACGUGUUAUUCAAUGACAACAUGUGGCUUUAUAUGAUGCUCAUCUGCUGUUGUUUCUUAUCGACACUCUUUGUCAAAUGGCAUCUCUACAUCGCGAUAUGCCUUAAUAUGCCAGGGGCUUCAUUGUACCCAUAACACGGCAAUAAAGUCCCGACCACCAUCACGGUCGUUCGGCACCCCGAACUUAUAGCAUUAUAUGCUUCAGCUCCAAAUCAUGUCUUGGGUCAAUAGUUGGGUUUGCCCGGCUCCUAUGUUUUGCUGCCUUACGUUCCGCUAUAUCGGCUAGGGCGGCACAGGGAGAACUACUGCGAUUGUGUCCCGGUUCUUCCGGACGAGCGCCUUAGUAGAGAAAGCUGAAAGCUGACUGUCAUGAUACGGCGAGAGCUGGUCAGCUGUUCGAGAGGUUGUAAAAUCUUUAAGGAUUUCUUCCGCAUAAUGCCAUAACCAAUGUAGCGUGCGAUGGAUCGGCUUUUCUUCCGAUCAGGCGCUUAUAGAGCCCCUCGUGCGGUCUUCCGAACACCAGGGGCUGCGCCUACCUUCCUUUUGUUAAACUCCUAUGGCUAAGUGAGAGCGAUAAAGCCCUAUAGUCCGAUUGCCUAGUUCGUUGUGCUGAACACCUCCUUCAAGGACCCAAAACUAGGAUAAAGAGUGCUCAGGUUUAUCUCGAACACCCCCGUACUUCCUACGUGGGGGCAGAAGCCGACGACUGGCCAACUCUCAGGAUUAAUAUAUAAAAUGGCCACGCAGGAGGGAAAACUUUCAAAUAACAGGCAAUAAACAAUAGAAAUGACCUUGUUCAACAUUACAAAGGACAACAUGACUGUAUUCAUGCAAAUAUAAUGUCCUUGGUGCAUUGCUCCGCCGCAAGGCGGGAUCCUUUUAGGAUAUUAUCAUAAUAUAAUUCGGGCUUGCGGUGCUCCUUCCCCUCGGGCGGUCCCUCGGUCAUCAUCUUUUUAGCAUCCAUCUUCCCCCAGUGCACCUUUGCGCGGGCGAAGGCCAUUCACACACCCUCAAUACAGACCGACUGCUUGAUGACAUCAAGUCGAGGGCAGGCACUCACAAGCCGCUUCACGAGCCCGAAGUAGCUGCUUGGAAUCGGCUCGGCGAGCCAUAGCCGGAUAAUUAAAUCCUUCAUGGCUAGUUCGGCCGCCUUAUGCAGUUCGAUCAACUGCUUCAGCUGAUCGGCAAGUGGCACCGGAUACACCGGCACCAGAUACUACGACCAGAAGAGCUUCUCCGCAGUGCUCCUUUCUUCAGCUCAAUAGAAUUGUGCGGCAUCAGAUAUGCUGUGUGGCAGCUCCGCAAAUACCCCUGGAGAAAUCAGAAUUCAAAUUAUCAACUUGAUUUUCUCCUUUUAAAUACCCGCUUUGUAUAGAAAAAGCCUUACCAGCCGCAAUCUUCCUCGCCUCCUGGAUUUCCUUCAGGGCACCUUGGGCUUCCCCCCGGGCAUCACUUGCGGCUUGGCGAGCUUGGGAGAGUUCGGAUUCUUUCCCUGAUAAACUCUGCUCCAAGGUCUCGCAUUUAUCCACGGCCUCUUGAAGUUGUCGCUCAACUUCAAUAACCCUGGCCUCGUGCUUUUCACGACGAGCCUACUCUGUGGUUGCCCUCUUCUCGGCUUCGGCCACAACCUUCUUAAGAGCCUCAAUUUCGGCCGUCGCCCCUAGAGCACAUCAUAAAAAUAUUUUCAUCAUGCAAACUUAUUUAUUUGUGUUGAAUAGGAACAAGGUUUCUGCAUACCUUGGUUAUCCUCCAACUUCUUCUUCUCUCGGCCGAGUUCCCCUUCGGCCCGCUCAGACUCUGCCUCAGUCCGGAGACUUCCGCAGUUUGAGAGGAGGCCAUUGCUACAGACGCCUGCUUUUAAAUAAAAGAGAGAUGACAUAAAGUGAGUCUCCUGCGAACACUUAUUUGAUCCUCUGUUUGGUUCCUUUUUUCACCAAAUAGUGCAUCAGGGGCUACUAUCGAUACUAUGACACUCUUCAAAAUCUCACAAAACAUACCUCUAGGCCCGUUAUAAGGCUAAUGCAGGCUUCAUUCAGUCCACUCUCAGCGGACUGAAUCUUCUCAAUCACCGCACCCAUAAGGGCACGGUGUUCAUCGACGAGGGAGGUGCUUUUAAGCAUCGCCUAUAAAGUAUCCGACACCUCUGGUUGGACAGAGGUUGCCGGUGGAAUAGGCACAACCCCUCCAGCUGAGGGAGGUCGCCUGCCUGCUUCUGGAGCCGUAUUGGUCUCCAGAAAUGUGUCCGGCUGGGGGCCAAAUUUGAGAUAGCCCCCGCCGUCGACGUCCGUGGGAGUCUUCUCUCCCAUGUAUUCGGCCCCCGAAGUUUGACCUCCUGGCACCGCCUUUACGAUCUCCCCCCCCCCUCCUUGGCCUGGGUCCUUCUGGGAUGAAACCUCGGUGUCAUUCACAUGUUUGGGGAAGGGGGCCUUCGGGGGUGUCGCGCUCUCCAUAGCAUCCGAGCCUAGUAAAUCCUUUGACGAGGAUUGUUCGGUGCGGGACCUCGCCGGACUGCAAAAAAGUAUGGCUCAGAUUCAAAUAUUAUGCCAUGAUGAGUCUGGACGCAUAAACAUAUUCGAAUUUUAUAUACUCACGAGUUCACCAGGGACUGGGCCCUGGGAUCCCACUCCGGGCUGCUGUCGGCAGCAGCGGCGGACUCCUCUGGAAGGGGAGUUUUUCCCUUCUUAGGCGACUCGGCCUCCAAAGAUGUGGAGGCCGUCCUUUUCUUUCCUCCCCUCGCCGGGGAUGGGUCUUUCUCCUCCUCCUCGUCCUCUCUGGAGGAAGAUCGGGCAUCAGAGUCUUCGGACAUGGUGUCCGAAGUGCCACGGCGACGAAGGCCGCCCCUAGUCUUUUUGCCCCCCUUCUCGGCCUUCUUCUUCGGCGCCUUGUAAGGUGAUACGUCUCCAACGUAUCUAUAAUUUUUGAUUGCUCCAUGCUACUUUAUCUACUGUUUUAGGCAAUAUUGGGCUUUAUUAUCCACUUUUAUAUUAUUUUUGGGACUAACCUAUUAACCGGAGGCCCAGCCCAGAUUUGUUGUUUUAUGCCUAUUUCAGUGUUUCGAGGAAAAGGAAUAUCAGACGGAGUCAAAACGGAACGAAAUCAACUAGAGAAGUUAAUUUUGGAAGGAAACCCACCUGAUGGACUUGGACUCCACGUCAGAAGAUACGGGAGGUGCUCACGAGGGUGGGGGGCGCGCCCACCCCCCUAGGGCGCGCCCCCCUACCUCAUGGGGCCCCCGAAGCUCCACCGACAUACCCCUUGCACCCAUAUAUACCUACGUACCCUAAAACUUCCAGAACAGAAGAUAGAUAGGGAGUUCCGCCGCCGCAAGCCUCCAGAGCCACCAAAAGCCUCUUGGGAGCCCGUUCUGGCACCCUGCCGGAGGGGGGAUCCUUCACCGGUGGCCAUCUUCAUCAUCCCGGCGCUAUCCAUGAUGAGGAGGGAGUAGUUCACCCUCGAGGCUGAGGGUAUGUACUAGUAGCUAUGUGUUUGAUCUCUCUCUCGUGUUCUCUCUCGUGUUCCCUCUAUGGCACGAUCUUGAUGUAUCCCGAGCUUUGCUAUUGUGGUUGGAUCUUAUGAUGUUUCUCCCCCUCUACUCUCUUGUGAUGAAUUGAGUUUCCCCCUUUGAAGUUAUCUUAUCGGAUUGAGUCUUUUAUGAGAACACUUGAUGUAUGUCUUGGUGAUCAACUUGCGGGUUUCGUGACAUUGGGAACCUAUGCAUAGGGGUAGGCACACGUUCUUUACUCUCCGGUAGUACCUAUGGGGCACUCUUUGAAGUACUUUUAUGUUGGUUGGAUGAAUCUGAGAUUGUGUGAGGCAUAUCGUAUAAUCAUGCCCACGGAUACUUGAGGUGACAAUGGAGUAUCUAGGUGACAUUAGGGUUUUGGUUGAUUUGUGUCUUAAGGUGUUAUUCUAGUACGAACUCUUUUAUAGAUAGAUCCGAAAGAAUAACUUUGAGGUGGUUUCGUACCCUACCAUAAUCUCUAUGUUUGUUCUCCGCUAUUAGUGGCUUUGGAGUGACUCUUUGUUGCAUGUUGAGGGCUUGUUAUAUGAUCUAUCUAUGUUAUUAUUGUUGAGAGAACUUGCACUAGUGAAAGUAUGAACCCUAGGCCUUGUUUCCUAUCAUUGCAAUACCGUUUACGCUCACUUUUAUCGCUCGCUACCUUGCUGUUUUUAUUAUUUCAGAUUACAAAUACCUUUAUCUACCAUCUAUUUUGCACUUGUAUCUUCACCUCUUCGCCGAACUAGUGCACCUAUACAAUUUACCAUUGUAUUGGGUGUGUUGGGGACACAAGAGACUCUUUGUUAUUUGGUUGCAGGGUUGUUUGAGAGAGACCGUCUUCAUCCUACGCCUCCAAAUGUACGCCACAAAAUAGACAAAAUAGAUAUUGCAAGAGCCAUAUGUAUUUAAAAACUAAAGGUUUGCAAGAAAGUCUUGAUGAGUGUGCUAAAAGAUUCAAUAUUUUUCGCGCUCCUUGUGAACUUUGCAAUGAAUGUGGUCGUUUAAAUCUCCAAUGCAAAUUGUUUUAUGAUCAAAUCGUGUCCAAAAAUUGUGAUAGCUUGAUUACCCUUGGGCAUCAUAAAGAGCUUAGUCUUCUUUUGGGGUAUGAAGAAAUGAAAUGUAUAACCGAGGGUAUUCCAAAAUUUAAUCUUGAUAGAUUUCUUGAUUUUGAUCUAGAGGAUAUUUAUUUGUAUUGUGCGGAGAAUUGCAUUGAAAAUCCUUAUAUUGCCAAUUACCUAAAGAUGACGAGAAUGCUAAUGAAAGGGAAGAGACUUCCCAAUAUCCUCCUAUUAUUUCUUAUGAUGAAUCAGGUGACGAGGAGGAGCAUCCUAUUCAACCAAUCUCAUCAAUAAGGAGAUCGAAGAGGAAGGUUGAACCUACACAUAAUGUGAAGAAGAAAAAGAAAAGAAGGAGCAACAAAGGUAGAAAGGUAUCCCUCCGAAAUGAUGUUGCUCCUACUACUCAUUGUUAGGGUGAUAAUUGCUUUACUAUUGGUGCUAUCCAUAUUUUUAAUGAUGAGAGUGAUUAUGCUUAUGAUAUGAAAGAGCCCAAGCUUGGGGAAGCUAUGUUUGAUGAUGAUGAAAUAUUUGAGAAUAUAUUUGCUGAAAUUAAUGUUUGUCCCAAGCUUGGGGAUGCUACGUUUAGUGAGGAUGGUAUUUUUAGUCUCCCAAGUUUUGAUAUACAAAGUAGUUAUGAUGAUAGCAUGCCUCCUACUUAUGAUGAUUAUAUUGAUGAAAGUGGGUUCGGAAGAGUGUCAACUUUAGGAAAUAGUGAUUCCACUAUUUUGGAGGAUGUUGAAUUAUAUUGUGAUGAAUAUGAAAGUGGAUUUGGAAGGGUGUCAACUUUAUUUAGUGAUGAUUCCACUAUCUUGGGAGAGGUUUCAAUCGAUUAUGAUGAGAACGAAGUUGCUACUCAUGAUGAUUAUUGUGAUGAAACUUAUGCUAUAAAAAGUAGUGAUGAUUAUAUUUACAAAUCUUGUCAUGAUUAUGAUUACCCUUUUUCUGAACAUUACUAUUUUAAUGUGGAAACAAUUUUUAGUGUUCAAGUCUCUUAUGAUACUCCCACUAUUCCGAAUGAAAAGAAUUUUGCUUAUGUGGAGAGUAAGAAAUUUUCUAUGCUUGUAGAUCAUGAAAAGAAUAAUUUAGGUGCUGGUUAUAUUGUUGAAUUCAUUCAUGAUGCUACUAAAAAUUAUUAUGAGGGAGGAACUUAUGCUUGUAGGAAUUACAAUAAUGUCAAGCUUCCUCUCUAUGUGUUGAAAUUCUUGAAGUUAUGCUUGUUUUACCCUUCUAUGCUAGUUGAUUAUUGUUCCCGUAAGUUGUUUGCUCAAAAAAUCCCUAUGCAUAGGAAGUGGGUUAGGCUUAAAUGUGCUAGUAAUAUGCUUCAUGAUGCUCCCGUUAUGUCUCAAUUCUUAUCUUUUAUGUGAGCAUCAUUAUCAUCAUCAUGCCUAGCUAGAAAGGCAUUAAAGAAAAGCGCUUGUUGGGAGACAACCCAAUAUUUAUCCUUACUGUUUUUGUGUGUCCACAUGAUUAUGCUACUGUAGUAAUCAUGUUUUAUAGCUUUUGUUUCGAUAAAGUGCCAAGUAGAACCUUUGGGAAGACUUGGGUGAAGUUUAUGUGAUCUUGCUGUGAAAAACAGAAACUUUAGCGCUCACGAGAUUAUCUGCCAUUUUUUACUGGAGAGUGAUUUUAGGUUGAUUAUUUUUGCAUAUGAUUAAUAUACAAAUUACUCAGGUCCAGAAAUUUAUUUCAUAAUUUUUGGGGUUCCAUAAGUAUACGUUUGAUACAGAUUACUACAGACUGUUCUGUUUUUGACAGAUUCUGUUUUCUAUCUGUUGUUUGCUUAUUUUGAUGAAUCUAUGGCUAGUAUGUAAGGGUAUGAACCAUAGAUAAGUUGGAAUACAGUAGGUAUUACACCAAUAUGAAUUUAUAAUGAGUUCAUUACAGUACCUAAGUGGUGGUUUUACUUUCUUUUACUAACGGAGCUUACGAGUUUUGUUUUGAGUUUUGUGUGGUUGAAGUUUUCAAGUUUUGGGUAAAGAUUCGAUGGACUAUGGAAUAAGGAGUGGCAAGAGCCUAAGCUUGGGUAUUCCCAAGGCACCCCAAGGUAAUAUUCAAGGACAACCAAGAGCCUAAGCUUGGGGAUGCCCCGGAAGGCAUCCCCUCUUUCGUCUUCGUUCAUCGGUAACUUUACUUGGAGCUAAAUUUUUAUUCACCACAUGAUAUGUGUUUUGCUUGGAGCGUCAUUUUCUUUUGUUAGUAUUUGGUUGAUGCUAGUUAUAAUAAUGUUUUGCAUCUUUAGUUUCAAUAAAAAAAGUCAAGGAUAGCCUUUGCCAUGCUUAUUUUGCUUGUAUACAUGUUGCUGUUUGAAAACAAAAAGUUUACCGCUGUUGCAAAAAUUCCCUAGAAAAGCCAGAGAAUGGUAUAACGUUGAAUCUUUUUGCAUAUUAAGAUCUGAUUAAUUUAUUUAAUUGGGAAUUUUAGUUCAUAAUUUUUGGAGUCAGGGAAGUAUUGAUACUCUUGCAUUCUUUACAGACUGUACUGUUUUGGCAGAUUGCUAUUAUGUUUGCAUUGUUUGCAUAUGUUUGCUUGUUUAAUGAUUCUAUUUGAUGAUAGGAGUAUUAAACAUGAAGAGACAUUUAUUAUUCAAUGUUGAAUAAUAAUUUAAGUGAUUUGUUACAGUAGAAGAUGAUAUGGUUUUGCAUUGGUUUAUACUAACCUAUCUCACGAGUUCUUUUUGAGUUUGUUGUGAAUGAAGCUUUUGAUAAAAAGAGAAACCAUGAUAUGAGAGGAAUUAAGGAGACACAAAAGCUCAAGCUUGGGGAUGCCCAAGUUACCCCAAGAUAAUAUUUCAAUAAGUAUCAAGCAUCUAAGCUUGGGGAUGCCCCGGUAGGCAUCCCACCUUUCUUCUUCAACAACUAUCGGUUAGUAUCGGUUGAGCCUAAGUUUUUGCUUCUUCACAUGAGUUGUGCUAUCCUUGCAAUGUAGUUUUCUUUAGCUUUUCUUGCUGUUUGAAUAAAGUAUCAAGAUCUGAAAUUAUUAAAUGGGAGAGUCUUCACAUAGUUGCAUAAUUAUUCGACUACUCAUUGAUCUUCACUUAUAUCUUUCGGAGUAGUUUGUCAUUUGCUCUAGUACUUCACUUAUAUCUUUUAGAGCACAGUGGUGGUUUUGUUUUUAAGAAAUAGAUGAACUCUCAUGCUUCGCUUAUAUUAUUUUGAGAGUCUUAAAUAGCAUUCUAAUUUGCUUAAAAUCCUAAUAUGCUAAGCAUAAAAGAUUUGUAAGAAUUUUUAUGAGUGUGUUGAAUACUAAGAAAAGUUUGAUACUUGAUAAUUGUUUUGAGAUAUUGGGGUAGUGAUAUUAAAGUCAUGCUAGUUGGGUGAUUAUGAAUUUAAAGAAUGCUUGUGUUGAAGUUAGAAAGUCCCGUAGCAUGCACGUAUGGUUAAAGUUGUGUGACAAAUUUGAAACAUGAAGUGUACCUGGCUUGUGCAUCCUUAUGAGUGGCGGUCGGGGACGAGCGAUGGUCUUUUCCUACCAAUAUAUCCCCCUAGGAGCAUGCGUGUAGUACUUGGUUUUUGAUGACUUCUAAAUUUUUUCAAUAAGUAUAUGAGUUAUUUUGACUAAUGUUGAGUCCAUGGAUUAUAUGCACUUUUACCUUUCCGUCUUUGCUAGCCUCUUCGGUACCGUGCAUUGCCCUUUCUCACCUUGAGAGUCGGUGCAAACUUCGCCGGUGCAUCCAAACCCCGUGAUACGAUACGCUCUAUAACACAUAAACCUCCUUAUAUCUUCCUCAAAACAGCCACCAUACCUACCUAUCAUGGCAUUUCCAUAGCCAUUCCGAGAUAUAUUGCCAUGCAACUUCCAUCAUCAUAUUCAUGACAUACAUUACUUUUGUCAUAUUGCCAUUGCAUGAUCAUGUAGUUGACAUCGUAUUUGUGGCAAAGCCACCAUGCAUUAUUUUUCAUACAUGUCACUCUUGUUUCAUUGCACCAUCCCGGUACACCACCGGAGGCAUUCAUAUAGAGUCAUAUCUAGUUCUAAGUUUCGAGUUGCAAUCCUUAUGUUGUAAUCAAUAGAAGUGUGAUGACCAUCAUUAUUAGAGCAUUGCCCAAAAAAAGAGAAAGGCCAAAAAAAAGAAGGCCCAAAAAAAAGAGAAAAUAAAUAAAAAAGGCAAUGCUACUAUCUCUUUUUCCACCCUUGUGCUUCAAAGUAGCACCUUGUUCUUCAUGUAGUGAGUCUCGUAAGUUAUCUUUUUUUUAUACUGGUGGGAAUUUUUCAUUAUAGAACUUGGCUUGUAUAUUCCUACGAUGGGCUUCCUCAAAUGCCCUAGGUCUUCAUGAUCAAGAAAGUUGGAUGCACACCCACUAGUUUUCUUUUGUUGAGCAUUCAUAGCUCUAGUGCAUCCGUUGCAUGGCAAUCCCUACUCCUCAUGUUGACAUCAAUCGAUGGGCAUCUCCAUAGCCUGUUGAUUAUCCUCGUCAAUGUGAGACUUUCUCCUUUUUGUCUUCUCCACUCAAUCCCCAUCAUCAUAUUCUAUUCCACCCAUAGUGCUAUAUCCAUGGCUCACGCUCAUGUAUUGCGUGAAGGUUGAGAAAGUUUGAGAUUAUUUAAGUAUGAAACAAUUGCUUGGCUUGUCAUCGGGGGCAUAGAAGUUGGGAACAUCUUUGUGUGAUGAAAAUGAAGCAUAGCCUAACUAUAUGAUUUUGUAGGGAUGAACUUUCUUUUGCCAUGUUAUUUUGAGAAGACGUGAUUACUUUGAUUAGUAUGCUUGAAGUGUUACUAUUUCCUUUAUCAAUAUGAAUCAUUCGGAUCUGAAUAUUCAUAUCACAAGUAAGAAGAAUUACAUUGAAAUUAUGCCAAGUAGCACUCCGCAUCAAAAAUUCUUUUUUAUCAUUUACCUACUCAAGGACGAGCAGGAAUUAAGCUUGGGGAUGCUUGAUACGUCUCCAACGUAUCUAUAAUUUUUGAUUGCUCCAUGCUACUUUAUCUACUAUUUUAGGCAAAAUUGGUCUUUAUUAUCCACUUUUAUAUUAUUUUUGGGACUAACCUAUUAACCGGAGGCCCAGCCCAGAUUUGUUGUUUUAUGCCUAUUUCAGUGUUUCGAGGAAAAGGAAUAUCAGACGGAGUCAAAACGGAACGAAAUCAACUAGAGAAGUUAAUUUUGGAAGGAAACCCACCUGAUGGACUUGGACUCCACGUCAGAAGAUACGGGAGGUGCUCACGAGGGUGGGGGGGCGCCCCCGAAGCUCCACCGACGUACCCCUUGCACCCAUAUAUACCUACGUACCCUAAAACUUCUAGAACAGAAGAUAGAUCGGGAGUUCCGCCGCCGCAAGCCUCCAGAGCCACCAAAAACCUCUUGGGAGCCCGUUCCGGUACCCUGCCGGAGGGGGGAUCCUUCACCGGUGGCCAUCUUCAUCAUCCCGGCGCUAUCCAUGACGAGAAGGGAGUAGAUCACCCUCGAGGCUGAGGGUAUGUACUAGUAGCUAUGUGUUUGAUCUCUAUCUCUCUCGUGUUCUCCCUCGUGUUCCCUCUAUGGCACGAUCUUGAUGUAUCCCGAGCUUUGCUAUUGUAGUUGGAUCUUAUGAUGUUUCUCCCCCUCUACUCUCUUGUGAUGAAUUGAGUUUCCCCUUUGAAAUUAUCUUAUCGGAUUGAGUCUUUUAUGAGAACACUUAAUGUAUGUCUUGGUGAUCAACUUGCGGGUUUCGUGACAUUGGGAACCUAUGCAUAGGGGUUGGCACACGUUCUUGACUCUCCAGUAGUAGCUUUGGGGCACUCUUUGAAGUACUUUUAUGUUGGUUGGAUGAAUCUGAGAUUGUGUGACGCAUAUCAUAUAAUCAUGCCCACGGAUACUUGAGGUGACAAUGGAGUAUCUAGGUGACAUUAGGGUUUUGGUUGAUUUGUGUCUUAAGGUGUUAUUCUAUUACGAACUCUUUUAUAGAUCGAUCCGAAAGAAUAACUUUGAGGUGGUUUCGUACCCUACCAUAAUCUCUACGUUUGUUCUCCGCUAUUAGUGGCUUUGGAGUGACUCUUUGUUGCAUGUUGAGGUCUUGUUAUAUGAUCUAUCUAUGUUAUUAUUGUUGAGAGAACUUGCACUAGUGAAAGUAUGAACCCUAGGCCUUGUUUCCUAUCGUUGCAAUACCAUUUAUGCUCACUUUUAUCGCUCGCUCCCUUGCUGUUUUUAUUAUUUCAGAUUACAAAUACCUUUAUCUACCAUCUAUUUUUCACUUGUAUCUUCAUCUCUUCGCCGAACUAGUGCACCUAUACAAUUUACCAUUGUAUUGGGUGUGUUGGGGACACAAGAGACUCUUUGUUAUUUGGUUGCAGGGUUGUUUGAGAGAGACCAUCUUCAUCCUACGCCUCCUACGGAUUGAUAAACCUUAGGUCAUCACUUGAGGGAAAUUUGCUACUGUCCUACAAACCUGUGCACUUGCAGGCCCAACAACGUCUACAAGAAGAAGGUUGUGUAGUAGACAUCAUAAGGCGCUGGGACCAGCAUCUUCGUCAGAAGUGGGUCGGACGUAUCUUCUGGCAGAGGGGCCGGAUAGUAGAUCCGCCCCACCUUCUUUGUCCAUCCCUAGGAGAGUUGUGGAAAACACAUUAAGCAUUUUCGUCAGGAUAUGCGAAUAAAACAUAUGAAUUGCCAACAUACAAUGACUUACCAAACUUGCAGGGCGGGACAGUUGGUACCCACAGUCCUCGGCGGAGUCCGGCCACGAUUUGCUGGACUUAAAGAGCACCUUCCAAAUGUCCUUAUGCAAGGAGCCAAAGAGCUCGAGCAGGGUCUGGUGCUUGGCCGGGUCGAAUUCCCAUAAAUUGCAAGCCUUGUGUUGACAAGCAAGAAUCCGGCGAACUAACAUCACCUGGACUACAUUGACAAGUUUGAUAUUCUUGUCUUCCAUAUCCUUGACGCGCGUCCGGAGCACCGACAGUUUGUCGGACAAGACCAGUUCAGGCCCUUUUUGGGCCAGGACGUAAGCCGCAGGGGGCUCCGGAUCUGAAUUCAGGAGUAGCGGCCCAUUCCGUGCUGCGCGGCUCAGUGAUGUAAAACCACAGCUGCUGCCACUCUUUGACGGAAUCAUUGAAAGUACCUGCUGGCCAUGUGACAUUGGGCAUCUUGCUCACCAUGGCACCUCCGCACUCGGCAUGCUCGCCGCUCACUACCUUGGGCUUCACAUUAAAGAUCUUCAAUCAUAAGCCGAAGUGUGGCGAGAGGCGGAGAAAGGCCUCACACACGACGAUGAAUGUCGAGAUGUUGAGGAAGGAAUUGGGGGAUAGAUCAUGAAAAUCGAUCCCGUAAUAAUACAUGAUGCCGCGAACGAAUGGCCCACGGACAAAAUGAGGGAGGAAUAGAACCCUCUCGUGUGGUUCUAGAGUGGGGACAAUUUGUCCCGCUGUCGGAAGACGGUGGCUAAUUUUCUUGGCCAAAUACCCGGCCUCCCAAAGCUUUUUGAUAUCCUUCUCCCGGACGGUAGAGGCCAUCCACUUGCCUCCUGUUCCGGAUCCGGACAUUUUCGGAAGGCCUUUGUGGGCGGAGAAGACGAACUCUUGGGUGCUGGAGCUCGAGCAAGGGGGAAUGGAUGAGAAGAGGAAGAAGAAGGCGUGGGCGAAAGAGGGGAGUCCUUAUCUCCUUAUAAAGGCAGCAGGGGAUCCUGCGCCUCCCCACUUGCCCGGUAAACUCGCUUAUUCCCCAAGCGUCGCGUUGAUGGCGCGGUUGGGUUACCCACACCCGUAUUGAUGAGAAUCCCGUGAUAAGGAGACACGAUCUCUGCUUCGACAAGACGUGCCAAGGAAAACGCCUCACGAUAUGUGCGGUAGCAGGUUGGAAAAAAGGUUUGCAUAAUGACCGGACCACAUCGUAAUGUCACGCUGUGAAAAGUUGUCAGCAGAUUAGAUUUGUGGAAUAUUCUACUCUCUACAGUGGUAUGUGGAACUUGUUUUGCGGAGCUGGACACGAUCCUUGUGUUUAAAAUCUUCUAUGGAAUAUUCGGAGAAGGAACCCGCCUUGCAAUGCCGAAGACAAUCUGUGCGCCGGACUCAUCGUCAUUGAAGUCUGGUUCAGGGGCUACUGAGGGAGUCCUGGAAUAGGGGGUCCUCGGACAGCCGGACUAUAUACUUUGGCCGGACUAUUGGACUAUGAAGAUACAAGAUUGAAGACUUUGUCCCAUGUCCGGGUGGGACUCUCCUUUGCAUGGAAGGCAAGCUUGACAAUCCGGAUAUGUAGAUCUCCUUCUCUGUAACCGACUCUGUGUAACCCUAGCCCCCUCCGAUGUCUAUAUAAACUGGAGGGUUUAUUCCGUAGGACAAGAACAAUCAUAAUCAUAGGCUAGCUUCUAGGGUUCAGCCUCUACGAUUUUGCGGUAGAUCAACUCUUGUAAUACUCAUAUCAUCAAGAUCAAUCAAGCAGGAAGUAGGGUAUUACCUCCAUCGAGAGAUCCCGAACCUGGGUAAACAUUGUGUCCGCCGCCUCCUGUUACCAUUAGCCUUAGACGGACAGUUCGGGACCCCCUACCCAAGAUCCACCGGUUUGGACACCGACAGCCAUCUUCAUCAUCCCGGCGGCCACCAUGAUGAGGAGGGAGUAGUCCACCCUCGGGGUUGAGGGUUUGUACCAAUAGCUAUGUGUUUAAUCUCUCUCUCUCUCUCUCUCUCUCUCUCUACCGUGUUCUUGAGAUGUCACGAUCUUGAUGUAUCGCGGGCUUUGUUAAUAUAGUCGGAUCAUACUGUGUUUUCCCAUCUCUAUCUUGUUGUGAUGAAUUGAGUUUUUCCCUUUGAGAUUUCGUUGUUAUUGGAUUGAGUACUUUUAUGCAUUUGAGAACACUUGAUAUAUGUCUUGCAAUUGAAUACUCGUGGUGACAAUGGGGUAUCGUAUUGAUUUACUUGAUAUAUGUUUUGGCACUCAACUUGCGGAAUCCCGAGGUGACAUUGGGGUAAUUGAUGCAUAGGGGUUGAUGCAAGUUCUUGUCUUUGUUUCUCUGGUAGAAAUCUUGGGGCACUCUUUGAAGUUCUUUGGGUUGGAUUGAGUAUUAUGAAUAUGAAUUUGCUUUGGUGUUAUUUUACUACGAACUCUAGGAUAGAUUGGACGGAAAGAAUAGAUUUGUGUUAUUUUAGUACGAACUAUUGAAUAGAUCGAACGGAAAGAGUAGCUUUGAGGUGGUUUCGUACCCUACAAAUAAUUUAUUCUUAUGUUCUCUGCUAGAUAGGAACUUUGGAGUGAUUCUUCAUCGCACUUUGAGGGAUGGUUAUAUGAUCCAAUUAUAUUAGCAUUGUUGAGAGAUUGCACUAGCGAAGUAGGGACCCUAGGCCUCAUUUUACAUCAUUGCAAUACCAUUUGUGCUCUGUUUUAUCGUUUACUACCUUGCUGUUUUUAUUGUUCGCACUACAAAAACUCAUAUCUACUAUCCAUACUACACUUUUAUCAUCAUCUCUUCGCCGAACUAGUUCACCUAUACAAUUUGCCAUUGUAUUGGGUGUGUUGGGGGACACAAGAGAUUUCUUGUAUUUGAUUGCAUGGUUGCUUGAGAGAGACUAUCUUCAUCCUAUGCUCCCACGGAUUGAUAAACCUUAGGUCAUCCACUUGAGGGAAAAUUGCUACUGUCCUACAGACCUCUGCGCUUGGAGGCCCAACACGAGUCUACAAGAAUAAAGUUGCAUAGUAGACAUCACAUAUUGAAAGGACUCCCGAUGGACACUCUAUUGUCGUAUGGACGUGUGCACGGCGUCGGAGACGGCACCACGUGGAAGAAGUACUACCGUGAGACCACAGAGGAAAGAAAGGAAAGACGAAGGUUAAAUGAAGAAAACAUCCGCAAGAAGGUUGCUGUCGCAAAACAGGAGGUUGCAGCUUCGUAUAGUGUCUUGGUUCCGGCUAUCGACAGUUGGACCAAGAAAAAUACAAAUAAGGAUGCAGCGGACUUUCCCCUUUCCAACUUCUUGGGGAGGAGCUCCACUAGCGUUGCACCAGCACCUGCUACCGCACCUGCUUCUACAGUGGCUCCCGCACAUGCUCAUAACAGCCUGUCCUCCUUCUCGGAAGUGCUCGACGGUGCUUCGUCUUUAGCUGAGCUCGACGUCCUCACGGUACCUGUCACAACGACCCUCUUCAAUAUAUGUAUAAUCUCCCGUUUCCAUCGCCUUUUAGAUGCCUCACGUUGCAUACAUGUCUUUGCAGGCCGAUGUAACCCCGUGUACCAUACUUUACACCAUUAGCGGCCCGAAGCUGGACGUGGGGAAGGCGGCGAUAAUGCAGCCGAAGGAAGAAUUGUUCCACAACCGACCGAUCCCCCUGACGUCUUCAAGGUUUCCGUGGCCAGUGUUGAACCGGGCCACGAGAAUUUGGCUCCUCCGGUAGCACUAGGGGGAGAUGACGAUGAGACCCCGCGGCGGCUUGGCGAUUGCAAUCGUUGGGUCCUGUUGUGGCCGAAGAGUCUGCUUCGUGUAGAGGCGGCCGGGAGCACACCCACGACCAAGCAACCUCAGCAAGGUGUGAACACCAACACCCCACCUACCAAAUUAGCGUCUCCUAUUGUGCCGGGUGAGGAAGAGGCUCCAGUAAUGGCUGAUGAUGUCACCACCGUAGAAGAAGCAAUGCAUGAUGCCAUCGACGAGGAUGACGAUGACCCUCUAUAGUAUCUCCAUACCGGCACCUCUAACGAUGGAGGAUUGAUGGCUUAGCAGUAUGAGUAAUCAGGGUUUGAGAGUGAUGAGUUGGUGCCUGAAUUGCUGGAGGAUGAACGCAUUAUAGGCUCACUUCUAGUAGGAAAGAAGCAUAGGAAGAGAACGAUGAAAGCCAACAAAGCUCCUUCUAUGAUCUAGCAGGCUCGGGAUAAAGACUGUAUCCCUAUCCCCGAUGCGGCAAAAUGUCAUAUCCCCGGUGAUCCGAUUCUACCUAAGGCAGCGGUAGAGGGCAUAUACGACGAUCUAAGGAGACUUCAUGACGAUGUGCUGUAGAGAGAGAAAAGCCUUGUACAUGGUUAUCGUGCGGCAGCAAAGGUUGUACGUCAACACAUUCCCCACGGAAAAGUUCUUCCUUCGAUUCAAUUACAUCUUCGACAUGUUUCACUUGAAAAAGCUGGAUUUUACGUUUGUUCGCCUUUUUGCCUUGCACAUGAACCACUUCAUCAGGAUUGAGCAGAUACCUUAUAUCUGUGUCACUGACCCAUACUUCAUGCACGAGGGCUUCUUGGCAGUCUGUCCAGAGCACCGUGAAUAUGUGAGUAACUACAUCACCGAUUUCAUGGUCACCAAUAAGGACAAGGAGACGAUUCUCGUGCCUUAUCAUCCCAUAUAAGUCAUCCGCGGAUAUCUUUCCUUCGAUUUCAAUCAUUCAUUUGCACGCGUGGAGGCUAAUUUGAGGUGUACUUAUUUUGCGCAGCGACGGGCGCACCGUCCUCAUCAUCCUUUACCCCCGAUUCUCCCACGCUCUUUACUUGGACUCAUCGAAGAACAUGAAGAAAAAGGAUUACACCCACAUCAAGUUUGUUCUCGACAGUGCUAUCUUGAGCUAUGGCCUACGGGGUGGAGAGAUCAAGACCAGGAAGUCAAGGAACCACACGCCCGCCUUCGGCCAUAAGACCGACUUCUGCUGCAUCCAGCAACCGAGUGGUACUAUUAGUGAUGGGUUUUAUGUCCUCCACCACAUGCUGGAGUACAGAAGGGAACAACAAAACCUUCGCGUGUCACCUAGAUCCGGCGAUGCCCAUAUUCUAUAAUAGGCAAAGAACAUAGGAGAUAUCCCAGAUCAUCGACUUCGAGCUGAGUUCUAUCACGUCCAGCGUGAACUUGCCCAAAUCAUCAUGAAGGAGGUCAUCAAAAAAACAGGGAUGUUCUACGAAGAAGGGCAAAUGUCGCGGGAAGACAUCGGAACACGCGUAUCGGCUCAGUGUCUUGACCUGAAGCCUUUCACUAUGCUAAGGGACUAUCUCCCUGACUUGGAUGGAUGGCAUGACAUGUUGGAGUGAUUGACGAUAUAUGACAAAGUGUCCAUUUAGUCCUUUGUUUCUCUAGACGAAACUUUGAGUUAUGCACAACGAAACUUUAUUUGUGAUGUAAUUAAACCGUCCUCCUCAACUGGCAAAGUUCACUCUAGUUACGGCACUUUGGGUACAAUGAACUUUGUUAUUUAUGCUUAUGAUAUGUUACUUCUAUUUUUGCCAAGUCUGACUCUUUCUGUUGCUCAACUAUAUAUGUUGCAUAUCAUCGACUCAUGUGACAAUGCAGGUGCAUAGAUCAUCGAUGGCGAAGAAGUGCUACGCCAAGAGUAUACGAAGAGUGGCCGGAGUGUCAUGCCCAAGUGUACCGGUUUUUGAGCGAUAGCCAGUAGUUAGUUUAGGUUCACGCUAGUGCGAGAGAGGGAUAUGAACCGACGCCUCAAGAAGUACUACAUUAUGUAUGAUGAGACAUGUCAUGUAACUUGUAGCUACAUCAUGAUUAUGAUGUGAUGACAUGAUUUGUGUUGGAUGAUAUGAUGAGACUAUUAUGUGUAUGAUAUGAUGAGCAUAUUGCAUGUUUAUGAUAUGAUUAGAAUAUUGUAUAAAACCUGUAAAAAACAUCGCAAAUAUGCAAAAAUAUAUAUAUGAGAAAAUAUAGUAGUAGCGCUCUUUAGCGCUGGACAAGAAAACACUACUGCUAAAGCACUUAGCAGUAGCGCUGGUAUGGAAAGCGCUACUGCUAAGUAGGUAUAGCAACAGCACGUGUCAAACUGCGCUACUGCUACAUGUUAGCUGUAGCACCAUAUCAGUAGAGCGGUUCCCCGCGCUACUGAUAGCCCUUAGACCCGCGCUACUACUAGGCUUUUCCCUUUGUUUUCGUGGAUAGAUAAGUAUGUAAGUGUUGUUUUUAACUUUUUCCUUGGUUUCUCUUGUAAAUAUUUUUGCUUCCUUUUGUUUUCAUGGAAUCAAGGACUAUAGAGCUGUUGCUCCAUAGUAGUUACAAAAACCCUAGGUUUUUCUUUAUUUUCACUAGUACCAUUACAAUCCUUCACAAAUAGCUCAGGCAAAAGUUCCAUAAUAAGUAUUGAAUGCUGUCGCUAUAUCGAGUUCAGUUAGAUUCUUAUUAUACUGACCAACAAAACUUCUUUAGCAAGGGUCUAUGAGAAGAAUAUGUUUCAUGAGACUGGCUUUUCUACUCCCGGGGGUCGGGAUACCCUACUAUCCCGUUCGUUCGUUGUACUUGUCUUGCCUCGCGAUCCGUACCCUGGUCUGCCAUCCUAUUUUGAUUUGCAGGCCUAGGUGUACAGUAAUAGGAGCAUCUCUGAUAUGACGUCGUACAUACACACUGAGCCAUCUGCACCUGUGUGCGGGAUACAUAUUGUUUAGCAUAAAAUUUUCUCUUCACAUGCAAAAAGUGUUCUGUCGUUCUGCUAGCCUGGUCGACCACUGUUGACGUUUGGGAUUCAAACCUGUGCGGAGCAUAAAUCUACUGCAAGUAACUAUUUGUCAUAAGUCUACGCCGUGUGAAGCAUCUUGCUAGUAGCAUUUUUGACUUAUUAGUUACGGUCAACUACAGGUAACACAGUAACUAGUCUAGGGAAGUGGGUCCGUCCCAUAGGGUGACGGUUGGCUCUCGUCCGGGAUUUCUGGAGGCGAUCAGGGAGGCGAUCACGUCCGUGUCUUGCCGGGCUAGGGUUCUUCGAGAUCCGUCGUGCUAGGUCUCCCUGGCGUUCUUUGCGCCGGUGUGAGCCCAUCCAAAUCCGAGUCCUGUCCACCAUACUCCUUCUCCGCGUGGCCCUAGGGCGCAGGGUCGUAAAACACUUUUCCUAGGAGGUGCUUGGAGGGAGCAGGAGGGUAGUCAUGGCGGUGGAGGGAGUAGCUGGGCUGAUGAAGGGGUUGAAGUUGACGGAGGAGGAGAAGAAGGGAGUCAAGGUUCGAAUCUCAUCCGUGGGGAAGGGCAAGGAGUCGGCUCCGCAGGCUGUUGGCAAGGUAAUGUCAGAAAAAUUGGCGCACCGAGACGCGAUCUGCCUCUCUCUUGGCAAGGUUUGGUGCCCGAUUAAAGGGAUCGACUGCAGGGAGAUUGGGGCCAACCAGUUCCUAUUCACUUUCCACCAAGAGUCGGGGAAGCAUAAGGCGAUCGAGGAUGGACCAUGGAUGUUUGCUAAGGAGCUGGUAGUGGUUGAGGAUUAUGUGCCCAAUAAAAGGCCAGAAGACUACGCUCACAACAACAUCCCCAUCUGGGUUAGGGUUUAUAACCUACCCCUCGGUAUGAUGAACGAAGAAGCUGCAAAGGACAUAGGGAACACCAUAGGCGUGUAUGUGGAGGCAGAUACUAGACCAGAUGGGAAAGCUUUUGGAAGGUUUCUUAGAGUCAAAAUCAGGAUGCAGAUCGAUAAGCCAUUGAUGAGGGGUUUUACCCUAGAUGAAGAAGCUGUAGGGGGAGAGGAAGGGGACAAUGGGAAGGCCGACAUGGUGAGUAGUGAUGGCGAGGAGGAGAAGGGCUGGUGUCGGUUGGAGUAUGAGUUCUUGCCGGAUUUUUGCUAUACUUGUGGGACUAUCGGCCAUGGAGACAAAGAUUGUACCAUCAAACUUAUGAAGGGAGAGCAAGCCCAAUUUGGUCGAUGAUUGAGAGCGGAUGUAGGCCAACGUAGAGGGGGAAUGGAGGAGAGGCUAUGGAGGGAUGGAGGGAGAGGUUUAAGCGGAACCCGUAACUUUGGCUUUAGUAGAUCGAGCGGGAGAUCUAGUGGAGGAAGUGAUAGUCUAUCUUGGAGGAAGAAUGACUCUCGGUCGGGUGGAGGGGAGGAAGAGAAGAAUGGGAAGAGUGGGAAGGAGGAUGAAGUUACUAGCCCGAUCAAAAAAUUUCUGUUACUGUUGAAAAAGGAGCCGCGAGGAAACUAGUGCUUGACCAGAGCGCAAUGGUGGUACAUGCUGGCUCGGGAAGUCAGAUAGAGAAGGCCAUAGCCAAAUCUGAUGUUCAUGGCGAGGCUUCGCAGGAGGGGGUGAAGGUACUCGGCGGCUGGUUAUGAAUAAGGAGGCGAGUGGCAGUGACAAACUUCCAGGUGGUAAGAAGUACAGGAAGAAAGGCAGGGAGGGCAGGGAGAGGGUCGUAGGUGGGGAAGGCCAGAGGGUGGUUGCGAUCUCAGGAGAGAAGAGGGACAUAACUAAUGAAGAAGAAGAAAAGCUCAGUAAGAAGGGAAGGGUUCAGGAGAUGAGUCAGGAGGGUAACCUGGCGACGGACACCGCAACGAUCGCUGCUAAUGAAAUCACAUCAGCCGAGCUGCAGGAGCAGUCCUGCCGGGAGCUAUGAAACUGAUCGGAUGGAACAGUCGGGGGCUUGGGAAUGGCCCGACAGUUCGCAGCCUCCUCGACUUGGGGAGGGCGGAGGAUCCCGACGUUCUGUUUUUGGCGGAUACGAAGCUAUCGGUGAAGGAGUUGGAGAGGUUCCGUUGGUCAUUGGGUAUGGUUAACAUGUCUGCAUGGAACCCAGUGGGGAGGAGUAGAGGGGUGGCGCUGUUUUGGAGGAGAGGGUUGGAUGUUGCCUUAAGAUCUUAUGGUCGGAGGCAUGUGGAUGUGGAUAUCACGGAAGAAGAUGGUCGGGUCUGGAGGUUAACAGGAAUAUAUGGUGAAUCUGAAUCGGAAUGCAAGGUGGAGACGUGAAGGCUCUUAAAAAUCCUUGGACAGCAACACCAGGACGGACGCCCCUGGCUUUGUUGGGGUGAUUUCAAUGAAAUCCUAACUUGUGAUGAGAAAAUUGGUGGGGCUGACCGAAGUCAAAGACUUAUGGAUAAUUUCAGAGAGGCGCUCGAGGCGUGCGACCUUAGUGACUUGGGAUAUGAGGGAGAUAGAUUUACGUGGAGGAACCACAGCAAGAGGGUGGAUACAUAUAUUUGUGAAAGGCUUGAAAGAGCGACAGCAAAUGCAUCUUGGUGCAAGUGGUUUCCGGAGUUCACAGUCAUAAACGGCUCUCCACGACACUCCGACCACCGACCGGUUAUCGUAUGUACACAAGGCGCUAUCAGGAGGCAGGGGGGAGGAGAUUGUAGUUUCCGUUUCGAAGCGUGGUGGCUCCGGGAGGAAGGGUGUAGUGCGGAGGUGCAGGGGGCAUAGGAGGAAGGUUGUAUGAUGGGCCAUGGGAAUGUGGCUUCUGCCAUGAAGAAUGUGGCUGGUAGGAUGAGGAGAUGGGGUAAGGAAGUGGCGGGAGAGCUUGAAGGAAGACUUAGGGAUACUAGGAGAGCAUUGGAGAGAUGCAUGAGGGCACCGGUCUCGGCAGAAAAAGUGAGGGAGGAAGGGAGGCUGCGAGGAUUGCUGGAGGAGCUGGAAGGCAAGAAGAACACCAAAGCUAGGCAGCAUUCACACGCCACGUGGCUGAAGGAUGGAAAUAAGAGCACAAAGUAUUUCAUGGCUGUAGCUUCUGCAAAACGGAAGGCGAAUAGAAUCAAGAAGUUGAGGAGGGAAGAUGGCAUGGAAGUGAAGGAGGGGAGGAACUAAAUGACUAUGUUUGCUCUUUUUCCAGGACCUUUUCACUACCGCCGGAGUCAACCGUUUUUCUGAACUUAUUGAUAAAGUUCAGCCCCGUCUUACGGCAGCUAUGAGGGCGAUUCUGGAGGCAGAAGUUACCAGGGAAGAAAUUAAAGAAUCCCUUGAUCACAUAGGGGACCUUAAAGCCCCUGGGCCGGACGGCAUGCCCUCGGUGGUCUAUAAGAAACAUUGGCAUUUCAUGGGGGAGAAAGUUAUAGAGGAGGUCAUGGCUGUUCUCAAUGGUGGGGCCAUGCCGGAGGGAUGGAAUGAUACAACUGUGGUCCUGAUUCCUAAAGUGAAAUGCCCAAGCAGGAUCAAGGAUCUCCGGCCGAUAAGCUUAUGCAAUGUUAUAUACAAAUUGGUCUCUAAGGUCAUCGCCAACCGUCUCAAAAUUAUUCUCCCAGACAUUAUCUCUUCCAACCAAAGCGCCUCUUUGUCCCCGGGAGAAUGAUAACGGACAAUGUUCUAGUGGAGUAUGAACGGUCACACCAUCUCCUUAAUAAGAAGAGAGGAAAAGAGGGAAUAGUUGCUGUCAAGGCGGAUAUGAGUAAAGCUUACGAUAGAGUCGAAUGGGAUUUCCUCAGAGCUAUGCUGACCAAGCUGGGUUUUGGGACUAGGUGGAUAGAUCUGGUCAUGUCAUGUGUUUCUUCUGUUCGCUACCAGAUUAAAGUGAACGGCGAAUUAACCGAACAAUUUUCACCAUCCAGGGGUUUAAGGCAAGGAGACCCUGCCUCGCCCUAUCUUUUUGUCAUAUGUGCGGAGGGCCUCUCGGCUCUCUUGCAUGAUGCGGAGGGGAGUGGGAGGAUCAGUGGUGUUAGAGUAUGCCAGGGGGAUCCAGUGGUUUCACAUUUGCUCUUCGCGGAUGACUCGCUCCUCCUUUUGAGAGCUAAGCAGGAGGAAGCCCAGGAACUGCGUAGGGUGCUUGAUCUCUAUGAGGCCUGCUCGGGGCAGUGCAUAAACCUUGAGAAAUCGGCCGUGAUGUUCAGCCCAGACACUGCAGAUGGGAUUCGUGAUGCUGUCAAAGACUCGCUGCAGAUCCAAACUGAAGAAUGGAAUGACAAAUAUCUGGGGCUGCCAGUUCAUGUGGGCAAGUCUCGGGAGAAGGCUUUUGCUUUCGUUAAGGGCGCGAUGGCUGGCCGGGUUUACGGAUGGAAGGAACGACUCAUUGCAAAGGCCGGAAAGGGCACCUUAGUAACUACAGUUGCCCAAGCUAUACCUACCUUCGCCAUGUCGUCUUUCGAUCUAACAAAAUCUUUCUGCGAAGAACUUGGCUCGUUGCUCGGAAACUAUUGGUGGAGUCAACAAGAUAAGGAGAGCACCAUCCACUGGAUCGGCUGGAAAACACUUACGCUGCCAAAGGCCCAGGGAGGUCUCGGCUUCCGGGGUAUGCAUGGGUUCAAUAUCGCCAUGCUGUCCAGACAGAUUUGGCGCCUCAUUCAGCACCCGGACUCCUUAUGUGCGCAAGUGUUACGUGCUCGAUACUACCCGAACGAUCAAAUCCUCACGGCUGUACCGGGAGUUGGCAUCUCCUACUCGUGGAGAAGUUUGCUACACGGGCUCCAGCUUUUCAAAGAAGGUUAUAUAUGGAGAUUAGGAGACGGCACCAAAGUCAACAUCUGGUCGGAUCCUUGGAUACCUAGGCCUUGGUCGCGCCAGGUUAUUACUGCUAGGGGUCCUAAUCUUCUGGAAAGAGUAUGUGAUCUUAUCGAUCCGUUAACUGGCCAGUGGGACAAGCUGCUCAUGAGGGAUACGUUCUGGCCUGAUGAUGUUAAACACAUUCUCCAGAUUCCGUUGAGAGAGGGGGCACAAGAUUUUAUUGCUUGGCACUACGACAGCAAAGGUACCCAUUCAGUCAAGUCGGCUUACAAACUGUUUGGCCACCUAGAAAAAGCGAGGAGGACAGGAGGAGUGGGUGGCAGCAACACGGAUCCGGGGAUGCUUAACAGAGUGGAGGAUGAUUCGUGGAAACGGAUAUGGAAACUACCUUGCCCAAAAACCCUACAGAUGUUCACUUGGCGCAUUAAGCAUGACUCUCUUGCACUCGGGACUAAUGUGGCCCGACGUGGUAUCCCCAUUGCUGACACGAAGUGCCUGUUUUGCGGUAAGGCAGAUGAAGACGGGGCUCACCUAUUUAUCAAGUGCAAGAUGGUCAAGGCUGGAUGAAGGGAGCUAGCCAUGGAGAGCGAGCGGGUUGCUCUUGAACGUAUCACGUCCGUGCAUGCAACCAUGGAGUUCUUAUGGGGGCUGGACCUAAAACAUCGUCUUCUAGUUCUCACCUUCUGGUGGUUAUGGUGGACCAACAGGAAUAAACUUCGAGAAGGGAACAUGCCUACAGCGGCCGACGAGCUGCUAGGAGGGCGAGAAGCAAUGUAAGCGACUACAUGCAGAUCUUUGUGGCUAAUGCACCCAAGAUCCCUCCUGACAAGUGGCGACCCCCAACCAACGGUGAAUAUAAGAUCAACGUCGACGGCUCCUUCAUCCCGGGUCAGAACCAUGCUGGGUGAGGGGUCGCAGUGCGAUCAUCUGAGGGUCUUCUGCUUUGUGCACGGGCAGGAUGCCAGGAGAAUGUACUCGAUGUUUUCGCUGCUGAAUCACAAGCCAUGUCUCAAGCAAUAAACUUGGCAGCAGAGCUAGGCAUGGUCAGGCUGCAGUUUGAGACCGACUCACAACUACUAGCUGAAGCCCUGGAACUGGGGAACGUGGACUCUUCGGCUUAUGCAGCGGUGAUCGAAGACAUGAAAUACCACCUAAAACUUUGGUUCUCUAAGGUCUCGAUUUCGGUUUGUAGGAGUGCCAACUCCGUAGCUCAUGAGUUAGCUAAUCUUGAACGUGUGUCCCUAACCACUAUAUUCAGUGGGAGUCCGAUGUACCUGCCCAUGUGGGCGCUUGUGUCUUGGGUGAUAUGCCCAGCCACCGUUGAGUAAUAAAGCUUUGGUGCUUUCAAAAAAAAACAAAAAAAAAACUACAGGUAACACAGUCUACACGUCCUUAGAUAUCCCUGACAUCAACUAUUCACAUACACACAGUGCCCUGACAACCCCUGCUGCUACACGAGGACGAGUCCCAAGCAGGCAGUCGCUGCAUGGCGAAGAGAAAACAGUGGCCAUGUGACUACAGCGACAUGAACUACCGACUCUGUCCAUGUCUGAUAUUUCAACAGUACAGCCGCAUGUGUCCGGUCAGGCCUACUUCUAUGCCCUAGCUGUCCCUAGAGCCUAGAGGCACGGCCAUUAGCACCGACGAAUUGCCUGGAUAAGCCAGCUGCAGUUGCUAAUCCUCUGCUGUUCGGCAGAACAUGGCACGAAUCUCUAGCAGGUGAACGAUCAGAUAAUGGGGUGUCGGGACCCCCGGUGCCAUCACACCUUUCCGUUCAUUCUAUUCUACUAGCAAAAACCGAUGAAGAUUAUGGUAAUUACAUGGAAAAGAAACCAUAAUUUUUUUGUAUUUUUUUAACUCAACUUUUUGUAUUGCUAUAAGUAAAGAAACUAAAAUUUGUAAUUGCCAAUCAGGAAAUCUUAAUGUCAAAUGCUGAAUUCUUCCACCAACUAGCUGUGAGACAUAUCCAUUGCAGUGCCAAAUAAAGAAGGUUUGCUGACAAUCAACAGCAGGACAAUGGUCCGCUUGUUGUAUAUAAUAAAUGUCACAGUGGUGUUGUAUAUGUGUAGCCGGUGCUAGAAUUUACAUUUUUUUGAAAAGGAGGUUAAACCCCCGGCCUGCAUCAAUCGAUGCAUACAGCUAUGUUUAUUAGACAAGAAAAUACAUCAAGCCACCCGAAACCACCACUCACACCUACAAAUUCGAUAAUGUGGAGUGCUUUCACCUCCAUAUCUAAAACCGGUGUUGUCGCCGAACCAUCCACAUAAUGUAUCGGGACCAACAACCGGUGUAACAGACCUAAAGCAUGCACCACAUGCACAUGUUUUAGAAGUCAAACGCCACCAUCAUCCUUGGACCGCUGACCCAUCUUCAAGAUAGAGAUCAGCAUCAUCCUUGUUAGUCCAGACAUCGCCGACGCCGCCACCGCCCCCGCGCGCAUUCAUCAAGACGCGAAGACUGUGAAAGAUCUAUCGUGCGUAGCACCUGCCGACCAAGCAUGACACAACGUAGCACUUGUCAGCCAGGCAUGACUUGACAUCUCCGCUGAAGCUCCGUGCAAGACUUUGCCGCUCCACCUCAUGCCUCUAUCUUCCUGCGCUGCUCCACAAACGAUGCGCCCAAGAGAGUAACGACACCACAGUACCGCCAUCGUCCGAUCUGGAUGACCAAAUCUUAGUCUUUCCCCCGAAGCAGCACGACUGGGUUGACAGAAGUUACACCACGAUGCCUUCAUCAAGGUAAUGACGCAAGAAGCCGCCAUCGCCCGCCACCGGCUCUGUUUUCACCGGCAACUCUGUCUCCCCAACUCGCAGCUGGGAUUAGAUGACGGAUCUAGAGAUCCAACCACCCAGCCUCAGGCUGACCAUCUCCGGCGAAGGAGACGACCACCACCGCCACGCCCAGGCCGGGCCGGAGCCCCCGACGUCCUCGUGAUGCGGGUCGAUCCCAGGGGUAGCCUGCCGUUGACAGGAUGUUAUACGACAUCAGCAAGUGUGACCCGCCCGAAGCCCAUCUGGACCCAGAUCGGGUGCCCAAGCCGCUGCUGUUGGACUAGUCGUCGAAUGCCGCCUGCCUGGCCGCCACCGCCCCGCACCACUGCUGUAGAUCCGACCAUCACGGACCGCCGCCGUCCUGACCGAGUCUUUGGCGAGGAGAAACGCCGCCACCACCAAUGCGGCACACAGGCUUUGCCUGCGACGCCCCUGGCGGCGGCGGCAGGGAGAGGGUGUGCGCUGGAGUGAACGGGAGACGGACGGCGGGGGCGCUCUGGUGCAGCGCGGCGGCGGCACAAGGGAGCGGGUAGGGUUAGCAGCGGAGCCCCGAGCCCCUCUCGACUUCAGUAUAGAUUUUUCGCUAGAAUUUACAUAUGCAUGCUCCACAACCUAUGUUCGUACAAACACAGAUCAUAUGGAACGAGAAAUAUGCUCUGGUCGGAAAGCAGAGUCGUGGACAAAAGUGAAGUUCACAAAUGACCAUCAUACAUAGGCCAUUGUUUCAACUUGUAGUUUAGGCCUUGCCGGACUCCUCGCAACCUGGUGGCCUGAAGGCGAUGAAGCUGACGCACUGCACCUGGCGCAGGUUGUCGAAGCCGAUGACACGGACAUAGGCAUCAGGGUACUCCUUCUUGACCUCCUCCACCUCGUUGAGCACCUGCGUGGCGUCGGUGCACCCGAACAUAGGCAGCUUCCACAUUGUCCAGUAUCGACCGUCGUAGUACCCGGGAGAGCUGUUGUGCUCACGGAAGACGAAGCCAACCUUGCUGAACUCGAGGCAGGGCACCCACUUGGAGCGGAUCAGGUAGUCUACCUGCUUUAGGAGGGCCUCUGUGGAGAGGGGUGGCAAGUAAGACAGGGUCUCGAACUUCUUGAUACCCUCAAUCGGCCACACCUGAAUGGAUGGAAAUUAUGGAAUGCACACAACUGCUUAACACUUGGUGCUAGUAAAUUGUACGUACUGAGGAAGAAACUCAUAUCAGUUUUGUGCCUCUGACAUACCUGCAUGCACCUGAUCCUUCCGCCAUUGCUGACGCGGCCGAGGCUGCCGCUGGAGCGGCGGCUGACGGGCAGACCGGCUGUGGACUUGAGCCCCUGGAAGGGUGCGACGGUGGUAGCCGACGAAGCCAUCACGGCGGGGGCCAUGGUAUUGUAUUAUCGGAGGAGAGGAGGAUGCCGGCUACAGGUGAGGCCCCCAUUGCCGGGUCACUACGGUAUAUAUAGCCAGACACUUAGCGCCGUUUCUUUGGUACAGAUGUGGUUGGGGUGGCUGACGUUCUCUGGUUGCCUCGUUUCCUUAUCUUCUCCGGAUCAGUGGAAGAAGCAUGGCCGUCGGAUGCAUUGUGUGUGCUGGAAAUUUCAGUCCUUCAUGUCAUUGGGUGGCUGCCACACAACCUUUUUCCAGCUUUUCUUGUUUUUGGUUUCAUUUGAAGCCAAAAGUUUCUUGAGUACAAAUUUUCUGAGAUGCGACUUGAGUGGUGGUGUGGGCAAAAUAUUUUACAUUUUAUCAUAAGAUCUGAUGGCUCACUCCCUUGAAAGUAUGCCUAUAGGCAUAGAGUGUGCGUGUGUGCAUUUAUAGGGGGUGUUAUACAUGCGCGUAUGCGAAUGUCUACUUUUGUACACCGUUUCUCAAAAUAAAAUAUAUGUUUUGUUGGUACAAUUAAUUGACCUAGCAUAGUAACCUCCACACGUAGAACAAGUUCUUUCCCCUCUCGCAAGGUAACUAUUGAAAGCUUUCCACCCCUCUAUAUCCGCCAGUGAGCCUGUGGAUCCGCCUCCCCUCUGCGGGAAGGGGGAUUCCUGGUGCCUCGGCUCUGGCUAAUAAACAAGUAGAAUUUUAGUCCUCAUGGGUGAGGUGCUUGGACGGAUGGCGGUCUUUCUUCUUCGAGCCAAUCUUUCGGGAUCCUAUCCUCUUCAAGUUCCUCUGUCGGGGGAGCUCCGACGUAGACUCCUGCCAGUUCCUCAGGCGGUGAGGUUAGGAUUUCUCAUCAUGCGUACGCACAAUGAGAUUUGGUGUCAGGUUCUUUAAAUCGAUUCAGGGAUUCAACAGCGAUGGCUGCGGCUCCGGAGCACUGGUCCUUAGGGGCAUGUGCAUGGAGACUUCCUGACUGUCAUCGACAAAGUCAAGGUAGCUCUAGAGUGGGAGCAACGACAACGGUGCAUUAGUGGCUUGUCUCUGUGCGUAGGAACGAAAAGAAAGCCCUAUAUCUCAAAUUUUUGACAACUCUCCGUGACAAUGGGCAUAACUUAUUUUAAACAUCAGUGGGUAGGAACAAAAAGCUCUAUAUGUCAACUAUUAACAUGUAUGGCUAAAUAUGUACCUUGCAUUAUAGGAUAUGGCAAUCGAUCAAAAAGGUGGGCAGUCUCUCACGUAACAUUGUCUCUCAAGUAGGGCUGCAAAUGAGUCGAGUUCGAGCGAGUUGGACUUGCCUCAGCUCAACUCAUAUUAAAAUUCGAGCGAGCUCAAACUGAGUGAAGCUCAAGGUCAAGUUGUAGAACGUGACUCAUGCUUAACUUGUAAGAUCUUGAGUCGAUCUCGAGCUAGUUUCGAGUUAAAUGAGAUGAUAAAAUCUAUUAAAUUUAUGACUAUUAUUCCAACUAGAUAAGCACAACACGACAUAAAAAGGCACAAAAAAUAUUUUUUCAAUCAGAACAAUGAUAAUACAAUUUUCUUUUGAAAUGAUACAAAUUUUGUUAGAAGUAGUUUAACUUAUUCUAUCACAACCGAAAGUCUAGUAUCAACUAAGAUAACGAUUCACGAAGGUGCAUAUGCUAGGAACUUUUAGCAGAAACAACAGAAUAUUUAACACAUGACCGACCAUGUACCAUAAAAAAGCCUAAAUUUUCUCUACAACUAAUUAAGCUUCGAUGUCUGUUUGUAAACAAAAUGGUGAAAAAUCCAGGAUGACACAUAUGGUAUUAAAUUAUCGUAUUUUCAUUUAUUAUAUGGAAUGAUCAUUUAACAUAAUGAUAUUAGGCCGAGCUAUCGAGCUAAAAUCGAGCGAGCCAGUAUUGGCUCAAGAUCGGCCCAUUUCUUGAAUGAGCUAUAGAAAGUGUUCGUACUCAACUCGUUUCUUUUCAAGUUGAGUCAAAAAACGAGUUGAUCUCGAGCCGCUAUCGAGCCUCAAGCUUUUCUUACAACCUUACUUUCAAGCAGUGUCAUGUUGACACAACUCAAUCAUCCUACUUCUCAUCCCAUAUCAGCGGCGGAUAACGAAAAGACAUUAAUAUCAAAAGGCCUGGACCGAAGGUAAUAAGUUCUAUGGACAACCGCGAUCCCUAGAAUAAUUAUGUUCCUCUCAUGAUAUUGAUGCCCUGUCACCUGGAGGUCUCUCGAUUUGCACGCCUCUCUCCCAUAGCCAACGAUUACUCAAAUAACAUCACAUAUAAAAGAGUUUAAGAGUUGUUACAACCCAUUAGGGAGACCGUGAUGGGGGGACGAGAAGGGGUAUGGGUGAGGACGGAGUGGCGACGGCAGCGCUUCUCCGGCAUUGCCUCCUUCAAGGUUGCAAUGAUAGAGAUGGAGGCUUGGCACAACCCUCAAGUGUUUUUUGAUAUCGAUGGAGCUGGACGUAUGGAUUGUGUCCCCGAGUGGCUAGGGUUGGAGGUGUAUUUAUAAGAACUCUCCAAAGCCUCCUUCGUUGAUGUAGCAUCUCUACUUUGCUCCAAGUGCUCUAGGUGAGCCCAAUCUUUUCCAAAACAUCCCUUGAUGGCAAAGAAAGUAGUAGGAACAUACCGGGACAAAAUCCUUGAGGAAUCCCCGUCUGAAAGGGCAGCUUCUCAUUUUUUUAUGCAUCAAAGGUUGUCAAACGCUUUAGACUCUUUGGUAAAAUCGCCGCAACUUUUACAUCCGAACUCUGUUUUUGACGUUCAUGUGCUCGUUGGAAUGACGAUUACGGCGCCGAUGCACUUGUGGUAUUAGAUAUUGAUUUUGAGCACUUUGGAAAACAACUUUUUUCACUCUCUGAAAUGCCCAAGUCUGGUGUCUCGAUGUCCUUCGUUUGGAUCCUUUUCAUCGUGUUAAGUGAGUGAGAGUUCCACAUUACGUACAAACACACAAAGAAAGAUAAUACUGAUAUGAACAAAUAAAGAAUAAAUAUUAUGCAAUGCUCGCGUUGAAAAUGUUAAAUACUGGAGAUCAUGCAUAUGGGCAUGUAAUUGGCUCAAUGGCACAUGAUAUAUGGAGAUAAUAGGUGACAAAUGAGCUCUAAACGUGCGUAAAAGUAGGAGCUAUCACUUGGAUCAAUUAGAUACUAUCUUGUGGAACACCUUACAUCCUUUUGAAUGGUGUACCUAGUAGGCAAUUCCAAUGAAAACAUGGGAUUCACCAGGGUGACACACCGUUACCACUUCUAUUUUUCUUGGCAGUGGAUUUACUUCAAUCUAUCCUUAGUGACAUGUAUCAUCGCGGGAGCUCUUUUUUCCAAUCCCAUCUCAUGAUCUAAACUCUCCAAUUGUGUAGUAUGUUAAUGAUAUGUUGUUGAUUAUGCCGGAUAUUGAUUCUCAGCUUCUUGACCUAAAAGAAAUGCUACAACUUUUGUCUAAAUCCACUUGCUUGAAAGUGAAUUUUGGUAAAUCCUCCAUGGUUCUUAUAAAUGUGAUUGACGAUGAAGCUUCUCAUUGGCCAGUUUGUUUGAGUGUCAACAGGGUAAGAUGCCUUUCACUUACCUGGUUUACCUAUGGGUAUCACUAGGCUCAAGAUCUAGGACUUAAUGCCUUUGGUUGAUAUAAUGAAAAGGAAAUUGGCAGCUAGCUCUUCUCUGCUCUCACAAGGUGCUAAAUUAAAACUUUUGAGGUCUACCAUUUCAUCUAUACCGACAUACUAUCUUUGUAGUCUCUAGAGUCUAGACCCCCCUUGGUAUAAUUAAACAACUGGAGAGAAUUGAGCAGAAUAUCUCUGGCGUGGCAAUGCUGAUAGCUCAAAUCAACCAUUCGUGAUAUGUCAUCUGGUAUGUAAAUCAAAGGAGAAUGGUGGUAUUGGUAUCAUUAACCGUCAUAUUCAAGACCAACCUUUGCUUACAAAACACUUGCACAAAUUUUAUAAUAAAGUUCAUAUUCCAUGGGUAACUUUGAUAUAUAUUUCUUACUAUCAUGGAGUCAUACCUGAUGUAACAGUCCUUCGUGGUUUUUUUCCGGUGGAGGGAUAUUUUGGAACUUAACGAUCAGUACAUGACAAUCUCUUCAAUCAAAGUUAAUAUUGGCAACUUUGCCCUGUUCUUGUCUGAUGCCUGGUUGAUUGAGGGGUCUUCUCUACCUCUUCGACAUCGUUUGGAAAGGCUCUUUUCAUUGCCUUCUAUGACAAUAAUUCUGUAAGAUUUUACAGAAACCCCUCAUUAGGCCACUCUUUUGCACCUGCCAAUUUCUGCUGAGGCGAUGGAUGAAUUGUAACCUCCGGAUGGUUGGUUACAUAGCCUUAAGGGAAACCCAACCCUGUCUGAUGUUUGUUCUUGGUAAGGAGAAUCAUUUUCCGCCAAAAGCUUCUACUGCAUGAUGCACAAGCACAUGCCCACCGAUGAACCUUGCAAAUGGAUAUGACAGAGCACCAUGAAGAUCAAGAUCUUUGCUUAGAUCCUAUUAUUUUAUCGGUUGAACGCUCGGAAAUUGCUUCUUAGAAGGCACUGACAUUCUGCUCGGAUUGAAACCCAUUGUGCUCACAUGAGCGAAGAGACCACUUGUUUUUCUCCUAUAAUUUUAGUCAAAGAAUUUGGACUUAUUUACAGAUUGAUUGGAGCCCCAGAUGAAACACUAGAUAAUGUAUUGAUGUUGCAUGUAGAUGACGUUUUUUCGUGAAUACACUAAGCAACGUAUCAUUUCAUUGAUAGGUGGAAAGAAAGAGUAUAGGGUGCAGCUCUCACGGGCAUACAUGCAAUGGCGUCCGUGAGAGUGCAGAGCGAGCAGCGGAGGAGGAUGAUCAGCCUCGAUGCCGCAUGGUCAGGUUACAGGGAUGAUUCUAUGUAAUCCUCGAUCGUCGUCCUUGGCCCACCGACGCGCGUCGUCCUUGAUUAGCUGCCCAAGGUCAUCUGUGGAGGGUCCGGCACCGUUGACAAUGGCCGCAUUUCGAUGUUUCCAGAUAGCCCAAGUGGUGAGAGCGAUAAUGAAGUUUAGGCCUCGUCUGAGGCUAUCCGGGGAUGCUGCCGUGGCCUGGAGCCAACAGUCGAAGAAGAUGGUCGAGCCUAGUAUGGGUGGUGUAACCAGCCAACACCAAGAAAGAAUCUCAUGCCAAGUGAACCACGAGAUGACACAACUAGUGAGGAGAUGGUCGAUAGUCUCUAGCUCCUGGGAACAGGAGAUGCACUCUGGAUCGUGCGGGAGGCCGUGCCUUGCACGACGCUUCGCAGUCUAGCACCGAUCGAGGAAUACGAGCCAAAGGAAGAAUUUGUUGGUAAGAGGGGCCCAGCCCUUCCAGAUCAAACGCCAAGCGGGCGGGGAGGUUGAUCCAAAGAAGAGCGCCUUGUAGCAGGAUUUGACGGAGUAGAUACCACUAGCAUUCCAUUUCCAACUGAUUUGGUCCGGGGCAUGACUGAGUUGGAUGCCCUGAAGAUGACGCCAGAGAUCGAUGUAUUGGACCACUUUGAUGGGACCUAGAUUGCAGUGGAUAUCGUGAAUCCACGCUUGCUGGUGAAGGCCAUCAGAAACCAGGGUGCGGCGGUGCCGAUGUCGCGGCACAAGAGCAAGCAGUGCCAGAGCGAGCUUAGAGAUGGUGUCGGUUCUAUAUCCGGCAUAUCUCGUAGUAGGGGUCCUAAGCUAGGCGUCUUGGAGCGAUGGUAACACGGACACAUGGUUUUACCCAGGUUCAGGCUCUCUCGAAGAGAUAAUACCCUACGUCUUGCUUUUGAUUGUAUUCAUAUGGGGGAUAGUACAUAGUACAUGUGUCUACCACGAGAUUGUUCUAAUGAACAUAAGUUGAUCUAAUGACUAGCCUGGCCUCGGUUUAUACAACACACCGGAGGCCUAGGGUUUAGAGGAGUCCUCGUCUUGUGCACCAAAUCUUGUGUAAACCUCCUUGUAUGCGGCAUGGGCUGCCCGAAGUGGCCCAUUAGUACACCGCCAUGGGGGCCCUCGGCACGAUCCAGCUGGUCGAGAGACGACGUGGUGAGUCCCCCCCCCCCGAGUCCAGGACACUGUCAAAUGGCCCUCCCGUCGAGCCAAUGGUUGCACCAGAAACGACAAGUUUUGUCGUCGCCGAGGGUCCAAGUGGUCGACGCACGGAAGAACUGCCUGGUCUCAUCAUCACAAGGCACCUCAAGAUGGUGCCAAGGGAGGGAGGGGUCAGUGGUCUGCAGCCACAGCCAUCGGGCAUGCAAGGAGAUACUGGUGAGGUGGAGAUCGCGCACGCCAAGCCCACCAUACUCCAGCGGGCGACAUACGCGCCUCCAAUUAACAAGGCAACAGCCGGACUUGGCAUCCUUCCUAGCAUGCAAUAGGAAGUCACGAAUGAUCUGGGUGAUUUUCUUGAGGAUCAUUGGGUUGAUGACCAUGAAGAGGAGAAUUUGGACAGGUAUAGCAGACAGGACAUGCCGCACGAGGGCGAGUCGCUCGGUGCGUGAGAGAAGCGAGGCUUUCCAGGUGGCGAGUUUCUUGGUAAGUUUUUCCAACAGUGGGAGGAGCGCCGAUGUGGGAGUCUUGCGGACCGAGAGGGGAAUUGAUGUGGACCAGAUCAUGACCAAGGCAUCCAAGAGUAAGGUUAAUGCUAGCACAAAUGCUGAACCAUUCGAGCAUCUAAAUGAAGACAAGGUCAAAACCAUUAUCUUUGUUGGGAAGCUUCCGGUGCCUAUUUUGGGAGAAAUGACACAUCAGAUUUCCAGCAGCAACUUCCCACCUAAACCUAAUUAAUUCUGGAAGUCUCUAGCACUUUAUAGAGGCUGGAAGAUAUGGUCUUAGAAGUCAGCUUUCAUUUAAAAAAAAUUGUGCAUCAUUUGAGGUCUUGAGUCAAAAGUUGUGCAAGUUUCCAUGCAAGCUGUCCAGGAAUUUAUUACAGCGCGAGGCUCAACAAGUUUGCUCCUGCUACAGCUUCGGGCUCACGAAUUUACCCUUCUUUUUGAGUUGUUUUCACACCUAACUAGUGGGUGCUUCUAGUAUAAAUACUCCCUAGCUGUUCCAUGUGAGGGGGGAUGAGAUUUCUGAGUUUAUGUUUGUAGACAGCCGGUGAGGUUGUGUUGUGCUGUGAGCACUAGUAUCGUCGAGUGUUAGCUCGUGUGUGUGGAUUGGAGGGCCUGUCCUCAAUUCAUAUAGGAUCCUUGUGGUUCCCUCUUGUGAUUCUUCAUAGGUUCACAAGCUUCAUGGUUUGGGUUGCAUCCUUGUAAACCCAGCUAGUUGUCCGCUGCAAUUUAUCUGAGAGUGUUUCCUCUUGUUCUUCCCCCUUGAGAGAAAUAAAGUUUGUUGAAACAAGUAUCGAGUGAGUUUGUUGCUGCUCCUUGUGAGUUCUUUGGCACCGUGAAAGAUCGUUUCUGAGGCAUCCCACAUCAUCUUGGCAUCAGAGCUUUAGGUUGUUCGCGGUGCAAUUUUUUAUCUUGCUGAUUUUGUUCUUGAGAAGCUUCCAUGGGUUCAAGGAGAUCCAGCAGUGUUGAUGGUGUGCAUGGAGGUGCCGGCACCUCGUGGAGGAGGAGCUGCCACUCCCCGUAUAUGAUCCAAGCUUGCAGCCCGCCUAUGUGUUGGCAUUGGAGAAUACACGAGAGUAUGUGUUGAACAAGGUGGAGAGGCGCAUAUCGGCCGUGGAGACCAACCUUGGCCAGAUAAUCGACUCCCUCACCGAGGAACUCCGUCGAGAUAGGCUUGCUGUACGGGGUCGACAUUGACAAAUCCCCAAACAGCAGGGCCAACGCCACCUUGAGGAGGAGCAUGGAGAGCACAACCACGUCUACUCGGGUGAUGCUCAUAGCUACUACGCUGCACCACCUCGGCGUGCUUGCUAUGACCAGCGAGGUGCUACUUGGGCACCACUGUCACCACCAUGAGAUGGGCUUGUGGAACGGGUUCGACAUCGACAACUCCCCAUACAGCAGGACCACCAUGGAGAGCAUUGGAGCGACCACUCCGAUGAUGCUCGAAACUACUACGAGCCUCAACCAUGACGUGUUCAUCAUGAUCAUCGCGGAGAAGGCCAAGAAGGCUUUGCCAUGGGAGGAAGAGGUCAUGGGCGUGCUCAUCGUGACCAUGAAGAUGAUGGGAUUGGUAAAUUCAAACUUACCAUACCAUCGUUCAAUGGGAAAACCGAGACCGAUGAUUAUUUGGAGUGGGAGAUGCGUGUGGAUUAGAUUUUUGACAACCACCGCUAUACGGAGGAGAAGAAGGUACGAUAUGCAUCCAUUGAGUUUACUGGAUAUGCUUUGAUUUGGUGGAACCAAUUGUGUCGUGCUGGAGGUCGUCCAGAGACAUGGGUGCAAAUGAAAGAUCUGUUGCGGAGACGGUUUGUUCCUGAAUAUUUCACAAGAACCUUGUACAAUCGACUCCAACGGUUGUGCCAAGGUAAUUCUAGUGUUGAUGAGUACUAUAAAGAGAUGGAGAUUUUGAUGAUUAGGACAACGGUGAAUGAGCCCGAGGAGGCCACAAUGUCAAGAUUCUUUCAUGGACUGAAUGAAGAUGUGCAAGAAAGGAUAGAGAUGAUUACAUAUCAAGAUUUGCAAGAACUUGUGCAUCAAGCUAUUCGUGUAGAGCAGCAGCUGAAGCGUCGCCAAAAUCGCAGCCAAACCUAUACAUCAAGCACUUGAAGAAGUUCAGCUCAACGAGAAGUAGACGGAAGUGUCGCUGCAGAUUUUCGCUCACACAACAAGAUGACUACAAAGGAAGCUAAUGCAUCAAAGGUUGAAUCUUCCAAUACUUCUGCCACUCGCGUUAGUAAUAUUCAGUGCCAUACAUGCAAGGGUAGAGGUCACUUCAAGAAGGAUUGUCCUAAUCUGAAGAAGGUUUUACUCACAAAUGAUGGAUAUGUCACCGAUGACUCAAGUGACAAAUCUGAAUCUGAGAAGAAAGAUGCAAAUUAUUGUACUUUUGAGACUGGAGCACCUCUGAGUUCAGAUGGAGGAGAUGGUGUUAAUCUCAUGGUUCGCAAAGUGGCUCAUGAUGAUGCUCCUAUUAUUGAGAAGGGCCAGCGACAAAAUGUGUUCCAAUCCAUUUGCAAGAUCAAGAACAAAAAUUGCAAGGUGGUCAUCGAUGGAGGCAGCUACAACAACAUCAUUAGUAGUGAUCUUGUGCAUGCUCUUGGGAUGUCAACAUGGAGGCAGCCCCAGCCAUAUUAUGUGAAGUGGCUGAAUGGUGUUGGUAAGUUGAAGAUUACGCAUCAUGCGAGGGUGCAAUUUUCAGUGGGAAGUUAUGUGGACAAAGUGGUAUGUGAUGUGGUGCCAAUGCGAGCUUGUCAUCUUCUUUUGGGAAGACCGUGGCAGUUUGAUCAUGAUGCUACUCACCAUGGGAGGUCUAACAAGUAUUCUUUCAUGCAUCAAGGAGUGAACCAUGUCUUGGAACCUAGGGUGGAUCAAGUACUCAAGGUUGAGCAAUUCCCACAAGUGAAGAAGCCCAAAAAGAAUACCUCAAAACCGAGGAUGGUUUUGUUUGAAGGAAGGGAGGAUGAUGUGGACCAGAUCAUGACCAAGGUAUCCAAGAAUGAGGUUAGCACAAAUGCAGAACCAUUAGAGCAUCCAAAGGAAGACAAGGGAAAAAACAUUAUCUUUGUUGGGAAGCUUCCGGUGCCUAUUUUGGGGGAAAUGACACAUCAAAUUUCCAGCAGCAACUUCCCACCUAAACCUAAUUAAUUGUGGAAGUCUCUAGCACUUUAUAGAGGCUACAAGAGAUGGUCUUGGAAGUCAGCUUUCAUUUAAAAAAAACUAUGCAUCAUUUGAGGUCUUGAGUCAAAAGUUGUGCAAGUUUCCAUGCAAGCUGUCCAGGAAUUUAUUACAGCGCGAGGCUCAACAAGUUUGCUCCUGCUACAGCUUGGGGCUCACGAAUUUACCCUUCUUUUUGAGUUGUUUUCACACCUAACUAGUGGGUGCUUCUUGUAUAAAUACUCCCCGGCUGUUCCAUGUGAGGGGGGAUGAGAUUUCUGAGUUUAUGUUUGUAGACAGCCGAUGAUGUUGUGUUGUGCUGCGAGCACUAGUAUCGUCGAGUGUUAGCUCGUGUGUGUGGAUUGGAGGGCCUAUCCUCAAUUCAUAUAGGAUCCUUGUGGUUCCCUCUUGUGAUUCUUCAUAGGUUCACAAGCUUCAUGGUUUGGGUUGCAUCCUUGUAAACCAGCUAGUUAUCCGCUGUAAUUUACCUGAGAGUGUUUCCUCUUGUUCUUCCCCCUUGAGAGAAACAAAGUUUGUUGAAACAAGUAUCGAGUGAGUUUGUUGCUGCUCCUUGUGAGUUCUUUGGCACCGUGAAAGAUCAUUUCCGAGGCGUCCCGCAUCAGGAAUCCCAAGGUAGACGAUCGGGAAGGUGGUGACCGCGCACGUCAGCGUCGAACCAACAACAUCAGCCACGGUAUCAUCACAUUGAAUAGGGGUGGCAGAGCACUUGAGAAAAUUGGUGCGUAAGCCCGAAGCUUCAUAGGGAAGAGGCCAACCUUUCCUGCUUGGUGUUGUAAAUUUGUACAUGACAUCUCUUCUUGUAGAUAGAGUUAAUGCUUACCAAAGCUCCUGGAUUGGAUUUGUAAUCUCCAUUAGAUAAAUAGGUAGGUAGGAAAGUGUGGUUUUUCCUUUUUCUUGGUUCCCUUUGUAAACAUUUUUUGCUAGCUUUUGUUUUGAUGGAAUAAAGGACUGGAGCUGUUGCUCCAUAGUAGUUACAAAAAUUCAAGAUUUUUAUUGAUUUUUCACUAGUAUGAUUACACUCCUUCACAAAGGAGCUCUUUUUUUUUGAAAAGGAGGAUGUACCCCCGGCCGCAUCUGGGCUAUGCAUGUAGCCAUAAAGGAGCUCAUGCAAUGCAUGUUGGAGAUUUAUUUCAAUAGUUCCAUAACAUGUUUUGAAUGCUGUUGCUAUCUAGUUCAGUUAGAUGCUUAUUAUCCAGACCAACAAAAGUUCUUUAGUAAGGGUCUCUACAAGAAUAUCUUUCAUCCUAUUCUACUAGCAAAACCGAUGUAGAUGCUGGUAGUGACAUGGAAAAGAAACCAUAAUCUUUUUGUAUUGAUAUAUAAGUAAAGAAACUGAAAUUUGCAACUGCAAAUCAGGGGAUCUUAAUGUCAAAUACUGAAUGCUUCCACAACUAGUUGUGUGACAUAUUCAUUGCAGUGCCAAAUAAAGAAACUUUUCCAUGAAUUAAUAACAUCAAGACAAUGGUCCGCAUGUUUUAUAUAAUAAAUAUCACACAGGUUUUGUAUAUGUGUAGCCGGCUCUAGAAUUUACAUAUGCAUGCUCGAGAAUCUAUGUUCGUACAUACAUACACAGACCAUAUAGAAUGAAAAAUAUGCUCUGGUCGUCCAGCAGAGUCGUGGACAAAAGUGAAGUUCACAAAAGACCUUCAUACAUAGGCCAUUGUUUCAACUCGUAGUUUAGGCCUUGCCAGACUCCUCGCAACCCGGUGGCCUGAAGGCAAUGAAGCUGACGCACUGCACCUGGCGUAGGUUGUCGAAGCCGAUGACGCGGACAUAGGCGUCAGGGUACUCCUUCUUGACCUCCUCCACCUCGUUGAGCACCUGUGUAGCGUCGGUGCACCCGAACAUAGGCAGCUUCCACAUUGUCCAGUAUCGACCAUCGUAGUACCCGGGGGAGCUGUUGUGCUCACGGAAAACGAAGCCAACCUUGCUGAACUCGAGGCAGGGCACCCACUUGGAGCGGAUCAAGUAGUCGACCUGCUUCAGGAGGGCCUCCGUGGAGAGGGGUGGCAAGUAAGACAGAGUCUCGAACUUCUUGAUGCCCUCAAUCGGCCACACCUGAAUGAAUAGAAUGCGCAGAUGCUCAAUACUUGGUGCUAAGUCAAUUGUACCAACAAUGCUAGAAAAAUCUGUUGAUAAGCCAAAAAUUGCUCCUGAUGGGCAGGUCUCAUAUGUAUUGUUCGUUUGUCCACAAUGAAGAAAGCUUAAGGGUAGCCCUUAAACUGAUGGGCACUCUGGAGGUACUAAGAUAAUUUUAUCUAGUCCAUGCUGCAAUAAAGAGUAUUUCCAUUCACUAAGUUAUGAGUUGAUGGCUUUUACAUACGGAUCCCAGCUUAUGGACAAGGCUGAAUGAGCAUCCAAAGCCAAAUGGUUUCCAUAGGCAACAAACCAAACAGAUAAUAAGGUUUCGGAAUAAUCUAUUGACCAAAUUAUGUUAUACAUUGGGGAUGUUCUGUAAGUGAAUUACUUGUACUGACAAAGAAACUCAUAUCAGUUUAAUUAGUGACCGACAUACCUGCAUGCACCUGAUCCUUCCGCCGUUGCUGACGCUGCUGAGGCCGGCGCUGCUGGAGCGGCGGCUGACGGGCAGGCCGGCGGUCGACUUGAGACCCUGGAAGGGUGCGACGGAGGUGGCCGAGGAAGCCAUCACAGUGGGGGCCAUGGUGUUGGAGGAGAGAAGGUGGCAGGCUAAGCUUGGCCCCCAUUGCUGGGUCACCACGGUAUAUAUAGCCAUAUAUGGCCAGCUCCUAUCUUUAAUCAAGAUGUGGAAGGGGUGGCUGGCGUUCGUUGGUUGCUUGGUUUCCUUAUCUCUCCGGAUUAGUGUAAGAGGCAUGGCCGUUGGAUGAGUUGUGUGUGCCCAAAAUUUCAGUCGUCCAUGUCAUUGUGUGAUUGCCACAAUCCUUUUUCCAGCCUUGCAUUACUGUAUUAUUCUUUUCGUUUCAUCUUGCUAAAGGUAACGCUUGAAAGGUGCACGAAGAACUCCCUUUGUUGAUUUGCGAUUUAAGUUCAGUGGCACAGGCAUAACGAAUGUUAUAGUACAUCCUUUAUCCACUUUUAUAAUACAAAACUUGUCAACCAGUUAUGCUUGCUUCUAAUCUUUGGUACUUCAUUUUAUAACAUUUUAUACAGGUAACUAACGUAUACUUGCUGCAUGUAUGAUGUGUGUCAUCAUGACCUUUAUGUACUUUAUUCACAAUUAUUCAUUGGAACACAAAAGUGUUGUACUAUUUUCUACACCUAAUCAUUUACAUGCCUUGGAGGAUUUUUAGUAUAGGAAAUGCUAUUUAACUGGCUGUCCAGGCAAGGUAUAACUUUGUUUUAAUCUAUGAGCUAAAGUUUUAGAUCCCUCUGUUAUCCAUUUGCUCAGUUCAUGCCGUCCCCAGUGAACUCAUAAAUUACAUAUGGUGAGUGAAUAUAGACCACAAAAAAUGGUAGAUGUAUGUUCAUUCAUUUCAUGAUGAUGAAGCAACCUGCAAAAUGAUGGAAUCGACCAUGACUACUCAGUGAUAUGGCAAUCAUGUAGGACGAUCAUCGUGAUCAUCCUCCCGAGUCGUCCCCGUGCGGCGGCUGGGAGUACCCCAGAUCCCGUCGCCCCCGACUCCCCCUCUCGUCCCCUCCUCCCUCACCGCCGCCCGAGGGCGCCGCCGGGCAAAGCCUUGCCGUCGCCGGCGGCGGCAGGGACUAGGUGCCCUCCCGCUCGUGAGGAGCUGGCGCGGACCAGCGCCCCCGGGCUGGAGCGUGGCGUGCAUCUGGAUGUCAUGACGGGGGCUGGCGGCGCUCCUGCGAUCCCAUACCUCAUGGCAGGCGGCUUCAAGAUCUGGGGCGACACGGUUGCCAGGGUCGGCGGCGGUGGCGUGGCCGGAUCUAGGACCAGGUGUGAGCUUGGUCUCCGGGUCACGAUCGGCGCGAUGGCAAGUGCGACAUGUCGGCAGCUGGACGGAUCUGCGGGAUUCCAUCCUUGUCUAGUCCUUGACAACUCGAGCAACUCCGAGGGAAACCCUAGAUCCAUGGGAUCAAGCGAUGGCAGUGCUUUUGCGUCGUAGUCCCUCUUCGGGACAUCAUUUUAGAGUUUGCUAUGGUUGAAGGGACCAGCGAGGCAUGCGGCGUACGCCCGGUGUCGCAACUACCGAUGAAAAUUACGCCAACUACGGUCAUGGCGGACGAUGGCGGCGUCUUUGAUGUCGUUUCCUUGUCGAGACAUCGUCAUUGCAGUUGGCAUCAUCAUGCUCGGGAUGCUCCGGGGGAAACCCUAGAUCUGGGUCUCCCGGAUCGGACGAUAAUAGCGUUCUUAGUAUCGCUUUCCCUCAUCGGGGCAUCGUUUUGGAGCAAGUGAUGGCUGGAGGUGAUAAGAGGAGGAGCGGUGCUUCAUCAUACACAUUGGUGGUGUCGGAUCUCGAUGGCAUGGCACCCUGGAAAUUAGGCGUUUGAUGUGCGAUGAUGGACUCGCGUAGGAGGUCGACGCUCUCUGGCGUCGUGGUGGCAUCGGCGGCAGCUAGACCGGGCAAGGUACAUGCAGUAGUACAACUCUGAAGAUGGAUUGGUGGCAGGUGGCUGCGGCGGCCUCAUACCCGGCAGGCGUCCUGGUUGAGGAGCACGCUGGACUGGUGGGUGCCCAUGCCCGGCAGGAGUCCUGGUUGGGACCUCAGGUCUUAGAUGUUAGGUUUGGCUGCGAUGUCUCUUUGGUAUUAGGCCCAGACUAUCAGCGCCCCUUCAUCAACUGGAUUGGAUUAGCGACAGAUGUUGCUUAGACGGUGGCUUUAGUCUUAUUGUUGUAUGGUUUUGUAAGGUCUUGUGCUAAUAAUUAAUAAAAUGAUUGUAUGCAUCGCCCAGAUGCAGAGGCCGGGGGUCCUUCUCCUUUUCUAAAAAUCUAGUCAUUUAAGGUAGAUGUCGUGAUCUUCUUGUGUGACUGUCUCAUAGAUUUGAGCUGCAAAUCGAAUCUUAUAUUCUUCCAUUUUUUUUGAAUUUCCUGCAUGUAGUUAAUUAUUUUUUAUGAAUCCUUAAUGAUAAUUAACAUGGCCCAGAUAUUCACAAAAUAUCCAUAACUAUCAUGAACGAAUCAAUAAAUUACUAUUGCAGAAUGAAGAAUGAACCUUCCAUAGACCCCUCCACUUGGGCCCGUCGGUAGAGAGAUUCAUCACUCAUGGGCCACAAAAUGCGAGCCAAGUAGGACGACCUUCACUAAUGGGCCCUUAAGUUGGGCAUCAAUGGAGGGGCACCCAUGGGGCCCAAAGAUCCAACUGAAUGGACAGUCCAUCUCUACUGACGGUCAUACCGGAAUUUCCUAACGGACGCACAUUGUGUCAAGUUGCCACUGUUUCGCACAGAUGCCAGCGACUGGCGACCGAGAUGGGCCGGCCCAAUUACGAGCCCACAGAUGCGCUACAGUGUCCGGUUUUGGGAAACUUCUAGGAGGUUCCUGAGCGGUUUUGGGAACCUUCUAGAAGGUUCCUGAACCAGUUUUCCCUGGUUUAUUCUGUUUCUUUUUAUUUUUCUUUCAAUAUUGUUUAUUCUUUUUCAUUCUUUAUUUUUAUUUUUUCGUUUUGCCGUUUCUAUAUUCCAUUUUUUAUUUCUUUAAUUCCUUUUCCUUCUCUUUUUUCCUUCAGAAUUAAAAAAUAAUAAAAAUGUUCAGAAGUUAAGAAAAUUUUAUUGUUUAAAAAUUUUGUUCAUAAAUUGAAAAAUGUUCUUCUUUUCAAAAAACCUUCGCAUUUUUAAAAAAUGUUUGGCAUUUAAAAAAUGUUCCGCUUUCAAAAUAUUGUUCACAAAUUACAAAUAAUGUUCACUCUUUCCAAAUUUUGUUCAGAGUUUGGACAUGUUUGCAGACGUAAAAAUGUCCACCUUUUCCAGAAAUGUUCAUAUCUUUUUUUUCAAAAUUUGUUCACAAAUUCAAAAAUUCCUGUUUUUAUAAUUUGUUCACACAUCCAAAAAUUGUUCACACCUUUUAAAAAUUCUCAAAAUUUGUUCACAAAUUCAAAAAGCUUUCCAUUUUUAUAAUUGUUCACAGAUUAAAAAAUUGUUCAAAUCUUUAAAACUUGUUCGUGAUUCUAAAAAAAUGUUCAUAUCUUAAAAGAAAUCACAAAUUCGAACAAAUUCCUGUUCUCAAAAUUAGUUCACAAAUUAAAAAUGUUAUUUUUUGAAAAUUAUUCACAAAUUCAAAAAAAGUUCGCAUUUUGUCCAAACUUGUUCGUGAUUUGUCAAAAAAUGUUCGGAAUUUAAAAAAAUGUACCCGUUCUUUCAAGAUUUGUUCACAAAUUAAAAAAUUAUUUCCCUGUUUAAAUUUGGUUCACAAUUCAAAAAAUCAUGUUUUUUAAACUUCAAUUUUUUGCACGUGUCUAACAAAAUAGGUCAGAGUUUUGAAAAUUGUUCCUUUUUAAAAAAUUGUCCAGAACUGCAAAAUUGUUCCUGUUUUUAAAAUUCGAAUAAUUGCGACCAUUUGUUGAAACUCGUGUGCAUUUUUGCCAAAAACAUUUGGACUUUUAAAAAUAUAUUCAGAAUUAACAAGAAAAGAUUUAAAAAGGAAAAAUAAUGUGACCUGCCGUUGUGACCAGUACUAGUCGUGGUGGCUAGCUAGCUUCGUAUAAAAAAGCACGAUCGCGAGCUCGAGUCCUAGCUCUCGCUUCGAGUUUUUCGUUGCCUUUUUAACACUGCACGCUGCCUGCGUGGGCCGGCCCAGUCGGGCGCCUAACCUGUGCGAUCGCUCGACAUUCUGCCGCAGAAUGCGGCAGAUAGGAAGUCCCGGUCAUACCACACCACCCGUCAAUGUUGGGCGCCCCGUUAGUGCUGAAUUAAGGUAUUUCUAUCUGCUAGAGACGAAGUGGCCUUAUAUGGGCUUUCUCUUUUCUCCUAAACAAAACCAAGCCACCUCCCCCAAUCCAUUCCUCCCCAACGUCAUCACCACCCAAUGUUUUUGUCUCCUUACAUGUGUGCCCCCUCCUUCUUCCACAUUGAUCUGGUCCAACGCUACCGUCUCAUCCCCGCGAUCAUCGUCACUACUCUUCGAUUACUCGUGAUGGCGCGGGUUGUGGCUUCCCACUUGCUCUCUCGUAAGAGUGGUUGGGUAAACCCCAAGUGUAAGGAUGAAGUAACCUAGUAAUAAGCAUUUUCCCCGAUAGGUUUAUCAAACCAGUAGGAAUUUCUUCUACAACCCAAAUCCUCGGUACCUGCACACCAAACACAAAAUAAUCUUGCCCCAAACGUUUCAAGAAGGUUGUCAAGCUUCUUGUCCUGCUAGUUACAAGGAUUAGUUGUUAGUUGAAAGCAAAUAUCAGUUGCUAAGUAGCCUUAGUGUGGUUUGUACCUUCAGAUCUGCCAUGACACUGUCAACACUAUACUCGCCAUGCUUAGGGUUCAUCCUUUUUAUAUACACCAAGAUCAACCUAGGUGCUUCGCGUCGUACUAGCACUAAUCCAACCAUCAAUAUAAAUGAAAUGCCACCAUAAUUUCAAAGCUUAGUUGUUCAAAUACGAAUAUGAUGUGGUACUAAUAUUAGUUUAAAAUAGACACAUGUAGUUGGUCAGCCAAUGUUCCUUGUUGAGUUUCAAAAUACAUGUACACCACUUAUAGAGAGGCAUGAGUGAAUACUAUUUAUUUCUGCGAUCUCGUCCAUCAUGGAUGGGCAACGAACAUUGCAUUGUAUAGAAAGAAGGGUUAUAUAUAACCACCUUUUACAUAGAUGACGCUUUGCCUACGUGCUUUGUGUUGAAGUAGCAACACUCCACCUUUCAAGCUAAACAACAUGACACUCAUAAUUUCAAAGCUUAUUUUGUCAAAUACGAAUUUGAUAUGAUACUGAUAUUAGUUAAAAUGACACACAUUAAUUGUCAGCUAAUGUUCCUACUUCAGUUUUGAAAUGCAUAUCUGCCCCUUAUAGAGAGACAAGAGAGGUUUCUAUCUCUCUAUCCGCUCUUGUCAUCAUGGUUGGGGGGUGAACUUUGUAUAUCGUAUAGUUUGAAGCUGUCAUCUACCAACAAUCAUCACUUCUGGAGAUCUCAACUAGGAGCCUUUUUUGAGUAGUAGGGCCAUAUUAUAUUAAUACACACACCAAAUUACAACUCACAUAGCAUCUCUCGGCAGACUUCCAGAGAUAGUACGCAGGGGUUUAUAAGGAGUCACUAUUGGGGUAGAAUCGGCAAUGCAUUUGUUACACCCCGAUUCAGAGAACCGGAGGUCCCCGUGUUCCAGCCCAGAUAUCCAUUCGUCUGGAACACGACUAUAGCUUGGUACAGAUAGACCAAAAUAAAUAAGUACUUAUGUACAUUAAGGAGACAUGUCUAAGUGUGAGAAGCUCGAGGGCUUUAUUCUACGAGUGGCUUAAGGAAGUACUAAAGACGAAAAUAAUACUAAUGACACAACAGAAGACGGGGUACCAGUGGGGCUCCAAUCUAAAGAGACACUGCUGGUACACGAACUCUUAGGGGAACUCUUCUAUCGGCUCUCUAGUAUCUAGCAUGAUAAGUCAGGUGAGUACUUAAUUUGAAUGUACUCGCAAGCUCACAAACAAUCCAAAGCAAGCAAGAACGGAGCAAAUAAACAUAGCAACGAAGUAAGGACUAGUAAAGCUACUACUAUCAAGACUACUCCAUAGACUUCUUGUCUGCUCGUUUAACAUCUACUGGACUUCUUCUUGAAAUGAGUCCUGCUCAAACGACUCAACAAUAUAAGUUACCUGUUACCACAGUUACUAGAGUUGAAAGUAAAGGAAUAUGGGUACUUGGUCAAAUAGUGUGACCUAACACAAAUGGUGUCCCAUUGUCGGGGACUCGGCUAUUUGAAUAGUUUCAACACACACUCUGUAGAGGUCACACACUUUAAUUUACCCACACCAUAGAUUCUUUGUCUAAUGAAUCUCAUUCAUAGCAUGGCACUCUAACUAUUCCUCCGACCUCCCGCAGGCUAGCCCUGGGAGAGAGGAUCUGGGUCCUUGCCACUCUGUGUGGCACCACUUGUAUUCGCUUAGGAAUAUUUUCUAUUGAGCUCAUCCACAGACCCAGGCUCUCUUGACUGAAUGGCAACUUCCAAGCCAGAGGAAGUCUACACAUUCCAGCUUCCCUCUUCAGAGACACACAAAAGAUACAUACCUAGAAACGGAAUAAGGCCCUCCCAUUCGGCUAGAUGUGGCUAUACUGAGGUUGUUCCGCUUUGUGGCAUUUGGAUUGGCUAGCUAUUUAAAGUUGGGUUAAGAAGGAAAGUAAAACCGUAACUUUGUACUAGCUAUUCAAAUCCACAACUUGUUAUCCUACUAGGGUGAAGUAUUCACGAGGAUUCAUCAUCCUAAGUAGAGGCUUUCCCCGAGAUCCUUUGUGAACAUUGAUACCUAUUUUGCUUAUGAUUCAUGUUGGCAAAAUAAUUACCGGUUACGAGUCAUAGUUAAACUUCUAUUCCACUAGGACCAAAUAAAGGUAUCCUUGCUAGUGACUCACUAUGCUAUUUCAACCACAACAAACUUGACAUAAGCAAAGGGAAGCAAUAAAGAACACUGAAAGAAAAGUAAUGCGGGAAAAGAAAUGCAAGUUGAAUCCAUGGCCUUGCAAUGCAAGUUGAACCUAUAGUGUUAUAGCCAUGGCUCACGCUCAUGUAUUGCAUGGGGCUGAAAAUCUUGAAGCGCGUUAGAAGUGUUAAGCUUCAUGCACUAGCCAACGCAGCCAAAAGUCUGAACUGAUGGAAAGGGCUAGUACAAUCCACAUAUACUAUAACACCCUCUCUCACGUGGGACGGGGAAGACAAGUCAACACAUGCAACCGGAAGAGAGCGACGGCACGCGAAACUCAGGUAUGACUCAAGAGGCCUAUACGUGGACACAAAGGAGGGCUGUCAGCAAUUUUUAAAUAAGUUGCACAAACCAGGACUUGAACUCAAGACCUUAACUCCAAUACCAUGUUAAGCUUCAUUGACUCACUGAAAAACCAGCGGCAGUCACCACAGAGGCAAAACGCUCAAACAAGGCGCGGGGGGCUUGCUUAAGGCCAUAGAGAGAGCGACGAAGACGAGAUACCAUGCCAUCAGGAACAGAAUACCCAGGUGGUGGCUGCAUGUAUACCUCCAUUUGCCUGGUUUGACACCGGGGUGCUCAUGAUUUAUAUAUAUGCAAUGAAGGCGGAGUCAUGCCAUGCUAACAUGAUAAAAUGAGUGGGGAUAACAUUCGUUAAUGAUCGUAUAUUUUGAAAAAGUAAUGAUUAUGUUUCUUAUAUUCAUGGAAAUUAUUAUGUUGAUAUUGUUACUUCAUUGUUUCUCAAUAACUAUAUCAUAAAGAUAUUACAUGAUACAUAUGUUUGUUGGGGAACGUAGUAAUUUCAAAAAAAUUCCUACGCACACGCAAGAUCAUAGUGAUGCAUAGCAACAAAAGGGGAGAGUGUUGUCUAUGUACCCUCGUAGACCGAAAGCGGAAACGUUAGAACAACGCGGUUGAUGUAGUCGUACGUCUUCACGGCCCGACCAAUCAAGCACCGAAACUACGACACCUCCGAGUUCUAGCACACGUUCAGCUCGAUGACGUCCUUCGAACUCCGAUCCAGCCGAGUGUCGAGGGAGAGUUCCGUCAGCACUACGGCAUGGUGACGAUCUUGAUUUUCUACCGUUGCAAGGCUUCUCCUAAGCACCGCUACAAUAUUAUCAAGGAGGACUAUGGUGGAGGGGGGCACCGCACACGGCUAAGAGAUCAAGAGAUCAAUUGUUGUGUCUAGAGGUGCCCCCCUGCACCCGUAUAUAAAGGAUCAAGGGGAAGGGGGCGGCCGGCCAGGAGGAGGUGCGCCAAGGGGGGAGUCCUACUCCCACCGGGAGUAGGACUCCUCCUUCCCUUGUUGGAGUAGGAGAGAAGGAAAGAGGGGGAGAGGAGGAAGGAAAAGAGGGCUGCACCCCUUGUCCAAUUCGGACCAGAGUGGGGCUGUGCGCCUCCUUCCUUUCGGCCUCUCUCCUCUAUUCCCGUAUGGCCCAAUAAGGCCCAUAUACUCCCCGGCGAAUUCCCGUAACUCUCCGGUACUGUGAAAAAUACCCGAAUCACUCGGAACCUUUCCGAAGUCCGAAUAUGGUCGUACAAUAUAUCGAUCUUUACGUCUCAACCAUUUCGAGACUCCUCGUCAUGUCCCCGAUCUCAUCCGGGACUCCGAACUCCUUUGGUACAUCAAAACUCAUAAACUCAUUAUAUAACUGUCAUCGAAACUUUAAGCGUGCGGACCCUAUGGGUUCGAGAACUAUGUAGACAUGACCGAGACACGUUUCCGGUCAAUAAACAAUAGCGGAACCUAGAUGCUCAUAUUGGCUCCUACAUAUUCUACGAAGAUCUUUUAUUGGUCAAACCACAUAACAACAUACGUUGUUCCCUUUAUCAUCGGUAUGUUACUUUCCCGAGAUUUGAUCGUCGGUAUCCAAUACCUAGUUCAAUCUCGUUACCGGCAAGUCUCUUUACUCGUUCCGUAAUGCAUCAUUCCGUAACUAACUCAUUAGCUACAUUGCUUGCAAGGCUUAUAGUAAUGUGCAUUACUAAGAGGGCCCAGAGAUACCUCUUCGACAAUCGGAGUGACAAAACCUAAUCUCGAAAUACGCCAACUCAACAUGUACCUUUGGAGAUAGCUGUAGAGCUCCUUUAUAAUCACCCAGUUACGUUGUGACGUUUGGUAGCACACAAAGUGUUCCUCCGAUAAACGGGAGUUGCAUAAUCUCAUAGUUAUAGGAACAUGUAUAAGUCAUGAAGAAAGCAGUAGCAACAUACUAAAUGAUCAAGUGCUAAGCUAACGGAAUGGGUCAUGUUAAUCACAUCAUUAUCCUAAUUAUGUGAUCCCGUUAAUCAAAUGACAACUCAUGUCUAUGGUUAGGAAACAUAACCAUCUUUGAUUAAUGAGCUAGUCAAGUAGAGGCAUACUAGUGACAUUAAGUUUUGUCUAUGUACUCACACAUGUAUCAUGUUUCCGGCUAAUACAAUUCUAGCAUGAAUAAUAAAAAUUCAUCAUGAUAUAAGGAAAUAAAUAAUAACUUUAUUAUUGCCUCUAGGGCAUAUUUCCUUCAGUCUCCCACUUGCACUAGAAUCAAUAAUCUAGUUCACAUCGCCAUGUGAUUUAACACCAAUAUUCACAUCUGUAUGUGAUUAAUACCCAAUAGUUCACAUUGUCAUGUGAUCAACACCCAAAGGGUUUACUAGAGUCAAUAAUCUAGUUCACAAAUCUAUGUGAUUAACACCCAAAGAGUACUAAGGUAUGAUCAUGUUUUGCUUGUGAGAGAAGUUUAGUCAAUGGGUCUGUCACAUUCAGAGCCGUAUGCAUUUUGCAAAAAUUCUAUGUCUACAAUGCUCUGCACGGAGCUACUUUAGAUAAUUGCUCCCACUUUUAAUAUGUAUCCAGAUUAAGACUUAGAGUCAUCUGGAUCAAUGCCAAAACUUGUAUUGACGUAACCCUUUACGACGAACCUUUUUUCACCUCCACAAUCGAGAAACAUAUCCUUAUUCCACUAAGGAUAAAUUUGACCAAUGUCCAGUGAUCUACUCCUAGAUCACUAUUGUACUCCCUUGCCAAACCAGGACAGAGUAUACAAUAGGUCUGGUCCAUAGCAUGACAUACUUUUAUAGAACCUAUGACUGAUGCAUAGGGAAUGACUUUCAUUCACUUUCUAUUUUCUGCCGUGGUCCGGAUUUGAGUCUUACUCAAUUUCUUACCUUUGCAACAUAGGCUAGAACUCUUUCUUUGACUGUUCCACUUUGAACUAUUUCAAAAUCUUGUCAAGGUAUGUACUCAUUGAAAAUAUUAUCAAGCGUCUUGAUCUAUCUCAAUAGAUCUUGAUGCUCAAUAUGUAAGUAGCUUUACUGAGGUCUUUCUUUUAAAGAACUCCUUUCAAACACUUCUUUAUGCUUUCCAGAAUUUUUUUAUAUCAUUUCUGAUCAACAAUAUGUCACUCACAUAUACUUAUCAGAAAGGCUGUAGUGCUCCCACUCAUUUUAUUGUAAAUGCAUGCUUCACUGCAAGUCCAUAUAAAACUAUAUGCUUUGAUCAAAGCGUAUAUUCCAACUCCGAGAUGCUUGCACCAGUCCAUAGUUGGAUCGCUAGAGCUUGCACAAUUUGUUAGCACCUUUAGGAUUGACAAAACCUUCUGAUUGCAUCAUAUACAACUCUUCUUUAAUAAAUCCAUUAAAGAAUGCAGUUUUGACAUCCAUUUGCCAGAUUUCAUAAAAUGUGGCAAUUGCUAAUAUGAUUCGGACAGACUUAAGCAUCGAUACGAGUGAGAAAAUCUCAUCGUAUUCAACACCUUAAACUUGUCAAAAAACUUUUGCGACAAGUCGAGCUUUGUAGAUAGUAACACUACUAUCAGCGUCUGUCUUCCUCUUGAAGAUCCAUUUAUCUUCCAUGGCUUGCCGAUCAUCGGGCAAGUCCACCAAAGUCCACACUUUGUUCUCAUACAUGGAUCUCAUCUCAGAUUUUAUGGUCUCAACCCAUUUUGCGGAAUCUGGGAUCAUCAUCGCUUCCUCAUAGUUUGUAGGUUCAUCAUGGUAUAGUAACAUGACCUCCAUAAUAGGAUUACCGUACCACUCCGGUGCGGAUCUUACUCUGGAAGACCUACGAGGUUCUGUAGUAACUUAAUCUGAAGUUUCAUGAUCAUCAUCAUUAGCUUCCUCACUAACUGGUGUAGGAAUCACUGGAACUGAUUUCUGUGAUGAACUACUUUCCAAUUCGGGAGAAGGUACAAUUACCUUAUCAAGCUCUACUUUCCUCCCACUCACUUCUUUCGAGAGAAACCCCUUCUCUAGAAAGGAUCCAUCUUAGCAACGAAUAUUUUGCCUUCGGAUCUGUGAUAGAAGGUGUACCCAACAAUUUCCUUUGGGUAUUCUAUGAAGACGCACUUCUCUGAUUUGGGUUCGAGCUUAUCAGGUUGAAAUUUUUUCUCAUAAGCAUCGCAGCCCCAAACUUUAAGAAACGACAGCUUAGGUUUAUUGCUAAACCAUAGUUCAUACGGUGUCGUCUCAACGGAUUUAGAUGGUGCCCUAUUUUAACGUGAAUGCAGCUGUCUCUAAUGCAUAGCCCCAAAACAAUAUUGGUAAAUCGGUAAGAGACAUCAUAGAUCGCACCAUAUCCAAUAAAGUGCGGUUACGACGUUCGAACGCACCACUACGAUGUGGUGUUCCAGGUGGCAUGAAUUGUGAGACUAUUCCACAUUGUUUUUAUACGAAAGCCAAACUCGUAACUCAAAUAUUCUCCUCCACGAUCAGAUCGUAGAAACUUUAUUUUCUUGUUACGAUGAUUCUCCACAUCACUCUGAAAUUCUUUGAACUUUUCAAAUGUUUCAGACUUGUGUUUUAUUAAGUAGAUAUACUCAUAUCUUGCUCAAAUCAUCUUGUGAAGGUCUGAAAAUAACGAUACCCGCCACGAGCAUCAAUACUCAUUGGACCGCAUACAUCAGCAUGUAUUAUUUCCAAUAAGUCACUAGCUCGUUCCAUUGUUCCGGAGAACGGAGUUUUAGUCAUCUUGCCCAAAAGGCACGGUUCGCAAGCAUCAAAUGAUUCAUAACCAAGUGAUUCCAAAAAUCCAUCUUUAUGGAGUUUCUUCAUGCGCUUUACACCGAUAUGACCCAAACGGUAGUGCCACCAAUAAGUUGCACUAUCACUAUAAACUUUGCAUCUUUUUGGCAUCAAUAUUAUGAAUAUGUGUAUCACUACGAUCGAGAUCCAAUAAACUAUUUUCAUUGGGUGUAUGACCAUCGAAGGUUUUAUUCAUGUAAAUAGAACAACAAUUAUUCUCUGACUUUAAAUGAAUAACCAUAUUGCAAUAAACAUGAUCAAAUCAUAUUUAUGCUCAACGCAAAAGCCAAAUAACAUUUAUUUAGGUUUAACACUAAUCCCAAAAGUAUAGGGAGUGUGCGAUGAUGAUCAUAUCAAUCUUGGAACUACUUCCAACACUGAUCGUCACUUCACCCUCAACUAGUCUCUGUUUAUUCUGUAACUCUUGUUUCGAGUUACUAAUUUUUUAGCAACCGAACAAGUAUCAAAUACUCAGGGGCUACUAUAAACACUAGUAAGGUACACAUCAAUAACCCGUAUAUCAAAUAUACCCUUGUUCACUUUGCCAUCCUUCUUAUCCACCAAAUAUUCAGGGCAUUUGCGAUUCCAGUGACCAUUUCCUUUGCAGUGUAAGAACUCAGUUUCAGGCUUUGGUCCAGCCUUGGGCUUCUUCACGGGAGUGACAACUUGCUUGUCAUUCUACUUGAAGUUCCCUUUCUUUCCCUUUGCCCUUUCUUUGAAACUAGUGGUCUUGUUAAUCAUCAACACUUGAUGCUCUUUCUUGAUUUCUACCUUCGUCGAUUUCAGCAUCACGAAGAACUCGGGAAUCGUUUUCAUCAUCCCUUGCAUUAUAGUUCAUCACGAAGUUCCAGUAACUUGGUGAUGGUGACUAGAGAACUCUGCCAAUCACUAUCUUAUCUGGAAGAUUAACUCCCACUUGAUUCAAGCGAUUGUAGUACUCAGACAAUCUCAGUACUUGCUCACUAUUUGAGUAAUUCUCCUCCAUCUUUUAGGCGAAGUAUUUGUCAAAGGUCUCAUACCUCUUGACACGGGCAUGAGUCUGAAAUACCAAUUUCAUCUCUUGAAACAUAUUAUAUGUUCCAUGAUGUUUCAAAAACGUUUUUGUAGUCCCGGUUCUAAGACAUAAAGCAUGGUGCACAAAACUAUCAAGUAGUCAUCAUAUUGAGCUAGGCAAACGUUCAUAACGUCUGAAUCUGCUCCUGCAAUAGGUCUGUCACCUAGCGGUGCAUAAAGGACAUAAUUCUUCUGUGCAGCAAUGAGGAUAAACCUCAGAUCACGGACCAAGUCCGCAUCAUUGCUACUAACAUCUUUCAACUUAGUUUUCUCCAGGAACACAUAUAAAACAUAGGGAAGCAACAACGCGAGCUAUUGAUCUACAACAUAAUUUGCAAAAUACUACCAGGACUAAGUUCAUGAUAAAUUAAAGUUCAAUUAAUCAUAUUACUUAAGAACUCCCACUUAGACAGACAUCUCUCUAGUCAUCUACGUGAUCACGUAAUCCAAAUCAACUAAACCAUGUCCGAUCAUCACGUGAGAUGGAGUAGUUUUCAAUGGUGAACAUCACUAUGUUGAUCAUAUCUACUAUAUGAUUCACGUUCGACCUUUCGGUCUCCAUGUUCCGAGGCCAUAUCUGUAUAUGCUAGGCUCGUCAAGUUUAACCUGAGUAUUCCACAUGUGCAACUGUUUUGCACCCGUUGUAUUUGAACGUAGAGCCUAUCACACCCGAUCAUCACGUGGUGUCUCAGCACGAAGAACUUUCACAAUGGUGCAUACUCAGGGAGAACACUUCUUGAUAAUUAGUGAGAGAUCAUCUUAAAAUGCUACCGUCAAUCAAAGCAAGAUAAGAUGCAUAAAGGAUACACAUCACAUGAAUCAACAUAAGUGAUAUGAUAUGGCCAUCAUCAUCUUGUGUUUGUGGUCUCCAUCUCCGAAGCACCGUCGUGGUCACCAUUGUCACCGGAGCGACACCUUGAUCUCCAUCGUAGCAUCGUUGUUGUUUCGCCAUCUAUUGCUUCUACGACUAUCGCUACCGCUUAGUGAUAAAGUAAAGCAAUUACAGGGUGCUUGCAUUUCAUACAAUAAAGCGACAACCAUAUGGCUCCUGCCAGUUGCCGAUAACUCAGUUACAAAACAUGAUCAUUUCAUACAAUAAAAUAUAACAUCACGUCUUGACCAUAUCACAUCACAACAUGCCCUGCAAAAACAAGUUAGACGUCCUCUACUUUGUAGUUGCAAAUUUUACGUGGCUGCUACAGGCUAAGCAAGAACCGUUCUUACCUACGCAUAAAAACCACAACGAUAGUUCGUCAAGUUAGUGCUGUUUUAACCUUCACAAGGACCGGGCGUAGCCACACUCGGUUCAACUAAAGUUGGAGAAACUGACACCCGCCAGCCACCUGUAUGCAAAGCACGUCGGUAAAACCAGUCUCGCGUAAGUGUACGUGUAAUUUCGGUCCAGGCCGCUUCAUCCAACAAUAUCGCCGAACCAAAGUAUGACUUGCUGGUAAGCAGUAUGACUUGUAUCGCCCACAACUCACUUGUGUUCUACUCGCGCAUAUAACAUUUACGCAUAAAACCUGGCUCGGAUGCCACUAUUGGGGAACGUAGUAAUUUCAAAAAAUUUCCUACGCAUACGCAAGAUCAUGGUGAUGCGUAUCAACAAGAGGGGAGAGUGUUGUCUACGUACCCUCAUAGACCGAAAGCGGAAGCGUUAGAACAAUUUGGUUGAUGUAGUCGUACGUCUUCACGGCCCGAUCAAUCAAGCACCAAAACUACGGCACCUCCGAGUUCUAGCAUACGUUCAGCUCGAUGACAUCCUUCAAACUUCGAUCCAGCCAAGUGUCGAGGGAGAAUUCCGUUAGCACGACGGCGUGGUGACGAUCUUGAUGUUCUACCGUCGCAGGGCUUCUCCUAAGCACCGCUACAAUAUUAUCGAGGAGGACUAUGAUGGAGGGGGGGGGCACCGCACACGACUAAGAGAUCAAGAGAUCAAUUGUUGUGUCUAGAGGUGCCCCCUGCCCCCGUAUAUAAAGGAUCAAGGGGGAGGAGGCGGCCGGCCAGGAGGAGGCGCGCCAAGGGGGGAGUCCUACUCCCACCGGGAGUAGGACUCCUCCUUCCCUUGUUGGCGUAGGAGAGAAGGGAAGAGGGGGAGAGGAGGAAGGAAAAGGGGGCUGCACCCCUUGUCCAAUUCGGACCAGAGGGGGGCUGCGCGCCUCCUUCCUUUCGGCCUCUCUCCUCUAUUCCCGUAUGGCCCAGUAAGGCCCAUAUACUCCCACACGAAUUCACGUAACUCUCCGGUACUCCGAAAAAUACCCGAAUCACUCGGAACCUUUCUGAAGUCCGAAUAUAGUCAUCCAAUAUAUCGAUCUUUACGUGUCGACCAUUUCGAGACUCCUCGUCAUGUCCCCGAUCUCAUCUGGGACUCCGAACUCCUUCGGUACAUCAAAACUCAUAAACUCAUAAUAUAACUGUCAUUGAAACCUUAAGCGUGUGGACCCUACGGGUUCGAGAACUAUGUAGACAUGACCGAGACACGUUUCCGGUCAAUAACCAAUAGCGAAACCUGGAUGCUCAUAUUGGCUCCUACAUAUUCUACGAAGAUCUUUUAUCGGUCAAACCGCAUAACAAUAUACGUUGUUCCCUUUGUCAUCGGUAUGUUACUUGCCCGAGAUUUGAUCGUCGGUAUCCAAUACCUAUUUCAAUCUCGUUACUGGCAAGUCUCUUUACUCGUUCCGUAAUGCAUCAUUUCGUAACUAACUCAUUAGUUACAUUGCUUGCAAGGCUUAUAGUGAUGUGCAUUACCGAGAUGGCCCAGAGAUACCACUCCGACAAUCGAAGUGACAAAACCUAAUCUCGAAAUAUGCCAACUCAACAUGUAUCUUUGGAGACACCUGUAGAUCUCCUUUAUAAUCACCCAGUUAUGUUGUGAUGUUUGGUAGCACACAAAGUGUUCCUCUGGUAAACGGGAGUUGCAUAAUCUCAUAGUUGUAGGCACAUGUAUAAGUCAUGAAGAAAGUAUACGCCAACUCAACAUGUACCUUUGGAGACACCUGUAGAGCUCCUUUAUAAUCACCCAGUUACGUUGUGACGUUUGGUAGCACACAAAGUGUUCCUCCGGUAAACGGGAGUUGCAUAAUCUCAUAGUUGUAGGAACAUGUAUAAGUCAUGAAGAAAGCAGUAGCAACAUACUAAACGAUCAAGUGCUAAGCUAACGGAAUGGGUCAUGUCAAUCACAUCAUUCUCCUAAUGAUGUGAUCCCGUUAAUCAAAUGACAACUCAUGUCUAUCGUUAGGAAACAUAACCAUCUUUGAUUAAUGAGCUAGUCAAGUAGAGGCAUACUAGUGACAUUAAAUUUUGUCUAUGUAUUCACACAUGUAUCAUGUUUCCGGCUAAUACAAUUCUAGCAUGAAUAAUAAACAUUCAUCAUGAUAUAAGGAAAUAAAUAAUACCUUUAUUAUUGCCUCUAGGGCAUAUUUCCUUCAAUGUUAGCUAGCAUUACACAUCAAAAUUUUUGUUUUUAUCAUUUACCUAUUCGAGGAUGAGCAGGAAUUAAGCUUGAGGAUGUUGACAUGUCCAACAUAUCUAUAAUUUUUUAUUGUUUCAUGCUAUCAUAUGAUCAAUCUUGGAUGCUUUAUAUGUAUUUUAUACUAUUUUAUAUCUUUUUGGACUAACCUAUUAUUUUGAAAAAAAAUUGAAUUGUUUGGAUUGCUUACCACAUGUGUCACGUGGUUUGGGACUAACUUUUUAACCCAAUGCCUAGUGCUAGUUAAUGUUUUUUUUGCUUGUUUUUGGCUCUUCAGAAAAACAAUACCAAAUGAACUUCAAACAUGAUGAAACUUUACGGUAAUUUUUUCUGGACUAGAAGAGGCCCUAGAAGGUUCGGGAGGAGGCUAGAAGAUCUACGGAAGAGCCACGAGCUCACAGGGCACGCCCCCGAGCUCAUGGGCCCCACGCAGCUCCGUUUGACCUAAUUUCAACUCCAUAACUUCACAUAUAUUUCCAAACCAAUAGAGAGCCACCCGAAACACUUUUUUUCCACCGCAAGCUUCUGUUCUUCCGUGAUCCCAUCUGGAGGCCUUUUCCGGUACUCUGCCGGAGGAGGAAUCGAUCAUGGAGGGCUUCUAUAUCAUCCUUGCUGCCUUUCGAUGAUGCAUGCAUAGUUCAUGACAGACCUACGGGUCCAUAUCUAGUAGGUAGAUGGCUUCAUCUCUCUCUUUGAUCUUCAAUACAAUGUUCUCCUCGAUUUUCUUAGAGCUUUUUUAUCCUAUGUAAUCUUUUUUUGCGGUGCGUUUAUUGGGAUGCAGUGAAUUAUGGGUUUAUGAUCAAAUUAUUAACUGAAAGUAAUUGUGUCUUUUCUGAGCUUUAUUAUGCAUGAUUGUUAUAGCUUCGUAUUAUCCUCCGAUCAAUUCGUUUGGUUUCGCCAACUAGAUUGAUUUAUCUUCAGUGGGAGAGGUGCUUUGUAAUGGGUUCAAUCUUGCGGUGUCCUCAUAUAGUGACAGAAGGGGAAGCAAGGCACAUAUAGUAUCGUUGCCAUUAAGGAUAAAACGACGUGGUUUAAUCAUAUUUCUUGAGUUUACUUUGUCUAGAUCAUGUCAUCUUGCUUAAGGUGUUACUCUGUUUGCCAUGAACUUAAUACGAUAGAUGCAUGCUAAAUAGCGGUCGAUUGGUGGAGUAAUACUAGUAGAUGUAGGCAGGAGUCGAUCUACUUGUCACAGACAUGACUAUAUACAUGAUCAUUGCCAUGAAUAUGUCAUAACUAUGUGUUUUUCUAUCGGUUGUCUAACAGUAAUUUGUUUACCCACAAUAUGCUACGUGUUCGAGAGAGAAGCCUCUAAUGAAAACUAUGGCGCUAGGUCUACUUUUAUCAUAUUAUUAAAACUAAAAAUACCUUCAUGCAAUUUUAUACUUUUUUUACUUUUCUUUUUAUCUAUCUAUCACUAUCAGAAUUAAUCCUUGCAAAUAAUGAGUUCAAGGGGAAUGACAAGACUCUUGCCGCGUUGGGUGCAAGUAUUUGCUUUUGUGUGUGUAGGUGCUGAAAAAGGGAAUUUGCGUGGUUCUCCUAUUGGUUUGAUAACCUUGGUUCUCACUGACGGGAAUACUUAUCUCUAUUGUAUUGCUCCACCCAUCCUCUUGGGGGAAAUCCCAACGCAGUUUAGAAGUAGCACUACUCCUCCUUCCUCCUCCAUAGACGCUUGGCGAAGCCCUGCCACAGCUCCACCAUAAAAUCCACCACCACGCCAUCGUGUUGGCCUAGAUCUCAUCUACCUAUCCCUGUCGCUUGCUGGAUGAAGGAGACAUCACCGAGCCAUACGUGUGCAUAUCCCUGAGGUGUCAUUCGUGCGGUGCUGGAUCGGAUUGGAUCACGAAGAGUGUACGACUACGCCAAGCACAUUCAUUAGAACGUUUCUGUUUUAGGUCUAGAAGGGUUUGUAGACUUUUCCCCCUCGUUGCUAGCAUCUAGUUGAUUAGAUCUCGGAUGUUUUCAUUGUCUCGUAGGAAAAAAAUUGUUUUUCAUGCAUUGAUUCUCAUCACCGACCUGCUUCAAAAGAAGCAGGUAGGAGCCCAGGCGGCCCGAGCUCAGCAGGUUGCCGGGUGGGAGGUCCCUAACAGGUGCAUCCAAGAAUGCAACAACCUCCAAGUAGAGAAGGCGUCCCUAACCGAGAGGACGAGACAACAAGAGCUGGAGCUGGAAGAAGUUAAGUCUCGCCUGGUCGAUGCCGGGAGCGUCGCGGCGGGCCCUUGAGAUCAUAGCCAGUGAGUCUGUCCAUGCUUCAACUCAUAAACUAGGUGGAAAUUUUAUUUGCCGAUCUGACAUACAAAUUCAUUAUUUCCAGCAUCUUUUCCCGACCUGCCAGCCAAUGCUGUUGGAGCGUCCCUUAGGGAGAAACUGCAGCAGUUUGGAGAGUUAAACAAGAUUGCGAGGCCGGUAAUGGAGGGUAUUUUCUUGGCCCUAUGGCCUGGAAGAAAGGUUGUCGGAAAACCAGUUUGACCUCUGCCGCCGCCUCCAGGAGGGGCAUGCUCGGAUUGCCCUGUGAAAGGCGUUAGUGGCCUGAGAAGAUGCUCGUCAAGCGUGGGCCAUGCUCCAGACCCACUAUCCGGGCUUGAACAUCUGCCCUAUUGCCGUAGUUGGUCCAAAAGGACCUGACGGUAAGGAGAUUAUGCCCUAUGCUAGGAUGUCCGAGCAGGAUUGUCGUUUGAAAAGAUUAUUGAAUAGGCUAGGAGUGUUACCCUGGAUUGUCAAGGACGAAACGUUGAAUAAAAACUUCUCGAAUUUCGCUACCACCAUGUUUAUUUUUUUCUAUACCAACAACAUGAUAGGUUUGCUCCGACCUGUUAGCAUACGCUUGCAUUAACCGGCCUUUGGCUUCAACCUCAACAACCAAAUGUGGAGGCCUUAUAAUUGAUGUUAACGCAAUGAGUAGGGAUCACCAUGCAACUAGGAUGCAAACAUAUCUAUGAAUAUAUGAAAUAUCUCGCAAGGAUUAAGUGGGGGUGUGUCCAACUUGUUUGCUCAUGAAGACCUCAAGCAUUUGAUAAAGCUCAUCAUCGGGAUAUACAAGGAAAAUUAUACAAUAUAAAUUCCCCAAGCUAGUAUAAAACAUGAAGCUCAUGAAACUUUAAUUAGAUGUAAAUUGUCCAGACCAACAAAAGUUCUUUAGUAAGGGUCUCUGACGAGAAUUUAUUUCAUCGAAAGUGUCCUACUCAGCUUGAGCUCAUAUGAAUUUUUUUAUUGCCGUGAAAAAGAUGAAUGCCAUUCUAUGAUGAAACCUUGCAAGGAUUUAUAACAUUUGUCAAAUUAAGCCACACACAAAAAAUCAGAAAUUUUUGAAUUCUCUCUAAAUAUUUUCAGAUUUUAUUGCUCACCCGAGCUCAUAUGAGCUCGAGCUCAGUUAAUCCGUGUCCAUGUUUCAUCCUACUCUACUAGCAAAAACCAAUGGAGCAGACGGUAGUGACGUGGAAAAGAAACCAUAACAAAUUUUUAGUGAUAUAUAAUUAAAGAAACAGAAAUUUACAAUUGCAAAUUAGGGAAUCUUAAUGUCAAAUACUGAAUUCUUCCACCCACUAGCUGUGAGACAUAUCCAUUGCAGUGCCAAAUAAAGAAGCUUUUCCAUGAAUUAAUAACAACAAGACAAUGGUCCGCGUGUUGUAUAUAAUAAAUAGAGUCCUGCUUCGGUACAACCCCCCUCGCAAUAUGUAUAAAGGGUAAUAUGGACUUUUCACAAUCUGUAUCUACUUCUGUACGUAACAUAUACGCCAGGCAGCUUACUUGGGCCGGCCCAUUUGCGGUGGCAUGCGAUGAAAAAUAGCGAAAAAGGAUCACACAAACUGGGAAUCGAAACCGACGACCACUUCAAAAUUUAACUGCGUCCACAACCACUGCGAUAGCAUGCCUUUGUUGAAUGAUCUAAAGUUGGAAACAAUAAAUAAUUGACAGGCUGGGAAUUUUAAAAAGAUUUCAGUAACACUUUCUGAACUGGCGUUUUUUCCAUAAUUUCUUUCUAUUUAUUUUCCUUUUCCUGCUAUUCUUCUUUCUUUUUCAAAAAUGUUCGCGCUUUCAAAAUGUUGUUCCAAAUUUCAAACGGUUCAUUAUUUCCAAGUUUUGUUCAUAAACUAAAAAUAUUUGCAUUUUUGAAAAUUGUAUUGUAAUUUGAAAAAAUGUUUGUGACUUUGAAAAAAUGUUCAGAAUGUAAAAUGUGAAUAAUGUUUUGAAAACCACAAAUAAAAUUGUGAAAAUGAACAUUUUCUGAGAGCACGGACAAAAAAUUAAAUUCCAAAGCAUUUUUCAGAAAUGAGACUAAAUAAAUGAUCUCAUAAAAUUAUUCUAAAUUUACACGAUUAUUUUUUAAAAUUUGUCAGAAUAUUUUUGAAAAUGAGAACAUUUUCUAAAUUCCGAACAAAUUCCAGUAGUCGCCCGACAAGAGCGAUGCCGUUGCUUAGUUGGGCAAGGCCUAAAGUUUUUUCUUUUCUAUUUUUUCGUUUUAUUCUCUUUUUUGUUAAUUUAUCUUUUCACCUUUUUGAACUUUAUGGUUCUUUUUUUUAACCUGCUCAAAAAAUUGAAAUACCAAAAUAAUAGUUUUAAGGAACUAUUUUAAAUUAUGAUUUUAAUUCUUUUUUUGUUUCAAUAUUUCUUAAAUGCUUUUUAAAAAGCAUCUGUUGUUUUCAAUUCUAUUAUUUAGUAUUUAUUGAUUAUUUUAGAAAUUUAAAAUGACAGUUUGAAGUAUCUAUAUAAAUUAUGAUUUUAAAUGACCCCAACAUUUGCCAGCUGGUGGCAUGGCCAUGGUAGGCAUCCAUGCCCCAAUAUUCUUUCAUGGCCUCGUAUGACCAAUUCAAUGCACCAUGACAAGUUGUUUUGGUUUUCGACAAAUUUUGUAUUUUUCUAGAGUUUUCUCGAUAAGAAAAUGCAAAAAAAGGCCGGACGUGUUGCAACUUUCAUACUGUGUCAGAAAUUGUUCAAACCUGGCAUGGAUGCCUAUGAGGGGCAUGCCCAUCUGGUGGCAAAAGUUGGGGCCAUUUUAAGGAUGUACUCCCUCCGUCCGAAAAUACUUGUCAUCAAAAUGGAUAAUAAGGGAUGUACGUAGAACUAAAAUACAUGUAGAUACAUCUCCUUUUAUCCAUUUUGAUGACAAGUAUUUUCGGACGGAGGAAGUAUAAAUAGACCAUGUUGAACAAACUGUGUUCUCGGGCAGAAGGAUUCGUCUGAGAGCAUGUUAGUUCUCGACAUCCUUGAAAUUAAUCCAAUUUUUUUCAAGGGCCUCGUAUGACCAAUUCAAGGCAUCAUGGAAAGUUGUUUGGGUUUUCAACAAGUUUUGCAUUUCCUGGAGUUUCUUGGUGAAAAAGUAACAAUUAAUGAUAGAACAUGUCGCAACGUGCAUACGGUGUCGGAAGUCAUUCAGACCAAGUAUGGAUGCCUAACAUGGGCAUGCCCACUUGCUUGCAAAAGUUGGGGGUAGUCCUGAUAUUUCCAAAGAAAUACCAUGUUGGAUGGAGAGUGUUCGAAUAGGCUAGAAGGAUCUGUUUGCGAGCUCCAUUUCUCAUGGCCUUGUAUAACCAAUUCAAGGCACCACACCAAAUUGUUUUGGUUUUGUCCAAUUUUGCGUUUUCUGAAGUUUUUGUGGUUAAGAAGGCCGAUAAAUGACCGGAUGUGUCAACACUUGAAUAUGGUGUAGAAAAACGUCCAAACUAGGCAUGUGCCUACCAUGGGCAUGCCUACCUUCUUGCAAAAGUGGGGUUCAUUUUAAAGAUGUUCAAAAAUAGACUAUGUUCAACGGAGAGUGUUCGAAUAGUGCAGAAGGGUCCGUUUGAAAGCUCGUUGUUUACUGACAUCUGUCAAAUAACCCCAAAUAUUUUUCAUGAGCUUCUAUGACCAAUUCAAGGCACAAUGCCAAUUUGUUUAGAUUUUUGAAAAGUUUUGUAUUUUCUAGAGUUUUCUCAUUGAAAGUAGGCCGAUAAAUGGUCGGACGUGUCACAACAUGUAAAGGGUGUCGGAAGUCAUUCAAACCUGGCGUGGAUGCCUCAUAUGUCCAAGCCAGGCUCUUGCAAGAAGGUGGGAUCAUUUAUCAAUAGCCUAAAAUAUACCAGUUAGAUGAGUUUAUUUCUAAUUCCCUUCAUUAUCACUCAACAUAAACAUUUUAUUUUUUCCUAACAAUUUCUUGAAAUUUCUCAACAAUUUUGGAACUUCAAAGUGUGUAUGAAAAAUUUACUAACUUGAACACUUUUUUCCAAAAUUGUUAACAAAUUACGAAAGAAUGAUGAAAAUUUCGAACAAAAAAGCAAACCGCGUACUUCUUAAAAAAAUUGUCAACUUUUUUGAAACACAUACAUUUCUUAAAUUUGUGAACAACAAAAUUCGAAAACUAGAACAUUUUAUGAAAUUCCAGAAUAUUUUUUAUAAUUUAAACAAUAUUUGAAAACAAAAUCAUUUUAUGUUAUGCCAAACAUUUUUUCCAAAAUUUGAACAAGUUUCACAAAGAUUAAUAAAGUUCAAAAGUAGAAAAAUGAAUUAACAAAAAGAGAAAAAAAAAGAAACUAACUGCAAUGAAAAAAAUGCUUAGGCCCUAGAAAAUAAGAAUGUUUCCGGAAAAUUUAAGUAUAUUUGGAAAAAUAUUCGUAAAUUUUAAAAAUUGUUUGUGUUUUUGAAUAAUGCUCGCCAAUUUGAAAAAGUUUUGCAUUUUAAAAAAAUGUUCAGAUAUUUCAAAAUUGUUUAUGUUUUCAAGAAAAUGGUCACAAAUGUGAUAAAUUAUUCAUCUUUUCAAAAAAAUCUGCAGUUUCAGAUAUAUGUUUACAAUACUGAAAAACUGUUCUUAAACUUUCAAAAAUAUUCACAAAAUCAAAGUAUUUUUCAUAAAAAAGGGUUCGGGAAUUUGAAAAAAAUGCGUUUCCAAAAGAAGUCCAAAUUUUGAAAAAUGUUUCGUAUUUUUAAAAAUAUUCCAAUAGAUGAAAAAACACAUUAGGUUUUUUAGCUAUAAAAAAUGCUUUAGCUAGAAUGUCCUGCCCAGUUGUGUUUUCCAAAAGAAGUCCGUGCACCAAUUUUGAUCUGCUAGAGUAUUUCUAGUAAAAAAAAAGCUCCUACAGUACGUCUGUUCUAGGUAAUAAACAACUACACUUCAAAAAUAUCAGCAAAUCCAGAUGGUUCUGGUGGCUAUUAGCAGUUUCCCAACCGCUGGAGGUCCUGUGUUCGAUGCCCAAUAGGCACACUAUGUUUUGGAUUUUUGAUCGGUGCUACCGCACAUACUCUCUCUAAUGGGCCGGCCCAAAAUAGACUCAGAACAUGACAGAUCUUCGCGACGUAUUUUCUUGAAAGACCAUCCUACUCUUUAUUAUGAAAAGGUAUAGACAGAUCUCGUCCAUUGAUGUAUUCGGGGGUUGUGCCGAAGAAGAAGAUAUAGACCUAUGAGGAAUUACGUAUGCAUGCUCAAGAACCUAUGUUCGUACAUACAUACACAAAAUCAUAUAGAACAAAAGGUAUGCUCCGGUCAGAAAGCAGAGUCGUACAGCAGAGUUUUGGACAAAAGUGAAGUUCACAAAAGACCUUCAUACGAGAUAGGCCAUUGUUUCAACUCGUAGUUUAGGCCUUGCCGGACUCCUCGCAACCCGGUGGCCUAAAGGCGAUGAAGCUGACGCACUGCACCUGGCGCAGGUUGUCGAAGCCGAUGACACGGAC